GGUUUAGGGUUUAGGGUUUAGGGUUUAGAGUUUAGGGUUUAGGGUUUCGAGUUUAGGAUUUAGGGUUUCGAGUUUAGGGUUUAGGGUUUAGAGUUUAGGGUUUAGGGUUUAGAGUUUAGGAUGUAAAGUUUAGAAUUGAGAAAUGAGGUUUUGGGGAUAAGAUAUAAACUUAGAAAUGUGCUAUUUUGGUCAUUUUAGUUUUUGAGUGCUAUUUUUGUGAUAUAAACUUAGAAAAGUGCUAUUUUGGACAUUUGCCCAGUAAGAAACUUGCUUAGCAUUUAAAUAAAAGUGUAAAAACAAAUGAGUUUCAACCAAAAAAAAAAACAGAUGAGUUAAAAAUGUUCGGACUUUAGUUAUUUAAGUCCCUACCCCAAGAUGUCAAAAAAAAGUCCCUACCCCAAUUCGAAAAUUUAAGUGACGUACGGUUGUGAGUGCGAAGUUUUUGUCCAGAGUUCGUUAUCUUCUUUGGCCAUAACGAUUGACGAUAAGAUCUCAUUACAUAUAUUCACACACUAUCUUCUUUUUACUCUUCUUCUUUCUGUUUGCUAAACAUUCAUACACUAUCUUGUAUAUAUUUAUAUACAGAACAGUAUUGCCUUACAUAGCUAAAUGUCUUCAAAUUUUCUGGAUAUUUAAGUUGAUGAUGGAAAAGACUACUGCUCUCCCGUUUUUAUAAGAUGGCGUUCUAAAGGAAUUUUUUUUUGUUUUAAAGUAGUUGACGUUUGAAACACUAUAUCUAGAUACAAAAACUGGUCAGACUUUUAACGGUCCAGAUACUUAGAGCCUGAUUGGUUUCUCCGCUAUCACCCGUAAACGCAGCUUUUGCGGGUAAUAGCGGUUGACAGCGUUUCGAAACAAUCAUACAAACCGCUACAAAUCGCUUCAAACCGCUCCGAACCUCUUAAAAUCAAAAGCUGGUUCCAACUAGCGUUUGCGGUUGCGGGCGGUUGAUUUUUUUGUCUUUUUUUUCCAAAACCAUAUAAAUACAAAAAUAAAAAUAUUCAAUAAAAAUUUUAAAUUAGAAUUAUAAAAAUACUAUAAUAUAUCUAUUGCAUUUUAAUUAAUAUUAUAAAAUUUUAAAAUAAAAAUAUUUUCUAUAAUUUUAAAAUUUUAAAACUAUAACUUUCUACAUAUAAUUUUCAUAUUUAUUAUAAUAUUAUGAUUUUUUGAUAUUUUUAUAAUUAUAUAAAAUUUAAAUAUUGUUAAUUUAUUAUUUAACCGCUGCUAUAUUUGGUAGUUAACCAGUCAUAAGAUCUCGCAAACACACUAAUUUCUAACCGCAGAACCAGUCGUACCAAUCUCUUAAAAUCGUUAGAAACUGCAACCACCCGCAUCCGCAAACUCCCGCAACCGCAACUGCAACAGCUGCGUUUGAACCAGUCAGACCCUAAACCUCUUUUAACUUUUACUUGGAAAUUAAAUUUCUCUCCACAAUUAAAAUUUUUAUUUGGUAAGCUAUAUCCGAACUUUAUGCAUAGCCAAAAAUUUGAAGACACGUGGUAUACAACGAUCACGUCCCAAUGUGAUACACAGUGUAAUAUUUGUGGAACAGAGGAGAAAUCAAUAAACCAAUAACCUUGGUGUUUUUCCUACGUCUUCCAUAUUUUCGAAUAAUUUUUUAUUGUUAUAAAAAAUUCCAAAAGGUUAUAAUUGUCGUGAAACUUAGGAUUUAAAGCUGUAAAUAGGAAAAAUUACAAAUCAUAAACAUAAACAAAUUAUGAAAUAUGCAAGUUGUAUCCGCCUCUCUCCUCUCUCCAAGUCUCGCGGCCGCCUCUCUCUCUCUAGGGUUUGACCAUCUCUCUCUAUAAGUGUAUGGGCCGGUUAUGGACCGGACCUGUAGAAACCCGUUAAAAAAAAAAAAAAAAAAAAAAAAAAGAGAGAGAAUGGCUGAGUAUCAUUGUGGUGGUCGAGUUGCGGGCAAUAAGGAUCGAUCGAGAAGUUUUAAAGUAUAAGGUGGGCGAAGAAGUGAUCGUGGGUGAACUAUGAGUCGAAUAAGUUGCUCGACCAUAGUUAGAAGAUGUCCUAGAUUGAUGAGACAGACGUUUUGGAAGCAUAACAAUUUUGGAAGCACGACGGUUUAGAAGCUCGACGUUUUUUAAGACCGACGUUUCUUCAUCACGAAGUUUUCUCGGAAAAUCUUCGUAUCAGUAAAAUAUUAUUCUGGAGACAUAAUAAGUUGGAAGCAGGACGGGAAUUAAGCACGACGGAAAGCAAGCACGACGGAAAGCAAGAACGACGGGAAAACCCGAAGUUGGGCGAAAACCCUAAUUUCGGUAUUAUGGAAUUCUUUGAGGAAGCCGGAGGUUCGGGAAAUAUUUUUACAGGAUAUCAGAAUUCAUCUGGAGUCUAUUAAAAAUAUUUAGAGCAUCAGAACGGUAGCGGAAAAAUAUUCGGGAUUGAUCACGGGUUAGAAAUUUGCCGGAAGGGUAAAAAAUCGCGUAAACCGACCAAGACGCUUGAGGUGUCUCUACGUAUAUGGCCAGGACGUGAUAACUACCAUCUAAGCAGCUGAGUGUCUACAGAAGCUCGAGGUGUCGCCGUGCAUAUAAGCAGUACAUGCAGCCUGACAUGUAGAAGCACGAGGUGGAUCGACCAAGCAUGAGGUGUCUCCGCGCAUGCAACCGAAGCAUGCUGAUCGACAUGUGUGUACUGGUGUGGCUUCGUGCAUACACUACAGGCAUGCAUCCUGACAUGUGGGAGGAGUGGUGGCGUCCUGCAUGUGUCCUGGACAUGCAGCCUGACAUGUGGAGCACUAGGUGCCGCCGCGCAUGCGUCCGGAGCCAUGCGAAGCGACACACGGGCUGCCACCAACCUGAAGCUGAUUGGCUGGUGUCUCCUAUAAAUACUCCCACGACCCCAGCUCAUUUCUUCACAUCCAGACCUGUCCAAACCAAGUUAAAAACGUGAGAGAGAAGUAGAAAAAGAAAACAAGUGAUUCCGAGCUAUUUCGAGAGUUUUAGAGAGUUUUCGAGGUCAGUUCUCUACUGAUUUCGAGUCAGCGCCUAGGGACGGUUCUGUCCAACUGAAUUCGUCCAGGCCACUGAGUUCCUUUGAUGAUCAAGUGGAGAUGCUGUCCGGAGUUAGUUCAGUUCUACGGGUUCAGAUCAGUCGAAGUUCUGCUCGAUACUCCGCCGGGAAGUCCGAAGAACGGUCCAGAAGCUAAAGGAGGUUCUGUCCGAGUCAAGAUCAGUUUGUCGAGGCCUGUCAGUUUCUUCAUGGUGAAGCCAAGGUUCUUUCCAAGUCAAGAUCAGUCCAAGUCGAGAUCAGUUCAGUCCAGUCCAGUCAAGUUGUCCCUUGGGUUUUGGCCAUGUCCUCUCCGAUCAACCAGCUGCUUCUCGCCUAGAACACUGUGAGUUGGUUUUGUGUGAAUUCCAUUUGGAAUUUAGGGAAGAUCGAGUGUUUAUAUAGAUUGGAAUGAUCACUCUAUUGAAUGGUAGAGUCCUUAGGGUUAUUUAUUUAUGGAACCAGACUCAGUUUAGCAAGGGCUAAGCUGAGAUGAAUGGAAUUAAGACUGAGAUGAUAACCUGACUAGGACUAGGGCUAGGAUGCAUCAUGUUUUCUACUCUUGCGUGUUGAUAUGGUUGAGUGCAGGUUCUCGUUAUCUUUAAAGAUAGUGUCGUAGCAAGAGGCCGAACUAUCUGGGUAAAGGUUUGAUUGAGUAGAUUUAAUUAAAUGCUUGCUCGUUUAAUUAAUCUUGUUGAUUGAGGUUAGUCAUCUCUUGGUAAGGGAGUGACUAACUGGUUGAGUUGUUUAGUCAUAAUGUUGUUGUUUAGGAGAUCUUUGGCCAUAUAGGCCGAUCUUCUGGUUGUGAUGUUGAUACUACGGGUCCUAUGCCAUAUAGGCUGGACUACGAGUAUUGGGUUGAUAUUGUCGUAGACUCCUAUAUAUUGUUUAGUUUUGGGUUGGAGUCUUGUCCCUUAGGUCAUUCAUAGGGAUAAUUGUGUCGAGUGUGUGUUAUGCCGACAGCAGGUGCGAAACCCGCCCAUGCUAGGCAUGUUUUGGGGUGGACUAGUGUUUCCUCGGCCUCGUAUUCAGCGGGUUCAAGGAAACCCCUUAUUCGCUGGAUCGGGAAGACUCAGAUAGACGGGGUCAUGGCCUAUGGCUGAGUGAUUACACGACGGUGUAAUGUGGCAGUGACCCGAAGGAUUGUGGGCUGUCGCGCGGUGACCCGAAGGACUGUGGGCCGCGGUCGGUUGAAAGUUCCUUCUUCUGGCCUUUGUGGUAGGGAGAUAGGAUAUUGCCGAUAGAGAGGAGGAACACGAAGUCACCAGGGCCCAGGUUAGAGUGUUGUGUUAGUGUGUCGUAGAGGGUUAUGGAACCAUCGAGUUAAUGUAGCACUGAUAUACGGUGUUACGAGCAAGAUCGAGUCAUUGGUAGUUACUAUCUUAUUAUUGUUGUGGUUGUGGUUGUUGAUUGCUUUGUUUGCAGGUUCUGACAUUAAGUCCUAAGUCUGGCUUAGGUACCGGAUUAGGCUUGGUGUAUAUUUUGUUAGUGUAGGCCUGACGUUGGCCUAUAUGUGUUUGAGGGAUUGCUUGUGAAGGGUGGUGGAUAUUAAAGCUAUGCGGUAUCAUUGGUUGGCCGAUCAUGUUCUUGUUUGAUUGUUGGUCGACCGGCUCAUGAUACUUGUAUAGUCUAAGUGUCUAACACUACAUGAGUACUGAACUCAGGCGUAUAUAUGGUUAACUAGGGAUUGGUUGUUAACUUGUUUUAAUGCAGGUUCCCGUUACUUGGAAGUUGGAUUAUGGCAGGAGGCCAAGUCUAACUUAGUAACGGUUUGCUUAGCCUUAGCUUAUAUUGCAUGCUAGGGCUAGAUUGAUUGUUAUUUUGGGUUGUCUGGGUUAGAGUCUAGGUUGCGGGUAGAGGCCACCAGCUCACUGAGUAAUACUAGAUUACUCAUCCAACUCCGUUGUCCUUUUUGCAGGUCGCUUUAGGUAAGGAUGAUUGGAUAGCAUGGUGCUGGACGUUAGGACCGCCGGUGUAGAUUUUCAUGCCUUUUGUAAACGGUAUUGUGAAUUGUGUUAUGUUGACUCGAUUUGGCAUUAGGCCGGGCCCAGUCUUGAAUUAUUCAAUGUAUGAAUAUUUCUUAAAUCAAUAAAAGUAAUUGUUUUAUAUACGCUUCAUGAGUAUUCUGAUAUUUGACUAGUCUGGUCUAACACAACGUUAGGUCGUGGUACGGGUUGAAAAGCCUUAGGCCUCGAUCUAACGGAAAACGCUAACUCUAGGUACAGGUUGCAAAGCCUUGUUCCUUGACGCAGCCGGACGUGUUAGUGGACGAACUGGUCGAGGUCGUGGAGUAAAUUUUGUGACUCUGGCCGGAUCGUCCCUAACCCGUCACGUAGCGCUUCCGAACCAUGGUGUUGGGUUGGACGGUCAGUCAUGUUCUUGUUUGAUUGUUGGCUGGACGGUUGGCCUUUCAUCUCCAACCCUUGGUGUGGGUCGUCUGUCGGUCAUGUUCUUGUUUGAUUGUUGGCCGGUGGGUUGACCUAUGCCUAGGACGGUUCGGGGGUGUUACAGGGCCGGUUAUGGACAUCCACCAAUUGAUUUAUAACACUCCCCCUUGGAUGCCAUAACCAUACAGAGAUUGUAAUACGCUUAAUGUUUCCUCUUUAAAAUCUUAUCAGAAAAACUCAGUGGGACAAAACCAUGAUGAAGGAAAAAGAGUACAACACGUACUACUCCCCCUGAUGUAAACCUCAGUGGAGGUCCUUCAGCCUACGCAUCCCAAUCUGACGCGUGAGCUUUCUGAACGUGCAGGUAGGAAGUGCUAUGGUGAAUAGGUCAGCUGAAUUGUCACUUGAUCGUACUUGGACGACCUGGACCUCACCGGCUUUCUGAAGCUCGUGAGUAAAGAAGAACUUAGGCAAUAUGUGUUUCGUUCUAUCACCUUUUAUGUAACCGUCCUUGAGCUGAACAAUGCACGCAGCAUUGUCCUCAUACAUCACGGUUGGCUUUUUGCACUCGGCUAUCCCGCAAUCAGCUCGGACGUGUUGGGUCAUCGACCUCAACCAAACACACUCGCGGCUGGCCUCAUGUAUGGCCAAGAUUUCUGAGUGAUUAGAUGAAGUGGCCGCGAUGGUUUGUUUCAUGGAACGCCAUGAUAUGGCCAUACCUCCAUGUGUAAAGACAUAUCCUGUCUGUGAUCGAGCUUGAUGUGGAUCUGAUAAAUAACCAGCAUCAGCAAAUCCAGCUAAACCAUCUUUGUUAUGGUUAGUAUAAUAUAUACUCAAGUCUUUCGUUCCUUGCAGGUAACGAAGAACAUGUUUGAUCCCAUUCCAAUGCCUCUGGGUCGGACAUGAGCUAAACCUAGAUAGUAGGUUCACGGCAAAGCUUAUAUCAGGCGGUGUGUGAGUUGCCAAGUACAUUAAAGCUCUUAUGGCACUGAGAUAUGACAUUUCGGGACCUAGUUCAUCUUCAUCGUCCAUCUUGGGACGGAAUGGGUCAGUGUCCAGGCCGAGAGACCUCACGACCAUGGGACUGUUCAGAGAAUGGCAAUCGGCCAUAUUGAAUCUCUUGAGUACCUUUUCAGUGUAUGUCAUCUGAUGCACAAGCAUCCCAUCAUUUAUGUACUCAAGUUAUAAUCCCAAACAGAAUUUUGUUUUCCCGAGAUAUUUCAUCUCAAAUUCUUUCUUAAGGUAUUCAACCGCUUGGGAAAUUGUAUGCAGAGGUUCCUAGGAUAUUCAGAUCAUACAUUUCGAUGAUUAUCAGUAUUAUUCUCGAGAACUUGAUGUACAUUCAGCUCAAUACCCUCAGCUCAAUACCCUCUAGUACUUUCAUUAUCCAGUGGACCAUAUAAAUAUGCAGUCACUACAUAAGUUUGCUGCAAGUCUAAUUUUAUCUAUUAUAUAGCCAGACUUAUGAGAAAUCUUAAAAGUAGUUGCAUCCACCACAUGGGAGUAUAUCUCCUCAUAAUCUAUUAAUGGUCUUUGUGAGAAUCCUUGUGCAAUAUUAGCUUUAUAUCUCACGAUUUCUAUUACUCACAAGACUCAUUUAUAUCCACUGGUUUUAACAUCAUAUGGCGUCUUAAUCAUAUGGCCAAAUACGCCUUUCUUCUUUAAACUAUUUAACCCCACGUUUUCUUUCAAUCUGUUCUACGAGUGCGCACUCUUAUAUUGACGUGGGUUCAUGAUCCUCGAUUAUAUUCAUAAAUUCAAGUUCUACCUUGUAUCAUCUUAUGUCGACAUUCCUUAUUGUGUUCCAUUAUAUUCCAAACAUGAUAUAAUCGAUUGAGAUUCAUUAUUAUCAGGACCUUUAAUACUUUGCAGCUUGGCGUCCCAAGCUACAUUGUUUGGUACCUGUACCUUAGAGCCGGCCGGCCUUAUCUCUAUGUCUGGUAUGGUUUCCUUGACCUCGGAUUUGUUUUAUCAUUCUAUGCACCUUUCUCUUUUGUUUCUGAGGAUUCUUAUCUUUUGGAACUUUAUUGGUCUAUCUUGUUUAGACUUUGUAACAACUUGACUGUGUCUCUCUUGGACAUCAAUUUAGUUGAUGCUUUACAAGUUGGUUUGUAUAUGACUUAGUCAUUCUUUUUCCGGUCAGCAAAUGUGUCUGGCAUUUGAUUAGCUAGCUUUGUAAAUAUAUAAUCUUUGGACGUCUAUUUCACAUUCUUUAGUCCGAGGAUCUUGCCAAGACAAUGAUGGUCGAUGCCAUUUUGUUUCUCUUACCAGCUUAUUAUUUUCUCCCCCUAAUGGUGGUUAGUCGGAUCCAUUAAACUUUGCAAUCCGUGUUCUUGGCCACUAAAUAGAUCACCCAUAUUUGGCUCAAGGUACUUCAUUAUUUGUGGGAGAUUCAUAUCCAACAUAUAUCCUCAUCCUCAUCCUCUUCUAAGGAUCCAUCUUAGACGGCACAUAUAUUUGUGGUGGCUUAUCCAAAUAUCUCAAGAUGUUAUAUGUCUGGCUCAUGACCCGUAAUAAAUUUGAGAUGGGAAUAUCUAUGCUCACUUAAUGGUCUGAUGCUUAUUAGUUAAGAUGCAUGUAAAUUCGUGUGUCCCCAAGCCUUGGACUGAGAGUUUGGACCUACGGGUAAUGGCCAAUACAGAUUUAUAAAACGAUUCAGCCAAGCUAUAUAUAGUAUGGACAUGUGCGGAUUUGUCCUCACUGCCCCCUCAUGGACAUACUAUAAUCUUUAAGUGCUUUGGGACAUCAUGGCCUAAUGAGUUUCUCUUUUGUUCAUGCUAUACACGUGAGAUUCUAGGGGAUAACUCUUUGUACCCUUUCCAAUAUCAAUUUCGCAUCAUGUUUUGGACCAGGAUGGCCAAUCCGGUCAUACCAUAAAGUGUAUAAUUUCGUGGAUAAACCAUUCUGGUUACCAUGACUAUUGCCUCUAUCAUACUGAUCUUGGCAUAGUCUAGAUCAAUAGAGAAUGCAUGUAUAGUUUUUUUUAGGACUCAUUAUGGCCUUGGGCGAUUUUAUACAUAUAUAUGAAGGAACUCUUUGUUUCCUUCGCCCAUUAUUUCAAUAUGGAAACCAUUCAUUCUUAUAUCUCUAUAUAAUCUCAAUGGGUUUUUCUGGGUGAAAAUAAAGCAUCUAAAUGCUUGCCCUUAUACAUAUCCGGCCAUAGCCCUUAAUGUGUACCAUACCCGCAAAUCAUAUUGGCGUUUUCAAAAAUCAUUCAUUCCUUUUAUUAAGUUUUAAUAAAACAAGUUCAUAGAAAUGAAAAACAUCAAAACAAAGAACAUAGAAUUUAGAUUACAAAUGUCGAAAUCAAUCUUCGGUUUUUUUUAGACAAUCUGAAGUUUCAUAAUCCAUAAGAUCGUCCUUCUCAUGAUCGAAGUCAUUUUCAUCAUCUUGGUAAGUCAUAUGGGCUUCAGGAUUCUUCCCUUUCAAGCUCUCUUGAUAGAGGUCAACUAGAUGCUUGGGAGUCCUACAAGUCUUAGUUCACAUCUAUGGCACACGUAGUUCUCUGAUUUAGUCGAGUGUUGUGGUUUGAAAGAAGAUCUACGGCCACGACUAUGGCCUCGUCCAAAUGAGCCACGGUCCCGUCCAUGGUCUCGACCAUUUCCUCGCCCACGGCCAAAGGAUCUUCGACCGCGGCCACAUCCGUUUGAUUUGUCUCGGCCACGGCCAUGCUGGUCGUUUCCUUGGACGUGGUUGGACUCUUUAUUGUCCUCUGUAGUGUGUGCAUCAGGUAGUGGAGCUGAUCCAAGUGGUCUCAUCUGACUGUUUCUCAUUAGUAAUUCAUUGUUCUGCUCAGUGAGCAAGAGACAAGAAAUAAGAUUAGCAUAGGUUUUGAAACCUUUCUCUCGGUACUGUUGUUGUAACAGCACAUUGCUUGCAUGGAAAAUGGAAAAGGUUUUCUCAAGCAUAUCCUGUUCCGUAAUACUUUUACUACACAGUUUCAUUUUAGAAACAAUCUUAAACAGUGCAGAUUUAUAUUCGUCCACAGACUUAUAGUCUUGGAUCCUCAGAUUCGUCCAAUCAAACCGAGCUUUUGGUAAGAUCACCGUUCUCUGGUGAACAUAUCUCGAUUUCAAUUCAUUCCAAAGAUCUAGUGGAUUCUCAAUGGUUAGGUAUUGAUCCUUGAGACUCUCAUCUAGAUGAUGACGAAUGAUCAAGAUGGCUCUGUAACGAUCCUUUUCAUUGGCAUUAUUGUUCUCGGUGGUACACUCACCGAGUCGCUUGGAUUUCAGGAUGAUCUUAGCAUUGAGCGCUCACUGAAGGUAAUUGUCUCCAGAUAGAUUUAGGGCAGCGAAGUCAAGGUUGUUGAUUUUCGACAUCUAAAGUUAUUGAUUAAUAUUUUUAGAUCUUUUAGGAAUAAUUUUUAAUGUUUAAACGAUUAGAGUUUUAUGUUCAAACAAUCAAACAAGCCUUCACAACCAAGAUCUAUGCCUCACGACCAAUGAGCAAGCCGCACGACCAUGGAUGCAAACUAGUUCUUUUUUAUGCAUUUAGUUUGUCGUUUAAUUGCAAUCCAAACAUGGUUUGUUUCUAUCAGUUCAUGAUGCAAUUAAAACAAGCAAACAUAUCGGCCAAGCAAAGAUCAAGCCACACGGCUAUUUGAUUCAGUUCAACACCAUUCCUAGAAUAAGUUCUAAGUGUAAUUGCAAUCAAUCAAUGUGAUUAAGUUAUGGUAUGAAUGCAACAUGGCCACACGGACACAAUGAUCAAAUCUAGAACAGUUUAACCUAAUAUGUAGUUUCAGAUUUCGAUUUUAAAAUAAUCUAAACUAGGUCAUUAGGGUUUUAGUUUAAACAAGCCAAACAAUGAGAUUCGAGUUUGAACAAUCCUAACAAUAGUUCUAGGUGAUCAAAUCAACCAAUCAAUGUUCAAUUUCAAACAAUCAAAAUCGAUUUUCAGAAUUAGGGUUUUAGGGUUUCGAUUUUAUUAACAAGCAAUUUCAAUUUCAGGAUGAUCAAAAUCAAUCUCAAUCAAUCAAUCAAUCAGUUUAAUUAAUUAAUAGUUUUUUAAUUAGGGUUUAGGGAUUUCGAAAAUUUGAUCUUAGAUCAAAGGGAUUUGAUUUGAGAUUCAAAACCUUUAAGGUUCUGAUUUUAAUUGAUCAAUGGAUCAAUCUCAAUUUUUAGGGUUUGGGGAUCAAACUUAUAGAGCUUUGAUUUACUCGCUUAGAGAUUGAUCUAUUAUCCUAUGGCUUUCAUUUUAGAGAUUAUAUUUUAGGGUUUCAUUCUUCACAAUCAACCAAAUUCGAUUCAUUAUGUUCUUAGAAUUCGAAAUACCUUUAGUUUAGUUGUUUGUAGAAACCGGACCACCAAGAAUGAACCUCGAGCUUAGACACGAUCGGGACACGAGCUGGACAUUAGCUGUCUUGGACGCGAGCUGGAACAGAGUCGCGAACGGAUUAGGGUUCGUCAGUAUCGUCGGGUUCGGAUUAGGGUUCCAAAGCAAAUCAGCGCGCACUGUAUCUGUGCGUGAGGGCGCGUUGGUGAUCAGAUCGACAAGCGGUUUGCACUGACUGAUUCGUCUCGGCCAGGGCUUCGAUUUGAUAUCUUAAUUGUUUUCUGGAUCCUCACGGUUUGGGAGAACGGCCUCUUCGAAGUUCCAAGGCAGAUUCCUUUUCAUUUAGGGUUUUAGGGUUUUAGCGAUUUGGUUUUAGGCUCAGGGUGUUAGAGGCUAUCGUGCUGAUAAUGUGUUGUGAAACUUAAGAUUUAGAGCUGUAAGUCUAUGUAUAUUAUUAAUGAAUAAGUGUUCCCUUUAUAUAGGGGUUACAAGAGAGAUAAAUGGAAAUACAAUAAUAGGAAAGAUUACAAAUCAUAAACAUAAACGAAUUAGAAAAUAGGCAAGUUGUAGCUGCCUCUCUCCCCUCUCCAAGUCUCGCGGCCGCCUCUCUCUCUCUAGAGUUGGGCCGUCUCUCUCUAAAUGUAUGGACCGGUUAUGGAAAUCCACCAAUUGAUUUAUAACAAUAAUUUCACCUAUUUUCCUUAGAUUGUGUGUUAUAUUUGGAAAAUCUGAUAAUUUUUUUUAAAAAAAAAGAAAUAGAAAUCCACAAGAGAUUUUGAGUGUAGCCAAAAAAGAGGGUGCAAUAUGGUCUGAAGCGCAAAUUAAGGAAUCAAAAUUUACAGAGGAGGCUCUUGAGUUAUCAAUUGAGCUAUAUAAGAAGAUGCUACAUUGAUGGAGCAUGUAACGAAACUGAUACUAUUUCAGGUCAAAGUUGGUUCUUCAGUAGUGUAGACUCAGAUAGUCAGAUUAUGAGAUCCAUAAAAUGAAGGACGAACAAUAUUCAUAAGGAAUGUCAUAUGUGCCUAUAAUUCUUAUUUUUCUAUAAAUGUCUUUUAAUUUAUUUAUUUCUAAAUGUAAAUGUCUUUUAGUUUGAUACUUAUGUCUUGGACUUUGAAACCAACGGUAGAAACUUGAAAUGGAUCUACAACAAAUAUUCACUGAUAUAUCAUAUAAUACUGGAAAACUAAUGGGCAAUUGGGUAGGUGAAGGGAUGGGAAGAAAGGUAGAUGAGAAAUUUCAUCACAUAAUUUUUGGUAGUUCAGAAGAUCGAGGAACCACAAAUUCAUUCGGAUAACGAAAGAGAAAAAAAAGGUGCAGAGUGAUUAAUUCACAGGACCACAAAAACCAUAACAUAACAUCAAUAUCCCCACAAGCCACACCAAAUUGGUACCAAUCAACCACUCUUGAAUUAACCCUGGGAACAAACCAUAGCCUUAGAUUUUUUUUGUUUAUUUUGUGAGUGACUAAUGAUAUAACUACAUUUUUUGGCUUAUGAGUGGUUAGCGUUAUAAUUCAAUUUAAAGCAUACUGCUUUUAUAGUUCUCUAGAUAAUUUCUAAUAAUCUUAUUUCAAACAAUAGUGAAGUGUAUUCAUAUAUCAAAACUAAAAUUGGUUUAAAUGAUUUUUGUUCAAAACUUGUAACUUAAAAAACGCAAAAUAAUCUUAGUUGGUUUAACUAAAUAUGAAAUUACAGAUAGGGUUUGUCUAGGUGUGGAUUCAUGUAUGUGAGUCUAAUAUCAUGAUUAACCCGGAGUUUUUAGCCGGUUCUUAAAGUCCUUAUUUAAGAACCAGUUCUUAAUUUUUUUAGUUAAAAGUUAAGAAACAGUUUCUUAACUUCCGCUAAGAACCUCAUCCUAAGAACCCGGGUUAAUCAUGCUCUAAGGGGGGGGGUGUUAUUUGUAAGUGAAUUUUCAUAAAUUUUGAAAAAUUUGAGAUUUCAUUGUUAUUGGUUCUUGGAUUUCAAAAAUCUUAAUAGCAUCCAUUGUUAUUGAUUUAAGAAUUUUCAAAAUCCAUUCAAAACUCUUCUAAUUCAAAAAGUUUUAGUUAUUAUUGAUUCUCUAAUUCUAAAAAAAUAUAGUGUUAUUGGGAGAUGAAUUCUAUUCAUUUUUACUAAUAAGACUCAACUUUCAAAAUAUCAUAUAUAACCUUGUGAUUUCCAAAAUCCAUGUGAAAAAAACUAGAAAACAAAAUAAUUAUUCUUACCAAAUAUCUAUUGCACCUUAAAUCCAAAUUAUAUGUCCAAAACUAUAAUUCAUUACAUUUAUAUACUUUUACAUUUUAGAAUAUAUAAUUAUUUUUAUAAAUAAUUAUCAUUUUGAAUAUAAAUAUUAAUAAUUACAUUUAUAAAUAUUAAUAAUUUUAAAAUAUUAUUUUUAAAAUAGUUUCAAAAAAAUUUUGAAUUUCAAAAAAAAAAAUUUGAGAGCCAAAUCUUGGGUUAUGCGAACAAACCGGAGUUUAAAAAAUAUUUUGAAAAAAGUUUCAAAAUUAUAAAAAUUAUUAAAAAGUUCAAAUUUGAAAACAUAUAAUUCGAAAUUAUAAAAGAAACUUCGAAGUUCAAUCGCUCAUCUUUAUGUAUUAAAAUUUUAUUUGGUAGUUUAUUAUUAGACAAGUUUAGAUUUGACCAAAAAAAGAAUAAUAAUUUCAUUACUAAUGAAAAAUUAAACAUGACAAAAUUAACCAUGCAUAGGACCUGUGGUUUAGUAUUUAAAAUAGGUUUGAUUGUGCCGCUAGUUCAAUUUCUGUUGAGAGGGGUAGAUUACCCUAUGUUUACCCCCAGAAAUAGAUAAUUAUUUGGACCGAAGGUCCAUACACCUCAUAGUUAAUAAAAUAAUCAUGUAACCUUCAUUUUUGGAAUAAACAACUCAAGUUAAAUAAGGUUAAAAGUAUAUGGACUAUGAAAAAGAGAUUAAAACCUCAUCUCUCUCAUUUUUACAACAAUAAUCUUUUCACUUUCAUAUUGUUCUUCUUUCUUUUUUUAAUUUGGAAUCUAAGAAGACAACACCUAUUAGAUUCAUUUUUUUUUUUUUUUUUUUGUGCAACAUUAGAUUCAUUAAUUUAUAUUUUUAAAUGCUACAAAAUAGUCGAUUGUGCGGUUGUAUCAUAAAUUCUGCUUGCGUUAAAACGUCCAAAUAUACUACAAAUAAUUAAAGAAAUGAAGAAAAAGGUGUUUCAUCUCUAGAUAAUUCAUUCUUCACCUAUCAGUUUUGGGAAUUAAUUUUAUAUAUUUCUGUAUUAUUCAAAUUUGUAUCAACUUUCUAUUGCAAUUAUUAAGUUUUAGCAUAUUAUAAAACUAUGAUACAUCAUGAUUUAACACUUGUGAAUUGACUUUCACGCAUUGGCGUAAAAUGUGUCAUUUUCAUUUGUAUUUACUAUUUAGAAAUAAAUCUUACCACCACUUUUCAUUUUGUUAUAAUUAGAAAAAUCAGUCCCUACAAUGCAUUCGCAUCCCCUUUUUAAUUUACUCCCUUUUAGUGUACUUUUUAAAAUGGCAAAUCUUCAAAAUAUCACUUUUCUAAGUUUAUAUCAUAGAAAUAGCAUUCAAAAAUUAAAAUGACCAAAAUAGCAUUUUAUCAUUUGAAAAUUUUAAUUUUUUUAUUUUUCAAAAUUUGAAAUCUUAUUCCCAAAACUUCAUUUCUAAACUCUAAACCCUAAACUCUAAAUUCUAAACCCUAAACCCUAAACCCUAAACCCUAAACCCUAAACCCUAAACCCUAAACCCUAAACCCUAAACUCUAAACCCUAAACUCUAAAUUCUAAACCCUAAACCCUAAACCCUAAACUCUAAACCCUAAACCCUAAACUCUAAACCCUAAACCCUAAACCCUAAAUCUUAAAUCCCACCCUUUAACUCUAAACCCUAAGUUUGUGACUUUUGAUAAAACAUUAAGUGCUAUUUUUGUGAAUUUUGACCUUGAGUGCUAGUUUGGGAAUAAAAACUUGAUUUAAUGUUAUUUUUGUCUUUUUCUCUUUUUAAAAAGCUGUUUUCUUUUUUCCAUCUAAUGAUUAACCCCGGUCUCUUAGCCAAGGUUUUUAACUCAUAAUUUGAUAUUUUUUAAUAUUUUUUAAUUUUUUUUUACACUUUUCGGCUAAGAGACGGACUCUUAUAUCUCUUAUUUAAGAGACGCUUCUUAGCUUUUCUUAGUUAAAAUCUAAGAAAAACUAAGAACCGUCUCUUAUCCGAAACUAAGAACCCCAGCUAAGAGACCGGGGUUAAUCACUCCACUCUAGAAUUAGCUUUUGGGUGUGAGUUAGGCCUAUCACUAAUAGGAUCCGACAAAUAAAAGUCUUCAAAACUAAACAAACCUUGUGAUAUUCCACAAACUCAAAGUUUAAAGGUUCCCCGCCUUUCUUCGCAAGCGAGUCAUUGACAUGUCAUGCUCAUUAUCAUCAAAACAUAUGUACAAGAAUGAAGCAUUAUCAUGGGGUUUGCACUAUCGUUAUUCAUUUGUCUCUCUCAACCGGCCUCGUUGGAUUAUGUGACUAUGCAACUUUGAUUAACCUAUUUUCUUCUCAAGUGAGUCAUGUUUUUAAUUAAUUUUCAUUAAUUUUACAAAAAGUUACAUGUUAACCUUGUUUCCUAAUAUCCCACAGUAUUGAAAGCCUCAGAUCAGCACGAUCUGCAUAAUAAUAAAAUAACCAGAGAAAUCAACUACUAAACAAUUGUAGCCAUGUAGAGAGAAAGGUUAGUAUUGUUGGCCGGUUCCUAUGAGCUCGCGGUAGAGAAUCAAGCUUGGCCCUAAGAGAAGUUGAACAUUCAAGAUUAGUGAUGGAUCGGGUCUGCAAACCAAAUUGUGUACCGAGAGUUUUUUUUUCCAAAUGACAUACAUAGACGCUUGAAAAGCGAGCUUAUAAGAAUCAAGACAAUGUUUGGCUCCCUUGUAGGGUUUUAAUCAUCUGAUGCUAUUCUCAAACUGAGUAGGAGGCAAGAGAUGUGCUUUGUUGGUAAAGAAAAGACCAUACCUGUUUUGAAGAAGGGCAAUCAGAGAAAAUAUGUUGCUCAUUUCAGCAGCUGCAUUGGGAUAAAUUACAAUUCCAAACAAGAUGUCGGCUUUGACUUUCGAGAUUUGGAAAAGUUCAAUAAUGCCUUAUUGGCAAAAGAAGCUUGGCGUCUACUAACAUAUUCUAACACACUCUUCGUUCGCAUGUUCAAAACAAAAUAUUAUAAGGAUGGAUUUGUAUUACAAGAUUCCUCUCAGCGUAAACAAUCAUAUGGAUGGUCAUCAAUAUUGAAUCAUUAAGCAUGGUGUUCUUUUUCAAUGUUGUAGAUGGGAAAUAUAUGGAUUCUUAUUUUUCUGAUAAUUGGAUCCCUACUAAUCUAUCUAAUGAUAAAUGCUGGUUAACAAUAUUUUGGAAUGAAUUCUCUAUCUUCGUAUCUUACGGAGACCGGCAGAGUAUUGUUGAAACAAAUUUAUCUGAGAAAAUGUUGUGGUCCAGAACAACCUAUUUUGGUCAUAUACAUUCAGAUUAUUGUAUUACUAGGCACGACUGAUGGAUUCAUGUGUUUAUGCUGUUACUCCACCAAGAGGCAAUCCUGUUAUAAAAAUAAGGGUAUGUACGUGAGCUGCCUAAUCAACCUAAACUUUAACACUUUCUUUGGAGGAUUAUAUCUGGAGCUUUCAGUACAAGAAAACAUAAGCUUAACGAAGAAUAUUUUUCCUCGUUAAUUUACGUCGAAUUUACGAGAAAAUUACUCGGAAAAAUAAAAUCAGCGUUAUUUCCUCGUAAAGUAACGACGAAACAGUUUCGUCGUAAAGUCGAUGUAAAGUGACGUGGCUUUUACGAGGAAAUCGUAUAUCCUCGUACAUUCCACGUAAACUUAGCGUGGUCUUUAGGAGGAAAUAAUUUACGUCUACUUAGCGACGAAAUUUUGAAUCCACCAACUUUGUUUGUCACACGUUUUUUUUUCGGCCAGCUAACUAAUUUUCGUCGUAAAUUCGUAGGAAAAUUACAACUACCAGAUUCGAAAAUUUUCUAUAAAUAGGGAUGUUUGAACAUCAUUUUAAACACACCAACAAAAAAAACGUGAAAGAAAAAAAAUGGCUGGCUCCGGGAAUAUUUUCGAGUUGCGGAAGUGGAUGUAUAUGCAUAGAGAUGCUAACGAGAGAAUGACGAAAGAAUACAUUGCGGGGCUGAAGACAUUUAUGCAUCAAGCAGAUUCAACACCGCUCGCCCAAGAAAGUGGUAAGAUGUUAUGUCCUUGUCAGAAAUGCAACAAUUCUAAAUUGGCUAACCGUAAAAAUGUUUGGAAGCAUUUAAUAAAUAGAGGUUUCACGCCAAAUUACUAUAUCUGGUUUCAACAUGGAGAAGGUUAUAAUUAUGAUCAGAAUGAAGCUAGUAGUAGUAAUAGCAAUUUUCAGGAAGAACCGGUUGAUCAUCAUUUGCAUAAUGAACAUAGUUACCAUCAGGAGGAGAUGGUAGAUUAUGAUAGGGUUCAUGACAUGGUAGCUGAUGCAUUCGUAGCUCAUGAUGAAGACGAAGAACCUAAUAUAGAUGCAAAAAAUUUUUACGAAAUGUUAAACGCGGCAAAUCAACCACUUUACAGUGGUUGUAGAGAAGGCCUCUCUAAUUUGUCGUUGGCUGCUAGAAUGAUGAAUAUUAAAACUGAUCACAAUCUAUCUGAAAGUUGCAUGAACGAAUGGGCAGACUUGUUUAAAGAGUAUUUGCCGGAAGACAAUGUGUCUGCUGAUUCUUAUUAUGAGAUUCAGAAACUGGUUUAUAGCCUUGGGUUGCCUUCGGAGAUGAUAGAUGUUUGCAUCGACAACUGCAUGAUCUAUUGGGGAGAUGAUGAGAAGUUAGAAGAAUGUCGAUUCUGCAAGAAGCCACGAUUCAAGCCGCAAGGACGGGGACGUAAUAGGGUACCGUACCAAAGGAUGUGGUACCUACCAAUUACAGACAGAUUGAAAAGAUUGUACCAAUCAGAGCAGACAGCUGGAAAGAUGAGAUGGCAUGCCGAGCAUACUCAGACGGAUGGUGAGAUGACUUAUCCAUCAGAUGCAAGAGCCUGGAAACAUUUUAACAAAGUACAUCCGGAUUUCGCUAGCAAUAGCCGAAAUGUGUAUCUCGGAAUAUGCACAUAUGGAUUUAGUCCGUUCGGAAUGUCAGGGAGACAAUAUUCAUUGUGGCUAGUCUUUCUUACGCAAUACAACCUACCACCGGAGAUGUGCAUGCAACGGGAGUUGCUAUUCUUGACCAUAUUAAUACCUGGUCCGAACCAUCCAAAAAGGUCCCUGGAUGUUUUCCUACGACCACUGAUAAAAGAGUUGAAGGAUUUGUGGUCAACAAGGGUGUGGACGUAUGACUGUUCAACGAAGACGAAUUUUACGAUGCGAGCGAUGCUUUUGUGGACCAUAAGUGACUUUCCUGCCUAUGGGAUGUUGUCUGGAUGGACUACACAUGGGAGAUUAGCUUGUCCAUAUAGUAAUAGAACGACAGAUGCGUUUCAACUGAAGAAUGGUAGGAAGACAAGUUGGUUUGAUUGUCACCGUCGAUUUUUUCCCAUUGGCCAUCUGUACCGAAGAAACAAGAAUUUGUUUAGGCACAAAAAGGUUGUGAGAGACACUCCUCCUCCAUAUCUAACUGGAGAACAAAUUGAAGCGCAAAUCGACUACUACGGAGCUAACGAACAGUUCAUUGGGUGGUAAUUGGCAUGUCCCUCUAAAUAUGCCUGAUUCUUACGGUGUUCAUCACAACUGGCACAAGAAGAGUAUAUUUUGGGAGUUGCCAUAUUGGAAGGAUCUUCUUCUGCGCCACAACCUCGAUGUGAUGCAUAUAGAGAAGAAUUUCUUUGAGAACAUCAUGAAUACAAUAUUGAAUGUCCCAGGGAAGACAAAAGACAACAUAAAAUCAAGGUUGGACUUGCCAGAUAUUUGCUCAAAAAGCGAGUUACAUAUAAAAAGCAAUGGACAAGUUCCAGUUCCGAUAUUCAGAUUGUCUUAGGAAAAAAAAGUUGGUGUUGUUCAACUGGGUGGCAUCAGAAGUGAAGUUCCCCGAUGGGUAUGUUUCAAAUCUCUCUAGAUGUGUUGAAAAGGGUCAAAAGUUCUAUGGGAUGAAGAGUCAUGAUUUUCAUUUGCGGAGCUACUUCCAACAAACGUACAUGAAGCACAUGCAGGUAGUGUUUUGUAGCGCAAUAAUUUUAUAACGGUUUAGUUUGCAAAAUAAUAUAUGACUAACAAUGUGUUUAAUUGUUUUUGGAAUAUAAAAGGCAAUAGAGCAUUUUCAGGGAUCUGAGCACACAUACUCUUAAAGAAGAAGUUGUGGAACAGCUUCAGGAGAACAUUUCCAUCUUAUUGUGCAACUUGGAGAAGAUAUUUCCUCCCAGAUUUUUUGACGUCAUGGAGCAUCUAGCUGUCCACCUCCCAUAUGAGGUGUUGCUUCGUGGACCUGUACAUUACGGAUGGAUGUAUCAGUAUGAGCGAGCCAUGAAAUAUUUGAAGGGAAAAGCAAGGAACCUCGCCAAAGUUGAAGGUUCUAUAAUUGCUGGAAGUUUGACGGAAGAAAUUUCUCACUUCACAUCGUACUACUUUGCGUCAAAAGUACGUACCCGGAGAAGAGCUCCAAGAAGAUAUAAUGAUGGUGGUGUUGCGCCAACAUAUGCAGUUGCUGGUGUUCCAGAUCUCUUUAGCCAGAUUGGGCGACUCGGAGGGAAGUCAAAAGAGGUUUGGUGGUCGAGUGAACAAGACGCUCAUAGUGCACACACCUAUAUUCUACUCAAUUGCGAGGAUCCAUUGAUGCGUUAUUUUGAAAGGUAACAUAUAUGGAGACUUCUAAACACAUAUAAGUAUAAAUCAUAUAAUUGCGAGAGAUUCAUUCAUAUAAAAUGUGAUUUUACAGCCUAUUUUUUUCUCAAGUCGAAGAAACAUUUCAUGGUAUAUCCACAAGUGACGUAGACAAAAGGAAAGAUCAACACUUUAUUAAGUGGUUGAGGAAUCAUGUAUUAAUUAACUCAAACUAUUUUUUCAUACAUGAUCUGUAUUUCAACGUUCUCUUUAUUUUUGCAAGUUGAUUAUAACGACGAUGCAGAUUAUCCUAAGUGGCUACACGAAGUAAUUCAAUCUCCACUUGUAAAGGUCACCACAUCACAGAUGUAUUUCACACGAGGCUAUACUUUUCACACAUAUGAGUAUGGUAGACAGCGGGCGACCAUUAACUAUGGAAUAUGUGUGAAAGGGGAAACAGAUUUCUACGGGAUCUUGACGGAGAUUAUGGAAGUCGAAUUCCCAGGGAUAUUGAAGCUGAAAUGCGUCCUCUUCAAAUGUGAAUGGUUCGACCUCGUCGUCAAAAGAGGUGUUUGGUUUAACAAAUUCGGUGUAGUUGCUGUCAACGGUGGACGAAGGUACAACAAAUUCGAGCCUUUCAUCUUAGCUUCACAAGCAGACCAAGUUAGCUUCCUUCCAUACCCUCGGAUGAGAGAUUCGGGUAUAAAUUGGUUAGCCGUGAUCAAAGUUACACCUCGAGGACGAAUCAUCAGUGGAGAAGAACCACAUUUGCAAGAAGAAAAGAUAAAUGAAGUCGAGGAACCUGAACAAGAAAUUGAUGACAUCCUUCUCAUUGAUCCGCAUAAUCACGAGUACGAAGAUCUUACUGACAAUGCCACAAAGGAAGCUGUUGAAGACGAGUUUAAUGAAAAUGAUGAUGUUUCUAGUGAUGACGAGAAUGUCGAUGUAUCGGAUUGAUGUAUUUGAUUUUGUGUAAGGUAAUGUGGGAGUUUGUUUUAUAAAUAAGAUAUUGAGAUAAUAAGUUAAGGAAUGGGGUUUGGAAUGGAAAGAAUAGAUUGAGGUGAAAGAAUAUAUUGAGUUUAAAGGGUAGAUGGGUUUGGGGUUUGGAAUAUAUGAAGUAGAAGAUAAGGAAGAUGAGGUUUGGGAUUUCAGAUUUUAGGGAUUUAAACAUAAUACUCGUUAAUUCCUCGUAAAUAAACGUGGAUAUUAUGACAAAAUAUAAAAAAAAGAACGCGGGACUAGUUAAUUCUACGUAAGAAUAAAUCAUCGUAAGGCACUCGCAAGUCAACGAGGAAAUAACGACGAAAUAUAAAAAUAAAGAAUGCGGGGUUCGUUAAUUCCACGUAAGCGCAAAUCGUCGUAAAUACCUCGUAACCAAAAAAAAGAAAGCUGGCCUUGCUAAUUCUUCGUAGAAUAAAAACUAGAAAAAAAAAGAAGAGAAGAGAAGAAAGAUAUUGGAAUCACAUGUGGCGAGACUUACGUAAGUCUAGCCCACAUGUGUUCCAAUAUCUUUCUUCUCUUCCUUUUUUUUCAAAUAUUUCUAAUUUGAAAAGCAUUUUGCUGAGUUGUGUGAUUUGAGAUAGGGUGUGAUUUGUGAGAUUUGUGAGAUUUGUGAGUUUGUGUGUGAUUUGUGAGUUUGUGUGGUUUGAGAAGGAAAGUUGCGGAUAUUUAUAGUAAAGCGGAGCUAGCUAAUUCCUCGUAAAAUGUUGACUCGUAAAUUCCACGUAAACUUAGUCGUCGUAAAAAACUCGUAAACCUAAACACAGGCCUUUGUAAUUCCUCGCUACUUCCUCGUACAAUAAAACACGGGCCUUUGUAAUUCCUCGUAAAGCUAAACACGGGCCUUUGUAAUUCCUCGUAACUUUACGAGGAAAUAACGAGGAUAAGUAAUCUUAUAUAUACUCCCGAGCGCUCACUCUUUCUUUCCUCUCUAAUUCCUCUCUAAUUUGAUUAGUUUAGGAUAGAUUAGGUGGUUAGUAUAGGGAAUUUAGAUAGGUUUACGGGUUUUAUGUUAAUUAGUGUUGAUUAGGUGGAUAAUGUAGGGAAUUAUACUGUUGAUGUUAAUUUUAAUUUUUUUUUUCCAGACGAUUCGAAGGAACAGACUUACUCCCCAUUACAGACAGAUGUUCCAUGAGCCUGGUAGUCAUUUAGACCCGUCGUUUUCUUCAGCUCCCGGUUCUUCGGGUCCGGAGACUGUCCCCGAGACUCAGUCUUCUCAGAGAGUCUCUCGGUCGCCUUCUUCUAGUGCACCAUCGGUUCCUCCUGUGCCUCCUCCGAUGGCUCCUCCGAUGAUGCCUCCUCCUGUGCCUCCUCCGAUGGCUCCUCCUAUGCCUGCCGAUGUUCAUCCCGAUUCGAUGGUGCCUCCGAGUGCUCCUUACUCUCAGUACACUGUCGAGGAGAUUCUCCGUCGGCCAAGCAGAGAAGGUUUACCAGUCAUCGACCCCGACCGACCGGACGGAACUUUGUGGUAUGUUACAUUAAUUUUUUUUUAAUUCGUUUAAAAUUCAUUUAUAACAUUAAAAAAUAAUUUAUAUUUUUAAUUUGCUUUUUUCAGGUGGGGGGUUGACGGAUGUCUUGCAUCGGACGUAACCGACACGAUCAAAGAUUACUUUUCCAUGCCACAUCCAAACUGGAGUAAGACGCCUCACUACGUCAGAAAGACGUGGUUCAAAAUUUACGCUGUAAGUUUCUAUUAAUUAAUUAUAUAUAUUAAAAUUUUUUCAUGAUUUAUAUAUAUUUCUUUUAAGAAAACUAAUUAUUUAUUUAAUUUUUUCCACAGCAAAAAUAUCAUUGGGCCUUGGGGGUCACUGAGAGGGUGAGGAAAGCGUUUUACGCGAAGGCGAAAGUUCGCUUGUUGGACACGGUCUCCAACUGGAAGGGUGACUAGAUCGUGAAGGGGUAUGAGCGUGGCAAACCCGCUGAGCUCACCACGGAUGUGUGGGAUGGCCUCAUCCAUUAUUGGCGUCUUCCUGAUUCCAUUAGAAUUGCUCAGUCUUGCUCUAACUCCCGUAACACUAUCGAUGAGCACGGGAACGGGCCGAUGCUUCACACUACGGGCCAAAAACCCCACGCCGGUGUCCGUAUGGAAAUGGUAAUUAAAUAUUUUAUUAAAUAAAUUUUUUAAUAUAUAUAUUUUUAUUCUAACUUUCUUAAAUGUUUUUUAGGCCAAAGAGAUGGGACAUCUCCCGUCUCUUAUGGAACUUUACGAGAGGACCCACAAGAACAAGGCGGACGUAUUUGUAGAUGGCAAGUCCGAGCAAAUCUACAACGACGUGGUUGCUCGGAUUGAAGACCGCCAGACCCAGCUGACCCAGCAGUCUACCGAUGGAUUACCCGUCACCCUAUCCACACUUGAAGUGGAUAAGAUUUACGAGGAGGUAAAUUUUCUAAAAUUUUAAUUUUUUAUUAUUCAAUAAAUUUAACUUUAAAGUUUUACUAACAAUAUUUAUUUUUUGUUUUUAAGGUUAUCCCUAAAAAAAAGGGACGGACGUUAGGGAUUGGUUCCGUCAACGAUGUUCCGAGAGCGACAUCGUCUUAUGGUCAGCGACGCGAUGAUGAAGUCACUGAGCUGCGUAACGAGUUGGCCUCGACAAAAGCUCGUAUGGGUGGAGUCGAGGGCUUCUUGGACGUUAUAGCGGCCACAAAUCCGGAAUGGGAGUCCAUGUUGAGGAACAUGCGACAACAACAUCCCAUUCCAGGCGAGUCAUCCGACACACAUAACGAGGCGGAUGUUGCGAGGAGGAGUGAGGAAUUCUACCAGACGAUGAACGACCCUUAGUUCUUUUUUUCCGGUUGUUGUAUUAUAAAUUGAAAACUUAUUUAUAUAUAAAAUAUAUUCGUAUUGAUUUGAUUUUUAUUUUAAAUUAUAAUUUUAUUAAUAAAUUAAAUAAUUUUAAUUAUUUUUUUAAUUAUAUUUUUAAAUUCUGUAAAAUAAAAAAAACAAAGUAAAUUCGUAGCUAAUUUACGACCUAUUUACGUGGAAACUUUACGAGGAAAUGACGAGAAAAAAUAAACGAGUAUUUUACGAGGAAACAUUUACGAGGAAAUGAUGAGGAAAGAUAAACGAGUAUUUUACGAGGAAAUACUUUCGUGGUAGUUACGUGUAUUUUGCGAGGAAACACUUUCGAGGUAUUUACGUGUAGUUUACGAGGAACACGUUUCGAGGUAUUUACGAGGAAAUAUAGCGACCUCCUUACGUGGAAUAUUUACGUGGUCUUUACGACGAAAUGAUGUACUUCGUUUUUACGACGAAAUAUUUUCCUCGCUAAGUUACGACGAAUUGGCGAGGAAAUAUGUGUUACGACGGACGAGUAACGAGAAAACGUGUUUCCUCGCUAAUUCCUCUUAAAGCCUUUUUUACGACGAACUCACGAGGAAAACCGCCUUUGUUAAGCUUAUGUUUUCGUGUAGUGUUUAGGCACGUUUAUGAGACUUAAUCCCAAAGUAUUCAUAUGGAUACUACUUGCCAACGAUGUUGUUUUUCGGUAGAAACAAUCAUCGAUCUCCUCUUCGAAUGUCCAAUUUCUCAGGAAACUUGGUGCAUGUCCAACACUCUACCAGCUGAGCCUUCAACUGAUUUUGGAAACAAAUAUUUGCCCUAUAGUUAAUAUCCUUGGACAUUGAGACAGCUGUCCAAGCACAGCUACUUCCUUAGUGGCUAUUGUGGCGGAUUCGGAAAUCACACAACAAUCUCAUUUUGAAGAAACAUAUACCCUCUCCGCUGAAAUAUAUAUCGCUUGUGACUGGAUGUUGGCAAUUACUGUAUUUGGUCAGGACGAUGCGAUGGCUGAGCAUAUUUCAUUACAUUCAUUAUGUAUGUCAUAGUGGACACACCCUCCAUCAGGUGUGUGUAAGUGUAAUUUCUAAGCGGUCAUGAUAAUCAAAAGAGACGAGUGGCUGUUGGUUGAAUUGGCAUAGUGAUACUCUUAGAGUUCCAACAUAUUGAGGUUUUGUAACUCUUGGAGAAGCGUAUGCUGCUCUUGAAGCAUAAGGAAAAAGCAUAUUUAAUGGCAAUUCAAACUACUAAAUUCAUAGGAUAUGACUCGAAUCAUUUUUGAAGGCGACAACGAGAUCCUUAUGCGAAAUUUAGAGAAGAAAUAUAUAAGAACUACUCAGUCCACAAUCUUUUGUCAUGAUAUCCAUUUUUGGUUCUCCAACAAGUUAUUUCAUACUAUUCUCAUAGAGGACCACCGAACUUAAGUUUUUAUUAUGUAUGUUGUUAUCCUCCACUUUGGUUAACCCAAACUUUAUUUUAAAGAUUUUUUUUGAAAUUUAAAGGUUAUUUAUAUCCACAAUUAAAUUUAAUCCUUUUUUUAUUAUUUGAAGAGCAUUAAAAAUAAAUAACCUUUAGUUCAUGUGUUUAUUACAAGUGUGCCAUUUCUUACGUGGCAACUCCACAAGCUUCCUCACCUAUUCUAUUUAAACCCCUUUGUUAACUAGAGUAAUUACACAUCAUGCCAUUGAUCAAAAUUUUAUAAUUACCUUAGUUUUGUCUACAUUUGUCACAUAUAUAUGUUGAUACGUAUUACAUCAAACCUUAUCAUUUAUUUCUUGCGUUAGUUACCUUAAUCGAAGUUCUACGUAUUACAUCAAAUAUUUUAAAAUUAUGUUAAUUACCUUGACUGAAGUUUUUUCAUUAAUUUGUUUCAAUACAAAAACAUUACAGACAUACGUAGUGGUCUAAUUUUUUAUUCAAAAUGAAUAUAGAUGCGAAAAAGUUAAUGUGCGAUUAUCAAUCAAAGUUUGUUUUCUGAAAAAUCCUAAAAAGUAUUUGAUGAUCAAUACGUGCUCAAGUGAUUGAUUUUCUUAAAAAUGCGAAAAAAAUAUUUGUUCUCUUAAAAAUAUAUCAAGAGAAAAACUUUUUUUUCUUAAAAUAGUGAAACAGAAGAACCAUGCAUAUGGUAUAUACUUGCCCCGUUUCAUUAAAUUGUUAGAUGAUCCCCGCCUUGCGAUUGUAGAAACUAAGGUACAAUACGAUUUUCUGGCAUACAAUUAUAAAAACUUACCUUAGGUGAUCUAUCGUAAUUAAGAUUUUAACGCCAGCUUGCAUAAUGCAAAUAAUGGCGGAGCAAAUUGCCCAUGAUUCAAACGUGAUUUGCAAGGACGAAAUUGAUUGAUGAUUGGGAAAAAGGAAACUUCUAAUAACUUUGAUAUAUUUUUAAAUUACAAAUUUGGUAAAUUGAUGGUAAUAAUACGUGAUUUGCGAGGACUUGACUUUUGUAUAUAAGGAACGUAGAUUAAGGUUCAAAUUAUUAUAAUCAAUUAAUAAUCGUGAACUUUCUUGAAUUUGUUCAAUUGCGAUUGAUAAAAGGAAGUUUGCAUUAACUAUUUACAAUAUUAAAGUAAUUCUCGACUAAGAUUGGAGCGCAAGUUAUGUGUAAUAUUUGAUUUAGUUACAGCCAUUAUUUUGAAUCCAUAUGACCACAUGGCGAUUCCUUUUAGUAUAAAUAUACGGCUUCUAUAAUUCAGAAAACUCACCACACCUUUCUUCUCGACUUUGCUCAUAUCAAAACAUUCUCUCAAGCAAUCAAAUGGCUGGUUUUAACUCUGUUUCCGAUUUGAAACCAUUCAAGACAUUGUUUCUUUUAUAUUUUAUUAGUCUAUUGCUUAUGUUUAGUUUUAUUUUAUAUUUAUAAUUUAUUUUAGGCAAACAAAUAUACAAUUUUUAAACAAAAAUUCCGCAGCUUAAUUUAGAUUGACAUACUAAAUUUCGUCUAACCCUUACUUUAUAACAUAUAGUAUUUCUUGCUAUGACAUUAACUUUUAGGGAGAAUUGCCAAGUGUGACUCAAAACUUGGAGUCAAACCCAAAACAAUACCCUAACUUGGGUCAAAGGCAAAAGUAACCUAAAAGGCUAUUGAAAUUACAACUAUCCCCUUGUGACCAAACAAAAAAACGGAAUUUUUUUUACGUUUCUACCCCUCGCAAGUCGUCUGUUUAGACGACUUGAAAAUAAGUCGUCCAGACGACUUAACUGAAAGUCGUCUGGACAGUUAGUCUUAAACAUAAUUUAAAAAUUUUGUAAAAAAUAUUUUGAUAAUUGAAAAAUGGGAAUUAUGUAAUUAACAUAUGUCUUAGGAGGUAUAAAUUAAGAUAUAACAAAUUUCAAUUGUUUUCAGCAUAGAUGAGUGAAAGUAGUGAGUCAUGAUAUUCUUUAGUUUAUGUUUCAUCAACAUAUGUUGUAGUAUUGUAUGUGUUCUUCGGGUUAGAUUUUGGAAAGCAUUAAAACCGUUUUUGAAAAUUUUUAAAAUUACUUAUGCGUGUUCAUUUCUGUGUAUAGUAAACACUAUUUAAGUAUAAUUUGAUUUUAUAACGUGGUUAGUUAGUUAAUCUAGUCAUUUUAGUUUAGGGGUUCAUUUUAGGGUCUAGGACGACUUAAUAUUUUGUCGUCUGAAAACAGACGACUAAAUAUUAAGUCGUCUGUUGUACAUUAUCAGCCAGAAUAAGUCGUCUAAACUGGACCAAACCUUAAAGUUUACCAAUGUACUUUUAAAGCUAACCGGAUUAUUUACCCAAUAUAUAAGGUGAUUUUUUCUUUUUUUGUUUCAUUUUUCGCGAAAUUCAGAAACCCUAACAGUUCUCUCUCAAAGGCGAUUUCGAAUUCCCACGAUUUCCGAACAAACCAUCGUUCUCAACGUCGGCUAUCUAUCUCACUUCAUUCUCACCGUUGUCGCCACAGCUUCUUCUAACCCUAGCGCCGCCGAUUCCUCUAAACCCUAGCGCCGCCGAUUCCUCUAAACCCUAGCGCCGCCGAUUCCUCUAAACCCUAGCGCCGCCGAUUCCUCUAAACGCCGCCGAUUCCUCUCCGAUUCCUCUAAACCCUAGCGCCGCCGAUUCCUCUAAACCCUAGUGCUGCCGCUUCCACUAUUUCCGAAUAAACCGUCGCCCUCGCCACCGUGGUCACCAACGUUCUCACCGCCGCUUCCUCUAAACACUAGCGCCGCCGCUUCUUCUAAACCCUAGCGCUGCCGCUUCUUCUCUGUAAACCUUAGCGCCGUUUCUCUGUAAACCCUAACGCCGGUAAGUCAUCAAUCUCGAGGAAAAGAUGAACAUAAAACGUUGUCUCUAUCAAUUUACUCAUUCUCACCGUUUCACGUUUAUUUUUUCAGAUCUAUAACCGCAAUGACGAGUACUCCAACUCCUUCUGCGACUAAUCAGGUCCGCUUUGUACUGGAAGACUUGUAAGUAAUUUAAGUCGUCUGGAAAGUCUUCUAACUGGACGACUUAGUAGAUGACUUAAAUAUAAGUCGUCCAUUUGGAAGACUUUCCAGACGACUUUCCAGACGACUUAAUUAUAAGUCGUCUACUAAGUCGUCUGGACUUAUAUUGUUGUCUUUGAUUAUUUUGCAGACAAAAAGGAUGGAUAUUCCAGAACUCCCCCGUAGGUUAUACACAUCAGGGGAAGAGCCAGAAGCCCACAAUAGCAUUUUGUAUCAUACGGAUAACAGCAAGUUGCAUACUGCUCUUAGGGAAGCUCUUACUGAUGACGAAUUUGAAGAGUUCAAGGAGUCGAGUUUGGGAGUUUUCAUCAAGUUCAAGGAGCAGGGAUUUGGUUGGGCUUCAAGGCUGGUUCACUACAUGCUCAGUUUCAAGCUGGACAUUAAGAAGAAGUAUGAGAUGUGGUCUCUCGUUGGUCCAGAACCUUUGAGGUUUUCACUGUUAGAGUUUGAAAACCUCACUGGUCUAAACUGCGAGUACAUCGAGGACCUUGAGACACCAAAAUGUUACGUUACCCAAGAGAUGGUUUCUUUCUGGGGGAUGCUGGGAGUUCAUCUGGAAGCUGGGCCAACUACUGAUCAGAUAAUAGCAGCACUGAAGAGAUGCGGGGAUUGGUCCAGGGAAGAUCGCAAGCGGCUCGCGUACCUCUCCAUCUUCACUGGAUUCAUUGAAGGGAGAAAGUUUUCAACCGCUACACGAUCUACUCUGGCAAGGCUAGUGAUGGAUUUAGAACGGUUUGAGAAUUAUCCAUGGGGGAGAGUCGCGUUUAAGGUGCUGAUGGACUCUUUGUGGAACAAAGAAAUUACUGGCUGUUACACCGUGGAUGGGUUUAUACAAGUUCUUCAGGUCUGGGCGUACACAGCUAUGCCGGAAUUGGGUGCUAGUAUUGGUGGUCCCAGAGCAGACAGUCCGUCUCCACCGAUACUGGCUUACGAGGGCAGCAGAGGCCGCAGAUCAAUGAAAGCUGCUAUCUUGAGUCAGGUAUUUACUUCAAUCCAAAAGACUGCGCAGACGACUUAUAAUAAGUCGUCUGGAAGGUCGUCCAGCUGGACGACUUAUCGGACGACUUAAUUAAGUCAUGUGGAAAGUCUUCCCAGCUGGACGACUUAUCGGACGACUUAAUUAAGUCGUCUGGAAAGUCUUCCCAGCUGGACGACUUAUCGGACGACUUAAUUAAGUCGUCUGGAAAGUCUUCCAGCUGGACGACUUAUUAGACGACUUAUUAUAAGUCGUCUGUUUGUAGACGACUUAUAAUUAAGUCGUCUAUUUAGUAUUUUUUUUCAGAUAUCUAACUCGAUUCUUCUAUUUACUGCAGACCCGCGUGAUCAACUUUGUUGAGAAGGACAUUAGUGAAAUGUGGCCAAAAUGGGACUCUGAUGUUGAGGACCUGCCCGCGGAGAACAUCAUUAAAGUCAUGUAUGAGCGGAGACCGUGGAAGUGGACCAUGGAUUGCUGGGAAGUCACUGGUACUAAGGUCUAUACAAAACCUAAGGUUGUGACUCCAUCGAAGAAAGCCAAAGAGAUGGUUGUGUUGGAGGAGGAGGAGGAGGAGGAGGAAGACAAUCCAAGACCUCAGAAGAAAGCUCGUAAAGUGGCUCCUAAAGUGGCUAGUGAAGAGGCUAGAGAAGAGGCUAGAGGGCUGACCAGAGAGGAUUUGGAAAUUAUGUUCAAGGGCGUAGCUGACUGCAUGAAAGAAGGGUUUAAGAAGUGCAUCAGGGAGUUUAGGAAGUAGUCCGAUAGAUUGGAAGCUGUGGAGAAGAAGGUUGGUGUCACCAAUCAGGCUACCCCUCCACCUCUAACCAAUCAGGCUACCCCUCAAGAUAAACAGCCUACCCCUCUUGCCAAAGAAACCGGGGGUAGUAACAAACAGGCUACCCCUCAUGCCAAUGAAACCGUGGUUAGUAACCAGCCUCCUCCUCAUCAAACCAAACAGUAGCCUCCUCCUCCUCAAAAGAAACAGCCUCCUCCUCAAAAGAAACAGCCUCCUCAAAUCAAAGAGGUUAGUAUCAAAUCCAGGGUUAACUAGUUGUCCAGACGACUGUAAAAGUUGUCUGGACGACUAGUUGACCCUGGACGACUUAAACGUAAGUUGUCUGGAUGACUAGUUGACCACGGAAGACUUAAUUUUAAGUCGUCCAGGGUCAACUAGUCGUCCAGACGAUUUAUAUUUAAGUCGUCCAGGGUCAACUAGUCGUCCAGACAACUUUUAUUUAAGUCGUCCAGGGUUAACUUGUGUGCAACUUUUAUUGCAGAGAUGGUUGCCGGAGGAUACAGCAACCAAGGCGAACUCGGUAUAUAAGAUCUUGCCGGAGGAUAAAGCAGAUGGUGUCACCUCCAAAGAGAUUGUUGCUGUCACUUCCACCGAUCACCAACCGAGCCUCGCUUCCACCGAUCAAAAACCGAGCCUCGCUUCCACCGAUCAACAACCGAGCCUCGCUUCCACCGAGCCAAGCGAUCCAGUUUCAGAACCGAGUCUGGUUGUAUUGGACAAGCGUGCAAAGAGUAGACGAGCGAAGAAACCUGCUCCCACUGUGAGAUCUCCUUAUACGGCAGAGAAAAAAAAAGAUAAAGUGGCAGCCUAUAAUCCAUUUCCGCCAGUAAACAAAGAUAAGUUGAAGGAACUCGCUGAUUGGUUGAAAACUGAUCCGUAAGUGAUUGCUUUACCCAUAAUAGCUUGAUUUAGUCGUCCAAAACUGAUUGCUUUUUUGUUUGCAGUCAUUAUUCAACUAAGACCGAGGACAAACCACGUACAUCACCAACAAGGUGGUACCACUUCCUCCGGACAGCCAGAGAAUGGCUGGAAGACUGCGUAAGUCUUCUGCACACGAUUUAAGUCGUCUACAAAGUCGUCCAAGUAGACUACUUUCCAGACGACUUAAAGAUAAAUCGACCACGUAGACGACUUUUAUUUAAGUCGUCUGGUAACUUCUAACUUGUUAUAUUUAAUAUGCAGCAUAUAGAUGCUUGGAUUAAUGUGCUAAGGCAGAGGUAUCAGGAGAACCCACAAGCUUUCAGGAGCGAGCGAAUGUGCUUUCUGGAUCACAACUUUUCCCAGUCUUGGAGAGAGCAGUAUCAGCUCUUCAAAACAUCGGAACCUGAUCACAAAGGUUAAGGAAGAGUUCUACCUGGUGGGGCGUCGAAUUUUUAUGACGGAUCAAUACCUUCAUUUUGCCAAUCAAACAAGAAGUGGGGGGAGGACAUUGAUGAUAUAUAUGCGCCAGUGAACUUGAACGACAAGCAUUGGGUUGCUAUUUGGAUAUCGAUCCCUAAGAGGCACAUAGUCGUCUGGGACAGCAUACCUUCAUCUAGUGUACCAGACGCAUGGGAUGCGAUAAUGGAGCCUUUUCUCCAGAUGGUCCCUUAUCUGCUUGUUGAGUGCGCAGCCACCGACGAAAUACGGGUCAAAUACGGGUUGGAGCCAUACACAUAUGAGAGACCGCUGAAAGGUGUACCCACGGCCAACAAUGGUGAUUGUGGCGUGUACGCUGUAAAGUACAUUGAAUGUCAUGCUCUUGGGGUCUCCUUUGACCCUAAAGACUUUGAUAGGUGCAACGCGAAGAAAAUGAGGGAUAAUAUGGCGGUGGAUAUAUGGAAGGAGCUUGUUGAUCAGCAUUUGAAAGAAAAUGUGGAUGGUGAUAAGUUCGUGGGCAUGUAUGAUUAGAUUUGUGUUUGUAUUUGAACUUGUCUUUGUAUUUGAACAUGAUUUUUUAAUGAGCGAAGUAUUUGUAUUUCAGCUUGUCUUUGUAUAGAUUUGUAAAUAUAUAAGUUGUCUGGAAGAAAUAAGUCGUCUGGAAGGUUUUCCAACUGGACGACUUACAAAUAAGUCGUCUAGAAGGUUUGGACGACUUAUUAUAAGUCGUCUGGAAGGUUUUCCAACUGGACGACUUACAAAUAAGUCGUCUAGAAGGUUUGGACGACUUAUUAUAAGUCGUCUGGAAGGUUUUCCAACUGGACGACUUACAAAUAAGUCGUCUAGAAGGUUUGGACGACUUAUUAUAAGUCGUCUGGAAGGUUUUCCAACUGGACGACUUACAAAUAAGUCGUCUAGAAGGUUUGGACGACUUAUUAUAAGUCGUCUGGAAGGUUUUCCAACUGGACGACUUACAAAUAAGUCGUCUAGAAGGUUUGGACGACUUAUUAUAAGUCGUCUGGAAGGUUUUCCAACUGGACGACUUACACUGGACUUCUAAAAAUAAAAUACACUGGACGACUUAGUAGAAGGUAGUCUAAAAAUAAAAUACAAUUGAAGGGAUAGUAGAAGGUAGUUUAAAAAUAAAAUACUUGAAGGGAUAGUAGAAGGUAGUCUAAAAAUAAAAUACACUUGAAGCGAUAGUAGAAGGUCGUCUAAAAAUAAAAUACACUGGACGACUUAGUAGAAGGUCGUCUAAAAAUAAAAUACACUGGACGACUAAAAAUUUAGUCGUCUGGACGGGUAAUCAAGACUGGACGACUUAAAUUUAGGUCGUCUGGACAACUAGUCAACUGGUUGUGUACAUUGUGGUUUCGUAUGGCCAGUUUCCUUGCAGUUUGAGCAUCUCUGUGCCCUGUGUUUCUUCCUGGGUUUGUGUCCUCUCAUCCUAGAUAGCUCCAACCAAGAUUGCCAUCUUGAUUUCUUCGGUCUCCCCCGACCACGCUUUAGUUCUGGAGGAAAGCAUUCUCGUUCCUCAAUAUGUUGUGACACGAUAGGAUAUAUAUUCUCUGAGUAUCCUGCAUACAGAUAAUUCUUUGAGUACAGUGGACAUACAAGUGUGGAGAUAUGCAAACCAGCAUGUGUUCCAGCAGCUAUAGCAUGAGAGCACGGUAUUUUCUCCACUCCAUAGACACCACAAUCACACUUUGCAUGUUCCAAAUCAACCACACAGUCCAUUUUGCCACCUUUGACAAAGAAAUGCCAUCCAUCAAUUGGUUCGACCGUCAUCGUAUCCGCUAUCUCUUCUCGAACAGCAAGCAAGUAUUCAACACCCCCGCUAUGUUCAGUUGUGAGACUCAAAGCAUCUUGUCUCCUUUUCCAAUACCAUUUUUCUAACUUCUGCCUUAUGAACUCCAGCAGGAACGUAAUCGGAAAUCCUCUUGCUCGCUUCAGUGCGGAAUUAAUAGAUUCAGCAAUGUUGCUUGUUUUUAUGUUGAACCUGUUCCCCUUACAAUAAACCCUUGACCAUAGCCUGACGUCGGCUUUCUCCAAAUACGUUGCAAGUUCCGGGUUUGCACUCCGUAUCUCAGCCAUGUACCGGUCAAAAUCGUAAACCGUGUGAGCAUAAGCAGCCCCUUUCACCAAGUACAUGAGAUGUUUCCCUUUAAACUUUUUGACAAUGUUAUCUUGAAGGUGAUAAUAACAUAUUCCUCGGGUUGCCCAAGGAAACACCUUAUCACACGCACUUUUAAUGGCCUUGUGCCGGUCGGAGACUAUCACCAGAGGCUUGUCAUGAGAUAUACAACUAGCCAAUUUUGUGAAAAACCAUUCCCAAGAAGGUACAUCUUCCUCAUCCACGAUCCCAAAAGCCAAUGGGAAUAUCUGAAAAUUGCCAUCUUGUGCGGCUGCAACUAACAUAGUUCCUCCAUACUUUCCACUUAGGUGAGUUCCAUCCACCACAAUGACCCUUCUCUGAUACUUAAAACCUUUGAUAGAAGCUCCAAAAGAGAGAAAUAGAUACUUAAAUCUUUUCAUAGAAUCAAGUUCUAUCGCCGUGAUAGAAUCAGGAUUUGCAAUGGAGAUUUGCUCGAGAUAUGAUGCUAGACGCGAAUACCCUUCUUCUGCUGAUCCUCUCACCAAUCUUUGUGCAUAUAACAGUGCUCUGUAUGAAGUGGUGUAAUCAAGCGCCAUGCCAAACAUGUUCCUCAUUGCAUCAGUGAUAUGCUGCGGAGUUAUCCCAUCAAUGAUUCCAACACGAUCAAUGAAAAGACUACCUACAUACUUCGGAGUACAGUGUCUCCGCUGAGCGAUUCGGUCUCCCGCUGAGCAUAAAUGUUUUUCCACAUACUUUGUUACCCAAAACGUGUUUGUCCCAUGUUUGACACUCGCUCUGACCUUCCAUCCACAAUAGCUAACCCGACAUGUUGCCACAACGAGAGUUUUCGUUGAUUUGUAUAAUCUGAAAGAAAACUUACCCCUCACUGCUGCCAACCGCAGCUCUGAAAGCAGUGCACCUUUGCUAACAAAACUCUGGUUGACAUAGAUACUGGUACCAUUCGAUUUUCCUCCUUCAAUAGCAUUUGUCUUAGCAUAUGUCUUUUGGAUUUCUUCAAAACAAAUAUUAUCAUCAUCUUCCUCGUCCUCAUCUGGAACCUUUCCAUAAAGACUGUAAUCCCCACCAUUCUGAUCUGUUUCACCAACAAUAGAAUUAUCAGCAUCCUCCUCCCCAUUUUCCUCCUCCCCAUCUUGAUUUUCAUCUUCAACAAACUCAUUAUCACCAACAUCUUCAAAACAUUCAUCAGCUUCAUCAUCAUCACCAACAUCUUCUUCCCAUUCACCAGCUUCAUCAUUAUCACCAACAUCUUUUUCCCAUUCACCAGCUUCAUCAAUAUCCCUUUUCUCUGAAACCGUUUCGACCUUGCUGCGGCUUGAUACACAAAGACAUACUCUAUGGGUUUUGAGUAUCUCCAGCAAGUUUCGAACUUGUCUAUCACUUGUAACAUGAAUGGGAAGACUGCCUGGAGCCAUCAUCAUUUCUGCUGGUAAUGAGUAGCUAAUCUCCACACUCACUGUUCUCAUGUCCAGGUUAUAAUCUUCUUGAGCCAUUGCAACAAGUUCAGCAUGUGUUGAAUCUUCAUUCAAUAAAAACAAUCUUGCUCCUUUGAGAUCAUCAACCACAAAAUCCCAACGGAAAUCUCUCAACAACCAUUCUCCAUACACUGCAUGUAACUGAAAAAUCAUCUGCAAAUAUUCAAAAUAAAACACAUUAGUAAACAUAGAGAAAAUGAAGAAGUUCAAUAAACAUUGCCGCAGACGACUUAGCAUUAAGUCGUCCAGAAGACUUAAAGGUAAGUCGUCUAAAGAGGUCACUUUUGCAAUUGAAAAUUAAAAGGGACGACUUAAUUCUAAGUCGUCCGGCUUUGUUUGUUAAAAAAAAAACUUCAGACGACUUAUAUAUAAGUCGUCUACGAGAAACGGGCUAGUUUUGCAUUUGACCGAAUCGUGUCAGAUCUUUGACUAUUUCUGGACGACUUAUAAUUCAGUCGUCUCUGGGAAAGUUAAAAUUUCAAUAUUUUAUGAAAACUUGACGACUUACGUGUAAGUCGUCCUAGGUUAGUUUUGUAAUUGAAAAAUAAAACUUGAAAUUUAACUUUCUCCAGACGACUUAGAUGAAAGUCGUCCAGCUAAACGACUUAAUUUAAGGUCGUCCGGGAUAAGCAAGGUUUGACCAGAAAAUUGGGAAAAAUUCUGGACGACUUUGCUUUCCCCGGACGACUUUAAAUUAAGUCUUCUGGAGGGACGACUUUAUAUUAAGUCGUCUGGUUAAAGUUAAAUUAUGAAGUUUUAUUUUUCAAUUACAAAACUAACCUAGGACGACUUACACGUAAGUCGUCAAGUUUUCAUAAAAUAUUGAAAUUUUAACUUUCCCAGAGACGACUGAAUUAUAAGUCGUCCAGAAAUAGUCAAAGAUCUGACACGAUUCGGUCAAAUGCAAAACUAGCCCGUUUCUCGUAGACGACUUAUAUAUAAGUCGUCUGGAGUGUUUUUUUUAACAAACAAAGCUGGACGACUUAGAGUGUUUUUUUUAACAAACAAAGCUGGACGACUUAAUUUAAGUCGUCCGUUUGACCAGAAGACUCAUCAGUAAGUCUUCUACAUACAGAUGACUUACUAAUAAGUCUUCUACGCGAACAGAUCUUGAAAAAAAAUUCAAAUUCGUACCUUAAACUAGGUGAGAUGACUUCGUUUGCACACAGGGUCUUCUCCAACCACCCAGAACCUCAAACGAAAGCAACCGUAAGUCAAAACGAAAGAAAUAUGGCUCUGUCAACCAUAGCCCAUAUUUUGAAUCAAAAGCUUGAGUUUUUUGGAUGAAUAUAGAGAGAAAGUGAAAGAAAUGUUGUUUUUAGUUCAUAACAAUUGAAACAGAGAGAGUGUAAAGAGAUUUACGUGCAUUAAAGGGCAUUAAAAGCUCCAAACAGUUCGUACAAGGUUGUUGCCACUAUUCAUUGCAGUGGCAAUAUUGUAAAUACUUGAAGAAGAUGAGGUUGAGACAGUAAAGAAGCCAUUUUCGAAAAAAAAAAAUGUUAAUGGCAUUUUCGUAGAUAAAAUGCAGGUGUGGGGUUAAAAUCUCAAAAAAAAAAAAAGGAGUCAAAAGAAAAGAUUAGUUUUCUGUUUGACUCCAAGUUUUGAGUCACUUUUGCAAAAAGUCCUAACUUUUAUUAUGUCUACAAAUUAAAAGUGAUAAUAUUUUGAAAUCUAUUUACUCCGCGCAGGGCGCGGGUUAUCACCUAGUAUAAACUAAAAGAUAAGAAAAAGAAUUGGAAAAAUAAAUUAUGUUUCUUAUAAGAAAAAGAACGGAGUGAGAGUAAAUCUAUCUGUUGACUAGGGGUGGGCGUUCGGGUACCCAUUCGGGUUCGGUUCAGGUUUAUUCAAGUUUUGGGUUUUCGGUGUUAAAGAUUUCUGUCCCAUUCGGGUAUUUCUAAAUUUCAGUUCGGGUUUGGUUCGGAUCUUUGCGGGUUCGGUUCGGGUUCCGAUAACCCAUUUAAAUGUUUUUUAAAAUUUUAAAAUUCAAUAUAUAGUUUAAAUUUCUCAAAAUCUGUAAAUAAAAUACUAUAUUACAUAUAAAUUUGAAUAAUAUAUGUCAUAAUACCUAAAUUUAACAUAUAAAUUGGUUUGGUUUGAAUAUUUUGAUAGAGAAUCAGUAGAUAUUUCAAGUGCUUUUGGUGUUUUGAGUAUAUUUUAGCUAUUUUAGACAUUUAUUUUUGACUAUUUGUAUAUAUUUUCAAGUAUUUUAGACAACUUAAAAGUAUCUUAUAUAUUUUGGAUGUUUUAAUAUACAUUAAAUAUAAAAGUAAUUAAUAUAUUUAGAUAUAUAAAUCUAUUUCGGAUACAUUCGGGUACCCGAAAUACUUCGGUUCGGGUCGGGUUCUGAUACGCCCUAAAUUGAAGGAUCACUCUAAGGUUGGUGGAUUGGAUAAACCUUGCACCGAAUGAGCUAGAAAGCACAAACGAUCAAGGGAUGUGGAUCGAAUGGUGACACAAGAUGUGCGGAAAAUCUCUUGAUACUACCAACUUCUAAGCCCGAAGAUAUGACACACUCCGACCACUCAAAAGAUAAGAUGUUCGAUGAAGAACAAAUGAUUCAACAAGUUAAAAGGAAAUGUUUUUCUUAAAAUGUUGAAUGAUUAAAACAAUACAAUAGCAAGCCUUUAUAUAAUAGACUGUGGAAGAAAUAAAUAUUCUAGUCAAUCCUAGAAACUAUAGAGCUCUUAAAGUCAUAAAGAUUUGACUAGGAAUAUUGAUUUGACCAAAGACCAAGACUGUUGACCAAAUAUUGAAACUUUUGGUCGCAGAACUCUUCGAGUGGUUCCGUCCUUUUGCAUGGUUGAAGAUCUCGGAAUUACCGUCAGAUUGAUAUAUUAUACGACCAUGGCUUGUAUUUUCUUGGUGGGCCUUUCUUGGACAAAUCCAAACCCUGAUUUUUUUAUUGAACAUAAGGCCUCCACGUUCUGCAUCAAGCCCAUUAGCCUCUCUUGUUCUAGAACUUCAUGGAUCAAACCGAUAAGGCCCAUAAAAUACCCAUUAAGCCAAGCUAUGAUCAGUUGCUUAGCUGGUUCGUACCUUAAGCUCCUCGUUGAGACAUAGCUGAUGAUUUGGGUCGCAUCAGGUUCGGUUUCGGUUUUCUGGAUAACAAAAUUUUGAACCCGUUCGGAUAUUUAAUUAAUUUCAGUUCGGGUUCGGUACUAUUUUUUUGGAUCGGGUUCGGUUCGGUUCUUCGGAUUCGGGUUUUUUGUCCAGCCCUACCGUUGACCAAGAAAAGAGUACUUAAAUCAACAAGUCGGUCAACUCGGUUUAUUCCGGUUUGUGACGGUUCAUCUCGGCCUAAUCAGAAGUGAUGUUCAGAUACAUUGUGUUACAUCGGUUAAGAUUUCUUCUCUUUCACAUAGAAACCUCUCUGAAUCUGUGCUUUGCCCUCCCGGAAGUGCCUAUGGUCUCAAUGUCGUUACCAUCUGGUGGAAGCGGAGCCAAUGAUCUUCAACUAUGUGUUCGAUUCGAGCCACAUGAGCGCGAUGAUGAGCUUCUUGAGCGCUAAUCUUAAUCAAUUUUCCUCAUUUUUGCUUUACAGGGUUCACUGUGUUCAUAUCUCAUUUGUGUUAUGUCAAAAAGCAUUAGAUAGUAUGUCAAAGCAGUUUCAUAAUCUAAGAAGGGUCUAGGUUCUAAAUAUGUUGAACCUUGAAACUAUUAGUCUACAAAAUUUUCUUCUUUGGCAACAACAUGUAUCUAAAUUGUGGGCCUAAACAAUAAUGAAAGUUCUCAUCUUUGGGUAAAAAAAGUUUGUGCAUUUGUGGUUGUGCUCAGUUCAGCUUUUUCUCAAACUUUGUGAGUUGUGACAGAACAUACUGAUGUGAGCUGUAUCUUGUUCUUUGAUAAAGAAUGUGACUUUUCUAAUGGAAUAUUCAAGAUUAACAACCUGUUUAGACUUCCUAGGUUCUUCUGCUAUGUCUUAUGUGGAGUUAUUGGUGUUGAAAGUCUCAAUUAAUUUCAAAACUCUUAUCAGAAACUAACUUAAGAUAAGAAAGUGGUUUCUUUUUUAUUUUUACAUCAUAGCCUCAUUGGUUUUCUCACUUGGGACCUUUCCCCAACCUUUUUUGUUUUGGCAGUAUUGUUCAUGACAAUCACUAAUAACAACAAUAACAUAGAUUUUAACUAAAUAUUGUUGUGGAGUCUGUCUUUGUUUUGGAUCAUUAUGGCCACUUGUAUGGAAAGUUCGGUUGAUUGUUACUCUCUUUUGUGUCAUCAUCAUGCUUGAGACUUGAGUGAGAGAGAGAGGUAGAGGCAGCAUCAUCACAAGUUCUGAAAAGGACAAAACAGUUUACUCGGGAAACCAAAACUUGUUGAAUGCAAAAACUAAUUUUGUAAGCAUAAGACCAAAGCCCACUUCUUGCUUGUAUUUGAAUUACUCUUGUUUUGUGUGAGAGAGAGAGAAAAAACAUGUCUGCUUGUUUGUGUCUACUGUUCCUGUUCUUCACUAUUUUUGCAGAAGCAACUUAUCCUCCAGGAGGUUUCCACCAUCUUUCUUCUCUAAGACAAAACAGGAAGUCCUCCAAGUCAAAAUCAGAGUUGCCUUUUGAGACUCGUUACUUCCCUCAGAAUCUUGACCACUUCAGUUUCAGACCAGAGAGCUACAAAGUCUUCCACCAGAAGUACCUCAUCAACAGUCGUUUCUGGCGCAAAGGUGGCCCCAUCUUUGUCUACACCGGAAAUGAAGGAGACAUCGACUGGUUUGCUUCCAACACCGGUUUCAUGUCUGAUAUUGCACCCAAGUUCCGGGCUCUUCUUGUCUUCAUUGAAGUAAGAACAUAAUCUCAAGUCUGGUUUCAAGAAUGAGAGAUUUAAAAUGUGUAUAAUAGUGUUUUUUUGUGUUGGUUGCAUAUCAUUGCAGCACCGGUUCUAUGGAGAGUCAACACCAUUUGGUAAGAAGUCACAUAAGUCAGCUGAGACAUUGGGUUACUUGAACUCUCAGCAGGCGUUGGCUGAUUAUGCAAUCCUGAUAAGAAGUUUGAAGCAGAAUCUAUCAUCCGAGGCAUCACCUGUUGUUGUCUUUGGUGGCUCUUAUGGUGGAAGUAAGAUCACACCCACCCUCUCUCAAUGGAAUUAAUAACUUCUAAUUAUUUAACUAUCAGUCCCUCAUAAACUACGUUCUGUUGUGUGUUAUGUCUUGAGUUCAGUGCUUGCAGCGUGGUUCAGGCUCAAGUAUCCCCACAUAGCAAUCGGAGCAUUAGCAUCCUCUGCUCCAAUUCUGCAUUUCGAUAACAUUGUGCCCUUGACCAGCUUCUAUGAUGCCAUUUCUCAGGAUUUCAAGGUGCUGUAUGCUCUGUUUCCAGAUUCAAAUUCAUACAAAAGUAUUGUUAGUUGUUACAAUGAACUUAUUAUGAACCAAUUUUACAAGCAGGAUGCUAGUAUUAAUUGUUUCAAAGUCAUCAAAAGAAGCUGGGAAGAGCUAGAGGCAGUUUCCAACAUGAAACAUGGCUUGCCAGAACUCAGCAAAAAGUUCAGAACUUGCAAGUAAGUUGUGGCUUAAAGCUUAGUAAAACCCAUUCUUUGUUCUCUAAAAAGUGUUUACUUGUAACUACAGAGGCCUUCAUUCAAUAUAUUCAGCAAGAGAUUGGUUGAUGGGAGCGUUUGUAUAUACAGCCAUGGUUAAUUAUGCGACCGCAGCUAAUUUCAUGGCGCCACUGCCUGGUUAUCCAGUUGAGCAGGUGAGAAUAAUAGUUUCAUGCCAAAGUGUGUCAUCAAGUAAUCUCUUACCAGUUUAGUUUUGCAUCAGAUGUGUAAGAUAAUAGAUGGGUUCCCUCGAGGAUCAAGUAAUCUUGACCGUGCUUUCGCUGCUGCAAGCUUAUACUACAACUACUCGGGUUCAGAAAAAUGCUUUGAGCUUGAACAACCAACUGAUGAUCAUGGUCUUGACGGGUGGGGUUAUCAGGUAAUCUCAUAAAUACGAUUGAAUAAAGUUUUAAAUCUUUCCUCCAGUGAAUUUGCAGUGUGCGUAACACAAGAUGAGUAUGUUAUGAAACUAUAAAUUAACAUAAUGUUGUCACUGAGUGGAAACAGGCGUGUACGGAGAUGGUGAUGCCAAUGAGCUGCUCGAACCAGAGCAUGUUCCCACCGUACGAAAAUGACUAUGAGGCAUUUGAAGAACAAUGCAUGAGUAAAUACGGAGUCAAGCCUCGGCCACAUUGGAUCACCACAGAGUUUGGUGGGAAGGUUAGUUUUGUAUUGUGUUCUUCUCGUCCACUGGAUUAAUUUCAAUAAAUUGAGGUUAUUGGUUAUGUGUUUGUAGAGAAUAGAGUCAGUGUUGAAGAGAUUUGGAAGCAACAUCAUAUUCUCGAAUGGAAUGCAGGAUCCUUGGAGCCGUGGAGGGUAAGUAGUAGUACUUCAUGAUGUUAAAAACUUUUAUUGGAUUUGGAUCUUAACAUAUUGAUUUUUUUUGUCAUAUAUUUUUAGGGUACUGAAGAACAUUUCGAGCAGCAUUAUCGCGCUUGUAACCAAGAAAGGUAACAUUCUUCUGUCAAAUGGUGGUGUUGAGAAAAAUUGAAACUUAACAUUGUUUGAAUGAAACAGGUGCUCACCAUGCGGAUCUCAGGGCUGCUACGAAAGGAGACCCGGAGUGGCUGAAAGAGCAGAGGAGGCAAGAGGUGGCCAUUAUAGAGAAAUGGAUCAGUGAGUAUUACAGAGAUAUGAAAGAAUAAAGAGCAAGUUUGAGAAAACCAAUAGAAAGCCAAAGGUUCAUUACACCAGUUUAACAAUUAAAAACUGUGUGUUUGUCAUGUAGUUUAAAAUUCAGUUUCAGUGUAAUAAAUCAAAACUUGAUGUUUAUCAAACUAAACAAAUGUAAAGUUUUCAGUGAAAGAUAUUGAAAACUAAAAGAAUAGCAAGAACUAAAAUUUCAUCUUUUAACAACAAAAAGAGUCAUAAUGCUCCUACUGUUUAAAAGCUGGCUGAUUUUAGACAAGGGGUUUCGAUUUCGAUCAAACAAAUAAUUUGCAUCGGAUUGAAGAAAUCUUUUUACCAGGAAGACGUUGAGUGGUUUGGCCUGUGAAAGAAGACACGAUCGACAUUGUAUAGAAAAUACAAGACCGGUUUGGCUUAAGUGGGAAAAGAUAUAUAAUUUUUUUCUGACAACGUGGAAGAAUAUAACCGAUAGGACCGGUUCAAAUCGAGAUAAAUUGAACCAGUUUUUAAAAUAAUUGGUAGGAAAUGCAGGUCAGGUACGGUUUAGGCGAAAAAUCCAGGCCCGGUUCGAUUCAAAAUCAAUUGACUCAGUUUUAAAACUAUAACCGUGCGUCUUCACCAAGCGCCAGAAAUGAUCUACACCGUUGAUUAAGAUAUCAAACUGUAGUUAUUCUCCUGGCAAUCUCAAAAUUCAUUCUCUUGUAUAAAUCUCAUACAAGUCAGCGUGGUUUAGUGUCUGAACAUGGUAUUUUUGGUUUGAACAGAUGAUAUAGUAUCGCUUGGAGGAGGAAACUCGCCAGACAUACUGCCUUACAUUCCUGGAAUCUUACUCUGCGUGAAACCACCGUCAUAUGCCGAGGUAAAAUUCUCUGUCUAUGAAAUUGAUGAAACCCUCCCUAGGAUACUCCACUCUGAUUUUGGUUGGAUGAAAAAAGACAGAUGAUAGAUGGUUUCUUUUGGGAUGAAUGAAUAAAUGACAGUUUAUGGAUAGAUAGAUGGAUCGAUAGGUCACACUGAGGUUGCGGAUACGAUACACCAGUCAACAGGAGAAGUUGCUGAUUUACUUUGGGUUUACACACUUUCACAAUCAGGUUGUUCAUAAGAACAAUGAAUCAUCAAAUAAGAGAAUAAAUAGUUUUUAUAAAAAUGAUGAUUGAUUUGAAAUGAAACAUAGUUUAAAUAGAAAAGACAACAAGUGCUGCAUGUUCAGCAUAGAAAACAUAAAAGAGACAAAGGAGUAAAUAGUUAGGUGGUGGUUGAGUUGGUUGAGAAAGUGUAGGUUAUACCAAGUAGCUCUUCUUUACUUUCCAGAUUCUGAAUAAGGCCAACAACUUUCUCACUCAGCUUCUUGGACCUUAAUCUCGUAAUGGGCCCAACAUAUAUGGCAAAUGGAUCUUCUUUCUGAACAUUGGGUUCAUCAACAGAAUCGCAUCCAUGGGUUUUCAUCCAUUCAUGUUCAUUGACAGAAUCACAUCCACGGGUUUUCAUUCAUUCAGGUUCAUCAACAGAAUCACAUCCACGGGGUUGCAUCCACUCGUAUGCUUCCAUCGGUUCGAUCAGGAUUGCAUCAUCCCCUCCUCAUUUGAAAGGAUUUGUCCUCAAAUCUGACAUCUCUCCUACUUCAAAUGGAAACUGUUGUGGUGCAGCAAACAGCUCAAUAGAUUCAUCUCCAUCAUACAACCAUUGUUCCUUCGAUAGCGUCUUGAAUUUAAUAACACCACACCCAUCUUUUACCUUAUCAAUCAGAGGAUGGAUUCCUUGAGCUCUUGUUCCAACUUUAGACUUCUUGAAUUAAAGAGAACAUGAAUCUUGAUUCUGCAACUCGUUCUGAUAUGUCUUCUUAUAACAAAACUCCACAAAUUUUUCCUUCUUGGAUGACAAAAAAAAAUUUGAAAUCCUCUUCCUCUUUCAAAAAACCAAGUUUGAGCUUUGAUUUCUGUAUUCCAAAAUGCUGAAUAUCCAAACACAAAAUCCACAGCUUGUUUCUUCUCAUAAAUUUCCAAGUUGCAGAACUUAAUUCUUUCCAAAUAUGAUCCUUGAAACUCAUAAUCAUUCAAUGAUCUACUACGCUUCUUUUUCCCAUAUUCCACUUCCUUCAACAACUCAAAACAGGGAAUAUAAGGAUCAUGUUGUAGAAAGUACCUCUUGGACAGUUCAUCACAUAUGCUUCUUGUUUUGUUCUGCAACAAAAUCUCCAAGGUAGCUUCCUUUCUUUCAUGUUGUGUUGCCACCUUGGAAACCACCUCUUUUUGAUUUGUUUCCACAGAUUGUACAAUCAGCUCGUGCUGAACUUUAACCAUAGCUGUAGAAAGCUUAACCCCUUGAACCGGAGACACUUCUUCAUGAUCAAACUGCUCACUCUUUUCAGCUUUGUCUUUGUGUUCUUCCUGAUCUGAACUCUUCUCAAGCUUUGUUCUUUCUCUAUCCAAUCUCAUUAUCUCUAGCUGGUUGUUGAUUGACCAUGGAUAUGCAUCUUUUGGCUUCUUUUUUUUAAUAUCAAUUGAACCAAAAUCAUGAGAAAAACGAGAUAUCUUGCUGCUGCUACAUUGUUGACUAAAACUUCGGGAUGAACUUGAUGGACAAUAGCUUCUGGAUACAAAUAUUUUCUUCAUGAUCGUUUUUAGUUCAAACCAAGAAGAAAUUUGUGGUGCUCCAUUGAAUCUUCUGGUCUUAGCAACUUUAUCCCACCAAGUGAGUGCAUAUCCACAAAAACCAGUGACUGCUAGAUGUACCUUCUUCUCCUUAGUAUAGUCAUGGCAGCAAAGGACUAACUCCAUCUCUUUUUCCCAUUCUAGGUAUGCAUCUGAAUCAAUCUUCCCAUAGAAAGAAGGAAUCUGGAUUGAUCGUUUCCUUCCUUGCAAUGACCCCUUUGUUGCUUUGAUCUCAUAUUUCUCCUCCUUGUUUCUCUUUCUUCCAAAAUACAUGAUUAUCCAACAAACAAAAUUGGCCACAAGCAGACUAGAAUAUCCAGAAAACAAAAUAUAAAUGAACCCAGAAAGAGAUGAACUUGAAACAGAUUAGGGAUUGAGAAAUAAACCCAGAAACAAUAGAGAACUGAAAUCAAUCCCAAAAACAAAAGAGGAAACAAAAAUCAAACCCAGAGAAAACAUAAACUGAACUGAAACCCAAAAAACAGAGAAUGUGUAACAAAGAAAAGAAUGAGAGAUAAACCCAAAAUGAAUCGAUCUUCAGAGUGGUGCUCUGAUACCACUUGAUGAAACCCUCCCUAGGAUACUCCACUCUGAUUUUGGUUGGAUCAAAAAGGACAGAUGAUAGAUGGUUUAUUUUGGGAUGAAUGGAUAAAUGACAGUUUAUGGAUAGAUAGAUGGAUCGAUAGGUCACACUGAAGUUGCGGAAUGGCCUCAGAUUCACCACUCUCUUGUUCUGGAUAUGACACACCAGUCAACAGGAGAGGUUGCUGAUUUACUUUGGGUUUACGCACCUCCACAAUCAGGUUGUUCAUAAGAACAAUGAAUCAUCAAAUAAGAGAAAAAAUAGUUUUUAUAAAAAUGAUGAUUGAUUUGAAAUGAAACUGAAACAUAGUUUAAAUAGAAAAGACAACAAGUGUUGCAUGUUCAGCAUAGAAAACAUAAAAGAGACAAAGGAGUAAAUAGUUAGGUGGUGGUUGAGGUGGUUGAGAAAGUAGAGGUUAUACCAAGUAGCUCUUCUUCACUUUCCAGAUUCUGAAUAAGGCCAACAACUUUCUCACUCAGCUUCUUGGACCUUAAUCUCGUAAUGGGCCCAACAUAUAUGGCAAAUGGAUUUUCUUUCUGAACAUUGAGUUCAUCAACAGAAUCACAUCCAUGGGUUUUCAUCCAUUCAGGUUCAUUGACAGAAUCACAUCCACGGGUUUUCAUUCAUUCAGGUUCAUCAACAGAAUCACAUCCACGGGAUUGCUUCCACUUGUAUGCUUCCACCGGUUCGAUCAGGAUUGCAUCAGAAAUUAAAAUGCAGCUUGUUGUUUUUCGAAUGUCUGUCUUUUGAGGAGUGAAUUCGAACGAGGACAAAGUUCAACACGUUUGAUCAGUCUUUGGCUUGGCUUACGAUUUGUUUGAUUGACAAAGAAACAACCUAAGUCUGAAAAAGUUCUUGAGCUGGUGUGUAAUAUAAUGGAUGGAAAGAAUUAUCAAUUGUCUGAAAUAUGGCUUAAGACAGAGCUGAUACGAAAAAAGCAACCCACGGGUUUGGAAAGUCCCACUGCUUAGAAAGGUCUUAUGACAAAGACUACCAACGCCUUAAAGAAUCAUAACGCAAAGAUUCUUAACACGGAUUAUGAAUAGAAAAAAGAUUCUUACAUAACGGUUCUUUUAAAAAAAGGCUUUAUGGCAUAUUAAAGUCUCUAAACAAAGACAAUAUGAGUAGGUAUUUAGAAAUGCUAGAUGGAAACAUUGACCAGCGGUUUAGAAAAGAAAAAGGUCAUUAGAUAAAUAAAAACGAUUAAUGACUGAGAGAAUACUUUUUUGGAUGAAGAAAAUGACAAACAGCUUUUAAAAAGUCACAAGACAGACUACAUGAACCAAAAAGCUUAAAGACCAAUUUUAUGUUUACCCAUAAGUAGAUAAAGAUUAUAUAUGUUGGAAUGUAUAGAACAACCAACUGUCUCAAAUCAGUCUUAAGACAGAUAUGAAAUGAAACUACCACAGGUUUGGAAAGUCCAGCUUAGAAAUGUGACACAGCUCAAAAAGCAACUAAUGACUUGCUGUAUAAAAAACGGUUUAAAGAAAUCAAUUGCUUAAAGAAUCUUGACAAAUUAUGAAUGAAACACAGAUUCUUAUUUAACAACACGGCUUAGAAGCCUCUUUAAAAAGUCGAUGCCGUAGACUUGUAGACUUGUUGUAUCGAUAAAAGGCUCGUUAAGAAGUCACAAGGAAAAUAUUCUUGACAAUUAUGAAAACGACAACAAAUUCGUUUGUAACAACAGGGCUUAGAAGUCGUUUUACAAAAGGCUAUUGGUCAGUUUGGUAAAAUGACCAACGGCUUUGAACAGGUCUCAAGGCAAAUACUAAAGAUGGAUAAACAGCCCAGGGGUCAAAUGAAAUAGAUCUCUCAUGACUGAGACCACGGAUGGAAAAUUGAUUUUUUACUCUGCCAGUGCCACACAGCUUUAAUAGAAAUCUCAAGACAAAGACUAUGAACCACCUAGUGUAAAGAACUGUUUCUGUUUGAUAACCACAAGGCUUUGAAGUACACAAAAAAUGAGUUGGAUGGAUAGAAUGACCAAUGGCUGAAAAAUGUCACCAAUGAAAAACUUUAAAGACAAAGACAAUAUAUGACCACGGCUUACAAAAAAACACUACACAAAGACAAUAUGGGGUUGGUUUUAGACAGCUUGUUGGAUGGAAAAACUAUCAUCGGCUUAAAGAACUUUUACAAAGGUCUCUAGACAAAGAUAACAUGUGUCACUUUCUUAGACAUGCUGGAUGGAAAAAAUGACCAGCAGCUCAGAAAAAGUUAAGAAAAAAUGACUAAUGGCUAAAAGAAGUAUUAAGACGAAGACUAUGAAGUAUGAACCACUAAGAAUAAAAACUAUUUCUGUUUCACAACCACAAGGUCCACAAGGCUUAAAAGCAUACAAAGACUAUGAAUUGGAUGGAUACAACGACCAACUCGUAAGACUAAAGACUACGCAAGACUGACCAAUUAUCUGAAAUCAAUCUUAACAUAGAGACUGAAUCGAAAACAUACUCUGCUUUGGAAAAAGUCUCUAGAAAAAGACUAUGGAUUGGUAUUAGACUUUCAGGGUAGAGAAACAAACCACGGCUAAGAGAAGUAUUGACAAAGAAAAUGGCUUAGUUUUCGAUUUGUUAGAUUUCGAUUCGACCAGCGGCUUAAGAAAACGUCUGCAAAAGCUAUAAGGACUUUCAUAAUUUCAUUUGACCAAUUUGGUGGAAGGAAAGAAUUGAAAGUGAACGAAGAACAAAGUGAAGAACAAGAGAGAGACUGAGAAGAGAAAUAGAGUAAAGAAAGAUUUUAUUUUCCUUAGAUUUAGAUCUGUGUACAAAGAGGGUUUUUAUAGCCAAAUACAUAAACAUUAAAGAUAUGGAGAGAAGACAAAGAAAUGAGAUUCCAACAGCUAUACUCCUAACAGCUAUAUUUUUGAAUUUGAACUUCUUUUGGACUGUAGUGAACAGUGCUGCGAAUCCCAACAGCACCAAAGUGCUCAAUGCAGGUUUCUCAAAUCGCCCACUUUGACCAAAGUGCUCAAUGCAGGUUUCUCAAAUCGCCCACUUUGAUGCCGUAGGUGAUAUGUCUUUUCCCUACAACAUCAAAGUGCUCAAUGUAGCUAUCUCAAAGUUCUCACUUCAAUGCUGUAGGCAAACUUGAUCUCUUAAUGCCAAUACUCCCCCUCAAGCUUAGCCAUAAGGAAUGGGUAAGUUUGGAACCCAUGAAGACAUCCCUCAUCAAAACCUUUGUGUGAAAAACCCAGUGGGACAAAAAACACACAAAGGAAAAAGAGUAGAUGCUUCAUGGCUAAGGAGAUCAUGAUCUAAAUAGGUUUAUGAGUCCCAACCUUGGAUGAAUGAACUCACAGACUUUGGUGCUUGCCCCUUUGGUGAAGAUAUCUGCCAAUUGAUCUUCACUUCUUGUAUAGCAAGGUAAGAUGAUCUUCUGCUCUACUGCUUGUCUCACUUUGUGACAGUUCACUUCAAUGUGCUUUGUCCUCUCAUUAAACACUGAGUUUGAUGCAAUGUGAAUGGUCGCCUGAUUAUCACAAUGCAUUGUGAUUGGUGUGGUUAUAUAUAUGCCCAAGUCUCUUAGGAGGUUUCUGAUCCAAAAGAGUUCACUCGUGAGCUUCCUCAUUGCCCUAUAUUUUGCUUCAGCACUUGAACAUGACACCACCUUCUGCUUCUUGCUUUUCCAAGUCACCAAGUCACUAGGUUACCUCCAAUAAAGGUACAAUAACCGGUUGUGGACCUCCUGUCCACUCUAUCACCAGCCCAAUCUGCAUCACAAUAUCCCACAAUCUCUGUGCUCUUGUUGCAGCCCAUCCAUACACCUUGGCCUGGAGCUUCUCUUAGGUACCUCAAGAUCCUUUCCACCAUAUUCCAAUGGUGAACUUUAGGUGCUUACAUAUGCUGGCUGACUUGAUUUACAGCAAAGCAGAUGUCUGGUCUUGUGAUGGUGAGAUAAAUCAGCUUCCCAACCAUUUAUCUAUAGAGUUUGAAGUCUCCAAAUGGCUUAUCUUCAAACUCCCCCUCACGCAAGACUUUGUACCCUUCUUCAAGUGGUGUUUUGGCUACUUUUUCUCCAAGUUUUUCUGCCUCAUUUAAAAGAUCAAAUGUGUACUUUCUUUGAGAUAAGAAAACCCCCUCUUUCUUCAGCCUUAGGACAUUUCCUGGCUUGACCAUGUCUUCCAUACCAGGUGGUGGUCUCAUAUACACCUCAUCUUCAAGCUCUCCUUGUAGAAAUGCAUUCUUGACAUCCAUCUGCCAUAGAUCCCAUUCCAAGUUCACAGCCAAAGAGAGCAUAAUUCUUAUGGUGUAGAGCUUAGCUACUGGUGCAAAGGUGUCUAGAUAGUCUUCUCCAUAGACUUGGGUGUAUCUUCUUGCAACUAGUCUUGUUUUCUUCCUUUCUGGCUUUCCAUUAGCCAAUUACUUGACAGUGUAGAUGAGGCGACUUGUUACUGCUCUCUUGCCUUUGGGAAGUUCAGUUUCAUACCAAGUAUCAUUUUUGACCAUGGCAUUGACUUCAUCUCCAACUGACUCUCUCCAUUCUUCAUCAGCCAUAGCUUCCUCAUAUGUUUUUGGAACAUACUCUUGGUCUAGGUUACUAAUGAAAGCUACAUGCUCUUGAGGAUAGAUUGCAAAGGAGCAGGUUGCUUGGAUAGGAUAAGCCACUGCAUUGCUGUUGAAGUAUACCCUGGUGUCGACCCACUUGGAUGGUUUCCUCACUCUAGUACUCCUCCUCAAUGGUUGAAUCUGCUCUUCUACCACUGUGUCUUCGUACUGAUUAGAUUCAGCUCCAUCUUGAUCAUGAACUGAUGCUGAAUCAUCUUCUGGUGUUUUUGGUGUUGAUUCAUGCUCAUUGUCCCCCUCAGGAUCAGGAUGGACUGGCUCAACAAUUGGUACUGCUUCUUCAUUGGUUACAGCCACUGGUGUUGAGGGAGAGGUUUUAGGCACCUCACUGCUCUGAGGCUUACUGAUUCCUAAACUUUCCAGGAUGAUCUUCAGGUUGUUUGCUCUAUCUGAUGGUCCAUGUGAGAGAUCCCUAAGGUUUUCCCAGCUCUUCUCAUCAUAGUACCCCUUUGAUUCCACAAACUUGACAUCCCUUGAGACCAUUACCCUUCUUGAGUCUGGCAGGUAACACUUGUAUCCUUUAUGUGUGUGAGAGUAUCCUAUGAACAAAGCUUUGAUACUCUUGGGAUCAAGCUUGGUCCUUUGCUCACCUAGUAGCAACACAUAGCACACACACCCAAACACACGCAAGUGAUCAAUAGGAGGUUUAGUUUUGUUCAAUACCUGAAAUGGAGAGACAUCUUUGAGGACUCUGGUUGGGAUUCUAUUGAUGAGAAAGCAUGCAGAAACCACAGCAUCUCCCCAAAAUCUCUUUGGAACAUUGGUGUGAAACAUCAUGCUUCUUGCAACCUCCAUAAGAUGGCGAUUUUUUCUCUCAGCCACGCCAUUUUGUUGUGGUGUGUAUGGACAGCUUGUCUGCUGAAUAAUUCUAUGUUUUGCUAAGUGUUGUUUGAAGGCAUUGCUAGUGUAUUCUCCCCCAUUAUCAGACCUAAAAAUUUUGAUCUUGGAAUUGAAAUGGUUAGUUACAUAGUUUUGGAAGUUAAUAAAAGCUUCUAAAACUCUAUCUUUACUUUGAAUCAAUGUGAGCCAAGUAUAUAUUGAUUUCUCAUCUAUGAAUGUCACAAAAUAUUUAUGGUUUUCUCUAGAAACACAAGGUGCAGUCCAAACAUCAGAGUGAACUAGAUCAAAACAAUUCUCAUAAAUAGUCAUAGAUGAAGGAAAAACAGAUUUAUGAUGUUUACCAAGAAUGCAAGUCUCACAAGUUUCAUUUUUAAGAGAUAGAUUAGGUAACAUCAGUUGAAAAGAAUGAAAAUGAGUGUGGCCUAAUCUAGCAUGCCAUAACACAUCAUUAGCUAAAACAGAAGCAAAAUUAAAUGCAUAAGUAGAAUCUGUUCUAAGCUUGGUAUCUUCAAGGAAAUACAAAUCUCCCUUGCUCACACCUUUGCCUAGCAUCUUACUUGUUUCAAUAUCCUGAAAGCACACAUCAUUAGGACUAAAAAUAAUAUUGCAAUUUAAAUCAUUAGUGGCUCUUUUCAUAGAUAAAAGAUUAGAGGCAAAGGUAGGCAUAUAAAAAGCUUGAGAUUCUUUAUCAAACAGAUUCAGAUUUCCUACUCCUUUAAUUGGAAUUCUAUCACCAUUUGCAAUCACAACACUUCCUAGAGAUGGUUUAAUAUCACUAAUCAGUCUAGCAUCCCUAAUCAUGUGAUGAGAAGCUCUUGAAUCAAUGAUCAUUGGCCUAGCAGUGUGUGAUUCAUUGUGAAUAGAGUUUAAGGCAUUAAUACUUUGGUUACCAGGAUUUGCAUUGAGAGCCUUGAUCAAGGCCUCAAUGUCUGACUUCCUGAUGAAUGCAUCCUCAUGAGAUGGCUGAGGCAUGGCGUGAGAGGUGGAGGCACCAAUGUGGGUUGUAGAGACCAAGGCUCUCCCAUUAUCUCCCAUGUGCAUGUAGCUUGGUGCUGGAUGCUCCUGAGCUCUUGCUUCAUGGGCUCUGGUCUAGCUGUAUUUGUUGGCUGAGGCUGGCCUGAGAUGAGGAUGGAGGAUCCAACAGUUGGUUUUUGAGUGUCCUUGCUUCUUGCAAUGUUCACAAGUCACUGUUUUGUCUCCUCCUCCCCUUGGCUUGAAGUAAGCUUUGUUAGCUGAUGCUCUGUCCAUAUUCUCAGCCUUGUGUGCCAUAGAAAGACCUCCUUUUCCACAUCCAAAGAGACCAUCUGAGCCUAUCUCCUUUUGACGUUGAGUACACACUUCAUAGCAUGGAAGUUCCUUGUCUCUCAAUAUAUGUUUCACCACAUCAUUGAAGCUUGGGCUGAGUGUGAGAAGCAAUCCAAAGGUCUCGUCUUGCUCACGCUUGGCUUCAAGUGUGUCAGGGUCAUUGGUGCUUGGCCUUAGCAUCUUCAGCUCAUACCACAGCUGACUAUACUUCCCAAGGUGCUUGGUGAAGUCUCCUUCUUCUUGCUGUAAGUUGUUGAUGGCUCUCUUCACUUCAAAGAUUCUGGUGAGAUUUGAAGUGUUGCCAUACACCUUGUGUAAAGUAUCCCACAACUGUUUUGUGGUGGUACAGUGUGAGUAAGAGUCCAUAAGAGGACCAUCAAGAGAGCUUUGCAAGGUAGACAGCACCAUGAGAUCUUCCUGAACCCAUUUGCCUUCAUCUACCACUACAACCUCCUUGCCAUCUUCUCCUUGGGUGAUUUGCUUUGGAGCUGAACUUGAAGAGACAUGAAUCAACACCAGAAACACCAGAAGAUGAUUCAGCAUCAGUUCAUGAUCAAGAUGGAGCUGAAUCUGAUCAGUAUGAAGACCCAGUGGUAGAAGAGACAUGCUCCCAAAGACCUCUACCUCCAAGGGCUGUCCUGGCCAUCCUAGACCAGGUAAUAUAGUUUCCUGGUCCCUUGAGUGUGACUGGAAUGUGAAUUACUCUGUACUGCUCAAAUUCUCUCAAUCUCUCAAGAAAUAAGAUUAGAGACAAAACAGAGUGAGAACAACCAAGAAUUUUGAAGAAAAUACUCAAGAACACACAAGAACUCAGAUUUAUUAUCCACUAGAUAAAAGAAAUCUGUAGAGAAAUUUUGUGAAAUAAAACCAGAGAGAAAUAGAGUAAGCUUGCGGAAGUAAUUGAGGUAAUCAGGAGCUUAAAGCUCUGAUACCAUGAAAGUGAAUGAAAAACAAAGUGAAGAACAAGAGAGAGAGAGAGUGAGAAGAGAAAUCAAGAGUAAGAGAAAUAGAGUAAAGAAGGAUUUUAUUUUCCUAAGAUUUAGAUCUGUGUACAAAGAGAGCUUUUAUAGUCAAAUACAUAAACAUUAAAGAUAUGGAGAGAAGACAAAGAGAUGAGAUUCCAACAGCUAUAUUCCCAACAGCUGUAUUUUUGAAUUUAAACUUCUUUUGGACUGUAGGUGAUAUGUCUUUUCUCAAAUCGCCCACUUUGAUGCCGUAGGUGAUAUGUCUUUUCUCUACAACAUCAAAGUGCUCAAUGUAGCUAUCUCAAAGUUCUCACUUCAAUGCUGUAGGCAAACUUGAUCUCUUAAUGUCAAUAAGAAUGAUCAAUCUUAAAUUAGAGAGACUACUAAUGGCUUGAAGAAUCAUAACACAAAGAUUCUUAACAAGGAUUAUGAAUAGAAACGAGUGUCUUACUUAACGGCUAAAAUAAGACUUUUAGGAUGGGAAAAAUGACCAAUAGCUUAAAGAUGUCUUAAGGGCCACAUUGAGAAACUCCUAGAUGAAAAAACGACUAACGUCUUAAAUAAGACUUGGAUGGGGGAAAAGACAAGCAACGGCUUCUAGAUUUCUUAUGACAAAGAUUCUUAACUGAAAACUGUCUUUGUGAUAACCACAAGGCUUAAAAGUAUAGAACGACCAGUCAGAUAACUAAGGCUUAAGAAAGCGUUGAGGCAAUCCUUACUUUUCUACUCACGGCUUAAGUCCUUGAUGAAAAUAAAGUACAAACGGCAUACAAAGGUCUCUAGACACAGUCUUUAAGAUAGGCAAUAUGGGUUGGUUUGUAGACAUGCUGGAUGGAACCAAUGACCACGGGCUUAGAAAAAAAAAGUCUUUUAGAUGGAGAAAAAAAUGACUAAUAGCUGAGAGAAUAAACUUUUGGAUGAAAAAAAAUGACAAAAAACAGCGUAAAAAGUCUUAAUACAAAGACUAUGAACCAAAAUGCUUAUAAGCUAUUUAUGUUCGUUAACCACAAGGCCUAAAAGUAGACAAAAAAUAUAAGGUGGGUGUAUAGACCAACAGUCUGACAUCAGUCGUAAGACGACAUAGCUGAAACAAAAACUACCCACGGCUUUGGAAAGUCUCUAAACAAAGACAACCCACGGCUUAGAAAUGUCCCGCAGCUUAGAAAUGUCUAUAAGUUGGAUGUAUAGACCAAUUGUAUGACAUCAGUACUAAGACAGUUGAAACGAAAACUGCAAUGGCUUUUAAAAGUCUCUAAACAAAGACAACGGAUUAGAAAUGUCUUUCAAGAAAGAUUAUGGAUCAAUUUAGAAUUGUUGGAUGGUGAAAACAACAAACGGUUUGUUGAUAGAAAAAAGCCCAACGGCUUAAAGAAGUCAACUGCUUUUUUUUUUUUUUUUUUUUUUUUUAACGGGUUUCUACAGGUCCGGUCCAUAACCGGCCCAUACACUUAUAGAGAGAGAUGAUUCUUAUUUCUACACAGCUUAGAAGCCUCUUGAGAAAGUAUAUGCCAUAGACUUGUUGGAUUGUAAACAACAACUAAGGACUUGUUGUACUGAUGAAAGAACAAGGAUUUUAAAAAGUCACAAGGAGAGCCGGGCUUGUGGGGAGUGAAGUGAAACAUUUGAAUGGGGCCUCCACCCCAAGGGGCCCCCAUUUUCAAAAAAUAUUUGUGUAACUGAGUUAUUUUUUGUAAACUAAACUAACAUUACAGAAGAAAAUAACUCUGUUAUCAGUCAUCAGAAAUAAUUUUUUUUGUAAACUCACUUACAUGAAUACGUUUUAAGAAACUAAACCUAUUGUUGUUACUUAGAUUUUUUUUUCUUUGUCGACAUAAUUUUCUUUGUAAAUUAUUUUUCUUAAGGAAAACCAUUACUAUGGUUAUAAUAUAAAAUAUUUUUUAGUAAAAUUUAUGAAAAAAUAUAAAGGGAAUAUAAAUAAACUUUUUUCUGCUAAAACUUUGAAUAUAAAUAAACUUGUAGUAAAAAAAAUUAGAUUAGGGCCCCCAAUUCUUCAAGACCGACUCUGUCCACACCAUCUCAAUUCCUCAUGUCAAAGGGCUCCCUCACGGUGCUGAGACCAACUCCGAUGUACCAUUUUUCUUGACCCAUUUGCUUGCGGUUGCAAUGAACCAAACCCGGCCCGAGGAAGAGACAAUUCUGCGUACAAACAAACCGGAUUUGGUUUUCUACGAUUCCGCUGAUUGGAUACCUGAAAUCGCUAAACCGGUCAGUGCUAAAAUUGUUUGCUACAAUACCUUCAGCGCUGCGUCAAUAGCCCUAACUCUUGUCCCUGCUGCGGAGCGAGAGAUCAUUGAUGGGAAGGAAAUGUCAGCGGAGGAGUUAGCUAAACCGCCACUAGGUUACCCGUCUUCAAAAGUCGUCUUGCUUGUGCACGAAGCAAAAGCUUCGUAUGGAGGAGACACGAGGGCAUUGGUUCUUUCUUCGAUGGGAAAGUUACUGCGAUGAGAAACUGCGAUGCGAUCGCUAUAAGAACUUUCCGUGAGACGGAAGGCAAAUUUCUCAGGGUUAACUAAUCUAGACUUAGGGUAUAGAAUUGAGGAGUAGUAGGGUUUUUGAAAUGUGAAAUUUAGGAUUCUAAUAAAUAUAUAAAUAAAUACUUCAAAAAUAAAAAAUAAAAUUUUAAAAAUAGUUUCAAACAUAAUUUUCGAUUUCAAAAAGAAAUUUUGAAAAACAUAAAAAAAAAUCGAAAAAAGUUAAAAAAAAAAGAAAUUUAUGAAAAAGUUCGAAUUUGAAAAUGUAUAAUUUGAAAACAUAAAAAAAAAAAAUUAUUUUUUUUAGUUUUUUAUUUUUUUUAUUAUUUUUAUUUUUUAUUUAUUUAAAUAACGAUUUAUUUUAUAUAGAGAUAACAAGGGUAUAAGAGUCUUUUGUCACUUAAUGAAGAAGAUAUUUUUGGAAAUGUCUCUUUAGUAGUAGUAAAGAUGAAAAGUGGUACCAUGAAAAUGGUAAACAUAAAAUUUCCAAAAAAAAAAUACUUCUAACAUUUGUUAUUCGUAUGAAGUAUCCCACAUCGUUUAUAUGGCUAUUGGCACGAUUUUACUUGAACAUGAUAGGUUCUAUAAGCAUACAGCUCGAGUUAGCCUUAGUCUCGGUGGAAGGAAGAUCUAAGACUGCUAGAUCAGAAUGUGAUGAUCUAUGGUUUGAGUUUUUGACAAUAUAGUUUUUGAAUUAGUUCUUUUAAAAUAGAUAAUUUCAUUGGAAUACAUAAACUAUUGAAAGUAUGAAGUACAAGCUGUAAGUAACUUAACCCAAAGCAUUUCCCAUGAUUUCUUCUGGUACUGACUUCAUUUGGGCGUAGGUUCUGCUUCAUUGAUGAUGCGAGAACAACUUUCUUUGAGAGGACGAGGGAAGAAUGUAUUUAGUGGAAACAUAUGUGGCCAGCAUUUCGCAUCCACAGCCGAAGCUGCCUUACAACACAUUGGUCCAACAUUAUCAAACUUUCCCGUGAACACUGAUUUGUAGAUUUCAGUUACACAACCUUGAACACUGGUAAGUGAUGACCAACAUUUUGUGAGAUCGACUGGAGAACCGGGAUGAGAAACCCCAGGAAUGGUAGGGACAUGAUGAGGUGUGGUGUGUGUGAGAACAACUCCGUUGAUACGAGAGCAACUAUUCUUGAGAAGAGGACGAAAGAAUGGAUUGAACGGAAACAUUUUUGGCCAACACUUAUCAUCCAUAUCCAUAAACGCCUUGCAACACGCCUAGUUAAUACCAAACUUACCGGUUACAGAAAACUUGUAGAUGUCAAUUACACAAUCUUCAGCACUGAAGAGAGAUGACCAACAUUUUGUGAGAUCUAUAGGGGAGCCAGGAAAGGAAGUAAAUUGAGGUGUUACUUGCACCUCGGCCAAGCCCGGCUGCAAUAGUAUAGUGGCACAUAGUGUCACGAUCAGAAUCAUUGAUACUAGAGCUUGGAUCCUACCUUCCAUGGUGUCUACUGUUUUUAUGUUUUUUUUGUGGAGAAAAUAGUUUCUUAACUGGAAUGUUUUAAGAUAUCUCAAGAAGCAAACAAUUUAUAGAGUAACAUACGAAUGAGUAAGCUAAAUUGAGUCUGAGGGUUACAGUUUGAGAGUCAAAACGUAACAACAUCGAAUUAACACAUGUACGUUUUACACUACAAUAACUCGUUGCAGCAAAAAACUUACAAUAAUACAAGUUGUAGGCAUUUAAUAAUUUCAAAACUGUUAUUGUGUAUUUAUAAAGGGUUAUAUAGAUUUAGAUUUUAUAAUGAUUCUAGUGUUCUUCAAUUAAAAGACACCUCAAAAUUAUGUCAAAAUCUUUUGUUAUUAGUUUAUGAACUUGCAAUAAGUAGUUAAAAGUUUAUAACAAUUUAAGUUAUUGGAAUCAUCAUUUUACAAAAUCAACAAAAGUAUUGGAUUGUUCAAAAAAAUUGAGAGUAAUGAUUAAAGUUUGUUGUUAUUAGUUUAUUGAUUUGGAACAUGUUUAUCAAAGUAUUACAUAUUGAUCAUGUAUUCAUUAUAGUUAAAAAAAUGUAAUUGCUGCUAACAAAACACAUUGUAAAAGUAUCAUGAUGCCCAAAUAUAUAACGGUUUCUACUCUAUCACUAGUGCAUCGUAAAUUUUGUGACCCAACUAAGAUGCCAAUUAAGGGUAUGUUCAACCCAAAUCUAUUUUUCUUCUUUUAUAAUUUCUACUAAAAUUGUGUAACUCUAUUAUAAAGUAAGUUUCGCUCCAAUAAUUGACUUUAUAAUAGAUUUACUCUAUUAUAUCUAUUAUAGAGGAGAAUAUAGAAAGAUAUCACUUUUUCACUACAAAAAUGAAUGAAAAAAUGAUAUUCUUCUAUUUUUCUAUUGUAGAAUCAACCAUUAGAACAAAACAUAUUCUAUAAUAGAAUUAUACUAUUUCAGUUAGAAUUAUAGAGGAAAAAACAGGAUUGGCUUGAAGAUGGUAGAAAGACUCGAAUCUAACCGUAGAUGAAACGGUAAAAGACCAAUGGAAAGUGGAUAAAAAUGUUGAUCAAAAGCCAAAAGAAGAAGAUCAACCAGUGGCCGAGAGAGAAGGAGUAAGGGUGGCAGAUGCCCACUAUGGAAUAUUCAAAUCAUUUUUAUUUUUAUUUUUUAUUUGAGAAUUCUAUGAUUUAAUGGUAAAAUUUUUUACAUGCCCCUUAUGAAUUUAAAUUGAAAUAUUACAUUUCCCCGCGUAAAACUUUUUUCUUGCUCCACCACCGAGAGAGAGAGGCAUAGGAUGAAACAGAAUACGGAAAGGAUAAUAACAAACACAAAUAAUCAUAUUAUAAAAUAUUUAAACUCUGUUGGUUGACAAAAGAAAAGAUAAGCUUUGUAGAAGUUUAUAGUUAUCUUCAGUUAAAAUUCUAAUAUUCUACAAAAUUCUUUAGCCUUAUUUUUUGAAGUAAUUAAAGAUAAAUUUUCUAAGAUAGCCGUUUUUAUGUUUUUGUCACAAAAAUAGUGCUCAAUGAAGAAAAUGACCAAAAUAAAUUUUAUUAAAGGGUAAAAUGUAGUUUUACGCUAGGGUUAACUAAUCUAGACUUAGGGUUUAGAGAUAAGAGUUAGGGUUUUGGGGAUAUGGUUUCAAAUUUUAAAAAAAUUAAAAUAAAAGGGCUAUUUUGGUCAUUUUCUUUUUUGAAAGCUAUUUUGUGACAAAACUUAAAAAUGACUAUUUGAGAGAAUAGCCCGUGAUUAAAUGAUCAGUACUUUUUAAUUUCAAAAUACUGUUUAGUUUUAAAAAUCAUCAAAAUUAUUUUAAAAUCACAAACAAAUAACAGCCCCUAAAAUAUUAUGUAGUCGACGUAAGAAAAAAAUAGGGCCAUUAAUUAAAAUGGGUUGAAUCUUGAAAGCCCAAGGCACAACGCAUCAAGUCCGGUAUUGUCUUUUCGUUUGCUGACACGACACCACCUCUUGUUUGCACUUACCACUUACCCGGCAGCUAUACUUGCCGAGACACUUUGAGCAUGAUUAUUGGGGGUUCUUAGAGCAGUGUUAAUGGGCGUGCUUAAAGGGGGGAACUUAGCAUAAAAUUAAUAUAAUAGUGGGUGGGACCUACACAAAAAUUAAGCACUUGUACUUCUUCUGCCUAAUUAAGUGCCUGGGUUAGCCCUGUUACGCGGGGCCCACUGACACGUGGCGGCCUGCGAUCGUUUCGUUUUUAUUUUUUUUUAAAUCAGAGAAAAAACCAAAAAAAAUUAAGCACCCCAAAUAGGGUGCUAGGGUUAAUGGUGCUCUUAGGGUGAGAUUCUUAACGGAAUAUAAGAAUCCGUCUCUUAAUUUUUAAUUUAAAAAGUUAAGAGCCGGUUCUUAAAUACGAGUUUUAAGAGCCGGUUCUUAACUUUUUUAGUUAAAAGUUAAGAGACGGGUUCUUAUAUUCCGAUAAUAACCCAACUCUAAGAACAUAAUCAUGUUCUUAAUUGGCUAUCAGCCACCACCAGGAGGGACCCGCCAAUCCUUGGUUCGUGUAUUUAUUUACACCGAAAACACGCAAACACAUAGGAGAAAAACUUUUUUUAUAUAUAGUAAAAGAAAGGAGCAUUGUAAUGUAUCCGUGGUUGGUUAGCAUUUGGUCACAUGACUGCUUUUCUUCACCUCUCCAACAAGCUUGCAGAAAAAGGGCACGAGAUCGUUUUCUUGCUCCCCAAGAAAGCUCUAGACCAGGUCAAACCUCUUAACCUCUACCCAAAUCUCAUCACUUUCCACACCCAGAGCCGGGCUUGUGGGGGAGUGAAGUGAAACAUUUGAAUGGGGCCUCCACCCCAAGGGACCCCCAUUUUCAAAAAAUAUUUGUGUAACUGAGUUAUUUUUUGUAAACUAAACUAACACUACAGAAUAAAAUAACUCUGUUAUCAGUCUUCAGAAAUAAUUUUCUUUGUAAACUCACUUACGUUUUAAGAAACUAAACCUAUUGUUACUUAGAUUUUUUUCUUUGUCGACAUAAUUUUUUUUGUAAAUUAUUUUUCGCAAGGAAAACCAUUACUAUGGUUAUAAUAUAAAAUAUUUUUUAGUAAAAUUUAUGAAAAAAUAUAAAGGGAAUAUAAAUAAACUUUUUUCUGCUAAAACUUUGAAUAUAAAUAAACUUGUAGUAAAAAAAAUUAGAUUAGGGCCCCCAAUUCUUCAAGACCGGCUCUGGUCACAAGGCAAAGCUUCUUGGCAAUAUGAAUCGAUAACAGAUUCAUAUGUAACCCUCGACUUAAAAGUCUGUUGAGAAAGAAGCAUAUAUUAUGGGAGACAUGCUAACGGAAAAAUAUUCUUCAAACAAAAACAAUUAGAAAUGUCACCAAAUCAUUGAGUUUAUCAGGUUCAUCAUAAAAUCAAUUUAGCUUCAAUCAAAUAACAUAUAAUGACUUAAAUAAUCUAUUCUAUUAAAACUAAAGUACAAAAUAAUACUUGCAUAUUUUUAAGUGGAUUUUUACAGAUUUUUAUUUCUUUUUUGACUAAUUCUAACCGGUUCAUUUAUUAUUUUCGUUAAGUGUUUUACAUCUUUUACCUUCCUUUUUCACUAUUCCAAAUUACUUCAUUAAUUGUAUUUACCAUAAUAAUUUGAUGUCAUUUAUUUUACAUAUUAACCAUAAUAAUUUCAUGUGUCAUUUAAAAGAAAUUGCUCUAUUAGUGAAAAGAAUUCAAACCGGUUAACAAAAUUGUUUUUAUUUGUUUACAUAAUCAGUUAGACAUGGACAUUCAAAUAUAUGUUCAGAUAUAGAUCGGUUUUUACGGGUAUAAGGUUUUUGAAUUUAAAAAAAAUAAACUAUGUUUAUAUUUUAUUAAUUUUCGGACAGGGUUCGAAUUUGAUUUUUCCGAGUCUAGGUAAGUUUUUAGGAACCUCAAAAUAUUUAAAUAGCCUAUAUGUUUAAAAUUUUCACCGAACAAUUUAUAAAAAAGUAAAAACUAACACCCAAACUCUAGCUAUUAUAACCUAAAAUCAAUUGGUGUUAAAUGAAUAGAUCAUUUAUCUUAUAUAUUAUUCGGUGAUCCGUUCCAUCUAUCUUAUAUAAUAAUCAUGCACAUAUGAAGCUUAAAAGGAAAUUUAAUUUCGCAUGACUAGAAAUUGUAAAGCUAGCGUGAAACAAAUACAAAUCUUAAAACGAUGAUCGAUGAAGUUUCACAUAUAACUGAGUCACUAACAUAAAAUCCAUUGUUAUUAAAUAUUAAUGUUGUGCAGAACUUAGUAUAUAUGAAAACAAAAUGAAUCUUGGUGAAACUAUAACAAACUUGAUGAUCUUAUAAUAUAGGAAAAUGAAUCUACCUUAUUUUUACCACAUUUAAUUUGCUACAUUUCGUGGAAUAACAGCUGGCAUGCAUCUUAGCAAUGCCUUGGCAUUUAAAGUCCAGAAGAAGAGUUCCUUAGCUCCUUGACCACCUGCACCAUUUUUGGAACUUCACCUCUAAGACCGAUGCAUCUUUCUGAGAGGAAAAGGAAAGCUUUCAUUCGGCAACGCUCUUCUUCUGAAACUUCACCCAUUUUCUCUAACAUCUUUAGAUCCACGAUCUCAUCAAUUCUCCCCUCUCCAAUGGAUUUGGACAACCAAUUUGGAAACUUCCUCUUUUCUAAAAUUUUCCAAUCAUCCCGGCCAUAAAACUCACGAAAUCUUUCUUCUCCUGUCAGAAGCUUUUGCAUGAGACUUCCAAAGCUAAACACAUCAGUUUUCUCCGAGACAAGGCCGUUGAUCAUAUAAUUAUCAUCCAUGUAAUCAUAAUCUCCCCCAACGCAACGAAAGCCAAGCUUGACAAACGUUUCUCCUUGUGGAAUUAAGACACAAUUGGAGAAAUCAGUAAGCUUGGCAACACCAUCUUCACCCAAUAGGAUAUUCUGAAUAUACAUAUUCCUAUAUAUUAAGGGCCUUGAGAAAGCAGUGUGAAGAUAAGCUAAAGCAGUUGCAAUCUCCUCUGCUAUCUUCAUUCUCUUGUUCCACGAUAGUAACAUUAACUGUAAAUCUAGACGACAAUACUGUUUCUUUGCAUCAUAAUAAACAAUGACAGGGAAUCUAAACUCAAGACAACAUCCGACCAACUUCAUAAAGUUCUUGUGACCACUCACCAUCGAUGAUAUAGCUAUAUCGCGGGCACCUCGAUAAAAGUCUCUAGGGUAAUCUGGAUGUCCACGCCAUAGUUUCUUGACUAGUAUCGUGCGAUGGCUAUCGAGCAUACCUGAAUACCAUUUUCCAUGACCAAAUAGUUUAGAGACACAAGUACACUCAGAGAGAUUGUCGGUGGCCUUGAGGAUAUCAUCAGCAGAGAAGAAUUUGAUGGGAUUGGAUUUGCCAUCACAACAUUCGAUUAGCUCUUCUAACAAUAUCUCCCCUCUCUCUCGCCCUCUAACCAACCUCUGUUUUUUAACAAGGGCUCCUGACUUCUUUCUCUUGCACCAAUCCAUCUCAGAAUAGAACCUAAAUUACACAGAUUGAAGGCCAAUGCUGAGUUGAAUAGUCAAAGAAAUUAAAAAAAAAAAACCCUCAAGAUCGUACGAUUUAAAAAGUAAAAAAUAUUUGUACAUAUAUAAAGUCGCCGUUGAAUAUUCCUCCACAAACGGUUUCGGCGCGACGAAACUUGGGAGAACUUUCAUAAUACGUCGUCACAUGAAUGUCCCUCUUCUUUUUUUAACAUCUGUCUAUAUCUAAGGACUUUUUCUUGGGUUCACCCCCUAGGGUGAACCUUUAGGUUCACCAACCAAUAGAAAGUUGUCAUUUUAGAUCUAGUAUCUUUUAAUUAAGGAAACAAAAUAACUUGCCAAAUUAUAUUAUGCUUUUAAAAUAAAAAAUAAAAAAUUAAGUAAAUAAAAAUAACAAUAGUUCUAAAAAAAUAUUGUUUAAAAAAAUAUUUAUUUUUAAGAUUUAGAGUUUAGUGUUUAAGAUUUAUAAUUUAGAAUUUAUCCAAAUGUUUAGUGUUUUUCCAAGGGUUUAGGGUUUACCUACGGGUUUAGGGUUUACCCAAGGGUUUAGAGUUUACCCAAGGGUUUAAGGUUUUCCCAAGGGUUUAGGGUUUAGGAUUAGAGUUUAGGGUUUAGUGUUUUGUUGACAACAUGUUUAGUGUUUUUCCAAGGGUUUAGGGGUUUUACCCAAGGAUUUAGGGUUUACUUAAGGAUUUAGGGUUUAGGAUUUGAGUUUAGGGUUUAGUAUUAGAGUUUAGGGUUUAGUGUUUUGUUGACAACAUUUUUUUUUUUUGAAUUCGUUUUUUAUAUAUUAUUUUUAUUUAUUUUUAAAUUUUAUUUUGAAAAAAUAAUAUAAUUUGCAAGUUAUUUGGUUUCCUUAAUUAAAAGAUACUAGAUUUAAAAUGACAACUUUCUAUUGGUUGGUGAACCUAAAGGUUCACCCUAGGGGGUGAACCCAAGAAUAACUCAUAUCUAAGACCAUGGUUAUUGCAGUUUCUUAAUAGGGUUUUUAAACAAAUUACAUCAUUUAAUUAAUGAAAAUUAAAUGAAAUUAUAGUUACCGAUCCUUAAUCUGAGAUUUUUGGCACCGAUCCUUAGCUAUAGGAAGAGCAGGGUAAACCUCAAAUAUAUAUAUUUUUUUCUCUUUUUCGGGACUUCUUCGUCUUCUCUUUGUUUUCUCCGACGGGGAUGGCAUUCAAUCAUCGUCUCUAAAUCUCCUCUCUGCUCCUUCGAAACCCUAAAGUACUCUUCGAUGGCGGAAGUAGAGAACAAAAGUCACGAGACCUGGAUUCCUCGCGUCGAAGCUGAAGGUCUUCCCCAGCGUUUCGCUUCAAGGAUCGUAGAGCUGAUUUUGCUGUUAAGGUAUAUAGUAAACGUUUAGAUUCGUUUUCUUUUCUUAUGUGAACGAUUGUUCUCGUAGAUUGUGAUUGUUGAGCGUAUGUUGUUGUAGACGAACUUGACAGUGUGUGGUGAGGAGCUAUUUGGUUUCUCAGUUAAGUUUGAUUUGGUAGGUUACGUGUGAUUUUUGCUAGAUUUUGAGCUGAUUCGUGUCGAUUUAGAGUUUAAUCUUUACACGUUUUGUGAUUUGUUAAUUUCUUUUGCAGGAAGUAGUAUCAAUGGGUAGUGAAAGUGAUUCGAUAUAAGAGAAAGCUGCUGCUCGUAAAGAGGCACUUAGAGCUCUGAGAGCAGCUCAGGUACUUUUUGAGAGCAAGGAAGAGGGAGAUGGUGAUGCUGCUGUUGAAGAAGAGUGAGUAUGCUUUGUUAUUUGGCAUGAAUCAUUGAAAAAAGCAAACUUGUCAAAGAUAUUUAGGGAAGGAACGAUUUGAUUAGAAUGUGGUUGUUGAUGAUAUGCUUCUUGUUGUGUGUUGGUUAAAGCAAAAGAAGUAGCUCCCAAGAUAAAGAGCUUCAGGAUGGUAAAGUUUCACCACCGGGAGGGUCCUUGUUGUCUUAUAUACACUCUGCUCCACCUCUUAAGGUAAGCUCUAUAUAUACAUUCCAGCGCUGUUUUGGAGUUUAGCACUUAUCAAUACAUCUAUUUGCAGCUAAAACAAAAUGGAUGGGUUGGAAACUUUGAGCAUCAUGUACUUGCAGUUGGGAAUAGCGAUUGUUAAUGACUUCAAAAGUGUUGAAGGAGACAGAGCAAUGGGACUUCAGUCUCUCCCAGUAGCUUUUGGCACUGAGGCUGCAAAAUGGAUAUGCGUUAGUGUUAUAGACGCUACUCAGCUCUCUGUUGCCGGUAUGUAGUAUGACUUCUAUUUCUUGUGUUUGAUCUUAUGAACUAGAUGAUCAUUAGUGAAUGUCUAUUCUGGUUGCGGUGUAUCUUGUAGUGAAAGUAUUGUCUUUAAAACUCUUCUCCAAACAAGUGUAAAACAAAUUCUCUUCCUUCUCUACAUUUUCAUCACAAAAUUUAUACACAGAGUAAUCAAAAACAAAUUCUGGUUGCGGUGUAUUUUAGUGAAAGUAUUGUCUUUAAAACUCUUCUCCAAACAAGUGUAAAACAAAUUCUCUUCCUUCUCUACAUUUUCAUCACAAAAUUUAUACACAAAGUAAUCAAAAAUAAUUUAUACUUUUUAAUCACAUAUAUGGCAUUUUCUUCUCAAAACAAUUUCUAUUUUUACUAUGUUUUAUUUUAUUUUUUUUAAUAAAUUUUAAUAAAACAAUGUUUAAAUUUUUUUGUUAAGAACCCUUCAUUAAGAAACUCCCAAUGGAACACAAAAUCUAUGAGUUUCUUAAUUAAAUUUCUUAACUAACUUUUAUUAUUAAACAAGUCAUUAAGGAACCCAAAUGGACUUAUAGGGAUAAUGAUGCUCUAAUCUAACAAUACUAAAAGUUGGAUAUACUCAACAGUGACCGUCCAUGUCACUUAAAAAAUCGGCCAAUCAGAACUCUCUAUUUUGCCACGUGAGAUUAUCUUUCACUUUAAACAGUUUUAAUUGGGUGGCCCGCUAAAGAUUUCGGAAUGGCCCAUUCAACUCUUCACAAGGAAACGUCUUGACUCUUCCACUUCGUCGUCAAUCGCAUCGUUUCGGUUCUCUAACAUUAUCACGAUCCACAACAUUCAGUGAUGUUCUUUAUUCUUUUAUUCAUAGUUUUGUUCCAUCUUCCUUUGUUUUUCCUUCUAUUUAAUCCUCUUCGUCGAAUCUUACUUGAAACCAAAAUCUACUACCUCCAUAGUAGAAAAUAAAGUCAUGGCCAUAAAAUCUGUUAGAUUCGCCGUAAAAUCUAUCAUCUCCGUAAAGUCUCCCGUCUCCGACAGCUCUAUUGAUCGACCUUCCUACGAAGCAUCCAGAAAAACUCCACUGACAAAACUCUACAAUGGAUCUUAAGAUCUGAGCCUCAUCUGAGUGUCACCGUAAAUGGCUUGAACAUGGCAAAUCCUUUUGUGGUCGGGUCUACACUGUCAUGAAGAGAGCAUUUGAUAGAGGCAAAACAAUCUUGCUGAACUUCUUAGGCUUCUAAUCGACCAUAUUUGGAAACUGGAAGCGAGAAAGAGGUAUUGGAUUUUCAAUCUGUUUAGUGAUCGAUUCAUAAUAUAUGGACUACACAUGUAUUUUUUUUCUUAUGCCUUUAAAAUAAAGAAUUUUGAGCAUUGAUGGUUACUCUGAGCUUGCUUAAUCUGCUGUGGGUACUCUGGCUACUUUUAGGGACAGGUGAGUUCUAAUCUUGGUGUAUGCGUAUCUUUUAGCCAAUAGAAUGAUUGAUAUUCGGCUGGAUUGGUUAUUGAGUCAGGAAAAAAAAACACACUAUACAAAUCUAUUUUGCAUAAUAAUUAUGUUUUGAUUGAACUCAUUAUGGAAAUUCCAUCUUUCAAUGCUGAGCAAUCUCAGGUGAGAGACUGACUACGUUGCUUUAUGUUAAUGCUUUCAGAACCGAACAUACGUUUUUCAAGGUCUUCAAAUGCCGUGUAAUUUUGGGUAUUGGCUUCUUUACUCCUGCACUUAUAAAUGAAAUGAUUAGUUAUGUUUCCAUAAAGAGUUCAUUGCAUCUGGUUCUGGCUUUUAUUAGCAUCCCGUGACAAAUAUUAAUCCCACGCUGAUGUGUUUGUUUUGAAUUAUUUUGCUUUUGUUUGUUGUUGUCUGAUGUUUUCUGUGUUUGUUUUAUGUCUAUUUCAUUUAAUACUUAGCAAAUUCUUUAAUUCCAUAUGUGGGUUUAUUUAGUUGAACAAUUCAGUUAGUCCAGGUGCAAAUUUCCCUAAAUGAGUAUUUUCCAGUAUCAUUCAGAAUUUUACUACCACUUAGUUUUUCGCUCAAUUAUUAUAUCAUGUGUUUGUCCUUCAGUUUUAUGGUUUCCAUUGUCAGGAAGUUGUAUUAAGGUUCCGAAUGGUAAAAGCAGAUCAAGCGGUGCAGAUCAAGCAGAUCAUGCAGAUCAAGCAGGACAAGUGGAGAUCAAGCGGAUCAUGCAGGAGAAAUGCAGAUCAAGCAGAACAAGUUAUGUUUCAAAGUUAUGAAUGGCAAAAGCAGUUCAAAAGUGCAGAUCAUAUAUUUAAACAAUAAAAAAUUACACCAAAAAUAUCAAAACACAUAAUAAAAAAUACAUAAACAAAGGUAAAAUAAUUUAAUGAUUUGCCCAUAACAUAUCAGCAAUGUUGCCUCUAAUGUUUGUCAUAUGAUCUCCAUCAGCCAUAUUUGUUGUCUCCAUGUCAUUUAUAUCACUUUCAGAAUCUUCGUUGCUGGUAUUUGUAUGUCUCAUUUCUUCAACAAAAUCUUCAUCAAAAUAAUUUGAAAUUCUGAUGAAAUUAUGCAAUCCCAUUGUAGCAGUCACCACUCUUUUUUGAAUUAAAAUGUAACACAUACAUUUUCCAAUUGAUACAAGUAUAGUAUUAUACUAAUAAGCAUUGCAUGUAUAUGUUAUACAUUAUAUAAAUUUUUUUCACAAGCAAGUAACUGCAUGUACGUGAGUUGUGUAAGUAUGAGUUUUCCAUCCAAUUAAUUUUUCUUAUGCUCGAUGCUUGUCUCUUUUAAUUUUUAAAUGAUUAUUACAAAAAAAUAUUUUGACAAUUCUUAUAGUCUACUGUUUCUUUAAAAUAAAUAUGGUCAUAUAUAUAUAUAUAUAUAUAUAUACGUAUGUAUAAUUCUUAUAGUCUACUGCUUUAAAAAAUAUUUAUAUUAUUAUUGACAUAAUUUUUAUUUUUUUAUAACAAUGAAUAUUUUUAAAAUAUUGUAUCAACAGUGUGGCAUAAUAUUAAAGGUGGACAUGUUUGUAGUAUUUAAAAAAAAUUAUGAAAAAUAAAUAGUAUGUGAUUUCAGUUGAUGUAAAACAAGAUAUGAUAAAUCUAAAACUUUUAUUUUUUAAAAAAAUAAUUUUUCAGUUUAAAAUAAUGAUAUCAUUGAUAUUUUUAUGUUAAUUUACCUAAAAAAUUUAAAACCACACAUUUUUUAAAAAAAAAAUAACCAUAUUUUUAAUUUUGGUAGUUUGUUGAAUUUAUAAGAUUUAAAUUUACAAAUUUGUUUUAAUUUUUAUAGACUACAAUAAAUUGUCUUUAAAUAAUUAAUUAAAGUAAAUUUACCUUUUGGUUCAGAAAUGCAAGCCCUCUGGUACGUCUAGUAAUAGUUUUAUCGCCGAACUCAAUUAUAAUAGUGAACACUGAAGAAAAAUUGAUUCAACACAAAAAAAAUUAAUCAACAAAUCUAAGAAAGUAAUAAAGAGUAGAAAAUAGGUAAAACCUAAUGCUUGUCUCUUUUAAUGUCUUUUGACUCUUGCUCUAUGCCAUAUUUCUCAGCCUUGAUUUCCUAUUAAUCAAUAGAAAGAAAAUUUCUAAAUUAGCUAUAAUGAAGUGAUAUAAAAUAAAGGAAAAAAGUAAUGUUGAUUUCACAAAAAGGAGAGAAGCAUACGUUGAUGUCUAUUCUCAUUCUCAAGAAUGAAUGAGUGCAAUGGUGUGUGUUGAUAUCUGUCAUUUAUAGUAGAUAUAAACAAAUAUUUUAAAUUUAAUUUAAAUUAGAAAUAUACCUAUUGGUUAGUUAAAAGAAGCAUUGCAUGUACAGCUCCUAUUUCUAUGCGGGAAGAAGAACAUGCAGGACGCCUGCCUUUUAUCACAAGAAGACAAAAAAAUUAGUAUCCAAUGCAGUCCUCCUGCUUUUUAGGUUUAUCAUACAGAAAAGUGUGAAUGAUUAAAAUAUAUGAAAAUAAAAACAGGACAGGAGAUCUGUGUUUAUCCUGUGCUCCCAUUCAAACACUAAUAUGUUCGUUUUGAUUCAUUAAUAGAUAAAACUCUAGAAAAUAUGCUUGGAACACCAACAGACGUUGCUAAUGUCUACGUGUUAACCAUCCCUCCAAAUAAAAUGGUAAUGUUGCACCGAGCUCCAUGUCUUCAUCAAGAGUUUUCACUGACAAGGAUGUGCCUCAGACAAUUAAUUAUCUCUCUUGGUAUGUGUUUCUGUCUCAAUGAAUUUUGCACUUCAAAACUCUUAUCUAAUUCAGAGUUCAUGUUCCAGGUUGGCUGAAAAGUGAGAACCCAUUGUUGCUUCCAUGGUUAUUGCAUUAGAGGCCACCAAGGUUGAAACCCUUACUAUGGGUAAGAUCUAUGCCUUCCUCAAACAGGAACCCAUUCAGGUAGUUUGAAAACUGUUACAACACAAAUAACCAUCAAAACUUACUAUGAUUAAUGCUUGCUCUUAACCAAAUGCAGGCAGCCUUUUUACCUGCAUAGCUCUUUUAACCAUGGAUCCCCAUCAUGAGAUGGCAACUCCACAGUGUAUGUUGGAUACAAUUGGCCAACCCCACAAUGUCAAAGUGAAGGUCUCUCACUACAACUUCACAGAAAAAAGGCAUACAAUAUCUGUCACAAAGUUUGUCUGUCUUCCAGUCUUGCCAGAUGUAAGAACCACCUAUGGAGAUCAGUCACCACAAACAUUGAAGGUGAGCAACUUCCCGGGCCAAUUGUAACAUGUAACUCCGCAUUUGGUGGAACUUUCUACGCUGGGUCUUCUGCUGGUGGAAGUGCUCCAACUAAUGACAGUGAAGUGGAACAGGAAGCCAAGCAUCCAAGAUUUAGUAGCUAAUACCUGUCAAAUCCCAGCUCCAUGUUGCUUUAGUUCUCCCAUUAUCUAUGUCGCUUAAGUUUAUGUACUUCUCUAGGAUUUCCUUCUGCAUAUCUGAACAUAAUUUUUAGAUUUAGUUUUUUUACCCUUUACUUUGGGUUGAACUUAUUUUCCUCAAAGCAAAGUUUCUCCAGAUAAUGUAAGCAUUUGAUAACUCUUAUUCUCACAGAUUGACACAGUGAUUGUGUUUGAUUUUUUAGGAAAAUAUAUUCACAGAUCAGAUUACCUAAACAGUGCAACUGCUCUGCAUCUCGCGCCUCAAAAUAGCCAUCCUCGAUGUAGCAUGAUAUUGCUUUCCGAGUGUAACCAGUUUCCCAAUUGCUGGAGCCUGUUGAAGGAUAACAAAUCCUUAGUUGUUGGAUUUGAUCAAAAAGUUUUGAUAGUGUUUUGAAAGAGUUAAAGCUUAAGGCUUCCGUUCAAAUGAUUAGCUGAAGAUGUCUUUCAACCACGAAGUGAUAUUUAGAGCAUCAGAUGGAGGAACAAACACAAAGAUACAGUGCAGUUACUCAUGAAUUUGGGAACUUCUGUUGCUCAGUUCACUGUGGAAUAUUGAACCACAAGAUUCUGAAGGGAGAAACUUAACUCUAGCUUAUUGUUUCCCUUUGUCUCUUUGGUUUUGUAAUGAAGGUGCUGGGAGUACAACUCUCCAUUAUGCUUCAUGUGGCAGAGUCACGCAAUGUUACUGGAUAAUAUGUACAUAUAUACUUUGCUCAACCAGAUAAUUGAACUGCCUGGUUACUCUUUCUGAAAGUUUAGUGUAAAAUUCAGAUAUGAUACCACAUUUUCUUUAUUCAUUUCGUUUUAUUGGUUUCGGAUACACUACAUCGAUGGUUUCUUGCUCAUGGCAUCGGAACUAGCUCGAAGAAACACUAAACCCAACCAGAGAACAUUCACAUUAUAACCAUCCACCGUAUAUCUCGACUAAACCCAACUGUUGGUGGAAAAAUAGAAUUGUUAAACAUCAACGCUGAAAAGAACCCUUGAAACUACUAAUUUUCCUGAAAAAAACUCAUAAAAAUAAUAUUUAACAGAGAACAACAUAUAGAAAAUAAUAUUUAGUAGAUAUAUCUGGUCUGCAUGACAUAUUUACCUCAUGAAAACCAUUCUAUUUUUCUCAACUUUUAUGAAUUUUCAGAAAAUAUACAAUAAGCAAUUAACUGUUUACCUUUAAUGUAUUUACAAAAUAUUUAUUAAAUCCAACAUUUUUGAAGUUUUUUCAACAAUUUUUUUUCAUGCAUACUUCUAAUACUUCUAGAAAGAUUAUUUUUAUUGCUAAAACUUAAAAAAAGCUGUUAGCCACUAAUUAGAUAAUACAAAUCCGAAAGAUAGAGGGAAUGAAUAAGUUAGGAAAUCAAAAUUUAAAAUUUUGAGUUUAAACCAGAUUUUUUCUACUGUAAUAAUAUUUUGAAUAAUGUAAUAUUGUAAUAUGUGUGUUUUUAUUAUUGCUUACAUUUACAUUUUAAUAAUUUUAACUUCAUUUUAAUAAUUUUUUAUUUGUCAUUGUAUCCAAUAUAUAUAAAUUAAAUAUUCCGAUAAAAAUAACUUAAUAUCUUAAAGCAACUAACUAUUUAUAAAAAUAAACGCGGGCGUAGCCCGGGAAAAGUCUCUAGUUAUUAUUAAAACCGAAAUACUUUAUUGUUUGGAAACAUAGAUAAAAAUAUAAAUGAGAAUUAUUUAAAAAGAGGAUAACAAUAUUUAAUUACUUUCUUUUAUUUACACAUUUAGAAAUUAUAUUUACAGUAACUUAAAUACUUUUUUGUAUUUCUUUAUAUUUACAGAUUCUAACACUGCAUUUAAAAUCAUCUAUAUUAUUAAAAGUGAAGUACCUUUCGAUAGUGUUUGGAAACAUAGAUAAGAGUAUAAAUUGUUUGGAAACAUGGAUAAUCAUAUUUUUAUUUACACAUUUAGAUAUUGCAUUUACAAUAAAUUAAAUAUUUUUUUGUAUUUAUUUUUAUUUACAAAUUUUAGCACUGCAUUUAAAAUCAAUUUAAAUUAAUUAAUUAUAAUUCCAAAGCUUAUCUAACCAAAUCUAUAUUCAUAUAUUUACCAUUAUUAAUAUUAUUGUACAAAUAUUACUUAAAUCACUUGUAUUAAAGGAAGAUAAUCUUUUCAUAUAUUACAUCAAAUUGCAUUAAGUUAUAAAAUUUUAAUAUAAUAUUAUGUAUAAAUAAAAAUACUUAUUAUCAAACAUUACAUUAUGAAAUAAUAUAUUCUACUCUAUAUAUAAAUUACAAAACAUAAAAAUUAUACAUGAGAUUUUUUUUAUAAAACCAGCGGUUUAUGAGUUUACGUUGAACACAAGUUAAAUCAAACACCCGCGCGGGUCGAGCCGUAGUUUUGCCUUAAAAUAAAUUUUGUGUGUUUUUGGUUUACAUCAUACGACAUCAACCGUAACUAAUCAAUAAUCUUAAAUUGGGUUCGGUUAAGAGUUUUGAACCUAAAAUGGUGGUGUUAUAAGUUUUUGUAUUUUAAUGGAUUUAAAAGUUUAAACCAUUUUCAGGUGUUGUUGGUCAUGUAAUUUUAAAAUACAAUCAAGGGAUGUAUUCAACCGAGAAAUUGAAAUGAUUUGUACUAAAAUAAGAAAUUCAUUUUUAUUCAAAUAUGAAUUUUUAAAAAUUAUUUAAAAUCUAAUCUUAUUAAAUUUGACAGUUUAUAAAAUACUCUAAAAUUCAUUGUUAUUGAAAAUAUUUUAAUUUGUGAAUUUAAAAAAAAAAUCUAGUAUUUGAGAAUGUCUGGAUAGGGUUUCUUAGUUAAAUUAAAAAUUAAAAACCAAACUGUAUAGUUUUAGAUGAGAUUCUAUAAUGAUUUAACAAAUCUAAAAACUCAGUAAAACUAAAAUUGCUUCAAUUUCCAGAUUGAGUACACCUCCCUAAACACUACAAGAAAAUCUGUACGUAGCCACAAAUUAGCUACAAAACAAAUUGUGGCUGAAGAUUUAAAGCACGAAUAGCCACAAAAUAACAACAAACUAAAAUCAGUAGCUAUUACGUAGAUUUUUGUGGCUAAAUAGCCACAGAUUACACUUUGUAGCUAAUUGAAUUUAAAAAACCGUGAUUAGCCACAAUUUGUUUUGUAGAAAUCGAUAUCUACUAUUAGCUACGAUAACAAUUGUGAAAAAUAAGAAGACACAACAUGAUUUGUGGCUAUUUGUAGAAAUUGAAACCCUAAACAUACUUUAAACCCUAAAAUUUUAAUUUUUGGUGAUAAAUUAAAGAUAAACAGCAAGUAAUAAGGAAAAAAAAACUAAACAUUAAUAAUAAAUUUUACAAAAUUUCAAAUAUAACUAUUUUAUAUUCAAACUUUGAACCGUAAACUUAACUUAUAAGUAAUCUUUAUCUAUAAUCCAAUACUUCAAAAUUCUUAAAAGGAUAUAUAAUAAUUUUAUAUCAUAAGUCAAGUUUUAUAACUUAAUAUAAAAUCAUUUGUGAGUACUUUUGACUCUUAAUUAAAUUUUACACAUUAAAAAUCGAAUUACAAAAAAAAUUAGAAAAAUUGAAUUAAAAACAUAAAAUGGCUUUACAAAUAAUACUUAAGAUGUUUUACAAUUAAAAUAAAACUAAAUACAAUAUCUAUAUAAUCUUUUAAAUGCAUAUAAAAGAAAUUAGGAGCGUCAAAAAAGAUAAAAGAAUACUAGUUUCUAUUGGUCACUCACCUGUAUGACAUGAGCAAUGUAUGUAUUUAGAGUAUAUGUUUAUUUGAGUACAACACUUAUAAUUUGUGUUUUCAGCAGAGAUAUCCCUCUUACUUAUACUUCGAUAAGUGUAGAAUUAAAAUGACAGUAUUAUAUCUUAUUCACUUUUCAUAGAUUAAUUUGUUGAGGUUUAGAGUAAGCAAUGUUUAGCUAGAGUAUUAUAUCUUAACCUUUAUAGUAAUAAUUUAAUUUAGUAUUGAUUAAAAUGAUAAUAUAUCAAAUUCAAUAUAGCUACAAAUAACUGCAUAUUAUGUUGUGGCUAUAUAAUAAUUCAGAAAUUUAACACAAAAAUUUCCAUUCCCGCUUUGCCUUUUUCUCAUUUUCCCGGCUAAAGCAUUUCCGGGGCAAACAAAUUAUUUUCUGUUUGAAACGAAACCACAAAAUUUAUUUAAGUAUAGAAAUACAAAAAAUCUUUUUUACUUAUCUUCAAUUCUCCCUUUGUUUCUUCAGCCUCCUCUGUAUCUUUUCUCAAUCUUCUCUCUUCAACCUUCUAAUAUAGCUGUUGCUUCCUAAUUCGUGUUUAAGGUUAGCUGUCUCUCUCUUUCAUUCGCUCUUCUGAACUGAUUCACCCUUUUGUUUCUUGCCUUCGACUCAAAUUUGAUUUGGAUUGCAGAUGAAUCUCCUAGGCGUCAAUCUUAAAAUCGCUUCUUUCAUGCCUCAGUUCCAUAGCUCACGAUCCGAUUGUAAUUUAUGCGCUUCUUGGGUUAGGUUCUGUCUCUGUGAGUUUUGUUUCUAUCUCACAUUUAGAUUAGUGAAAUUGAGGUUUAAAUGAAAAUCUUGUUUGGUUCUUAGCGCAACAAGAGAACCUGAAACCCUUGCUUUUAUUUCAUUCUGAAUGGUGCUUGAUUUGUGAUUUGACGAGUGAUUAGAUAAAAAGAUGAAUCCUUUACUCACUUUGUGUUUCCAUUGUCAUAGGUUUCUGCAAACGACGAAGUUUUGUGUACUGCUUGAUAUCAAGGAGAAAACUUUGAAGAAGCUGUCUAAGCAGUAUGUGUGUUCCAGACUGUCUUUGUUUUCUAUUUGUUCUCACAUACUUACCAAACUCUUUGUUUCUAUCUUCGUGCAAGGACAUGAUAUACGAAUCCAAGUAGCAGGGGUCACUUGUACAGUUCUCUGGCUCUAAGGAAAUUCAAAUGAUGCUGGAGAUUGCGGUGGCAUCCCUGUGUUUAAUACUUAUAAUGUCACUGCAUUUGGUAAGAUCAAAAAAUCAAAAUAUGCAAUAACUAGUAACUGAUUACUUGAUUAUCCCUUUUCUGCUUAUUGACUCUAAAGCUUGGUACUUUGGCAAUGAUAUGAUGGUAGAGAAGAUGGCCAAGGAGUUUGUGGAGAUGUUCAAACACGAAGUAAUGCUAUAGGUAGGUAUAUUCUCCUAACUCAUUCUGCAUAUAAGUACCUUUAGGCUACCGAUUAGCUUGAUUAUUUUGAUUUACAACACUAAUAUAGGGCGAUCUUAGGAGGAGCCAUACUUAUUCCUGAAGACGCAAUGCAAGUAGCAAAGAAGAGACAUAAUUGAUUGAUAUCAGUGACGAGGAAGAAACAAGUCUCGAAGGAGAUUUAAGUUUGGGUAUAAGGAUGAGUGGUACGUAGGCAAAUCGAACCUCCGGUCAAGUUUGAUAUAGCCAAGAGACCAGGAGCAAAGAGAUACCGUGCACCAGUUUAGAUUUAGGUUUUUAUUAGGUUUUCAAAACCAGUUUAUUAUUUAUGAACCAGUUUUAAUUUGUAAACCAUAUUGAAAAUAUUAUUGGAAAUAAAAGAAAAUAAAAUAAUUGAUUUGGUUUUAGUAUUUAUUGUAAUUGUUAUUAAUUAAUUAAUUAAUUUGAUUAUAGAAAAAAUGCAUUUUAAUUAAAUUUUAUAAUAAUGGCAACAAUUUAGUUUGUGGCUGAUUGUAGAAAAUUUUCUACGGUUUAGAAUAUGGUUUUUUGUAGCGAAAAGAGCAACAAACUUGAGUUAGCGCUAUUUGUAGCUAGUGGCUACAAAAAUCGUUUGUGGCUAAGUCGUAGAAGUAGAGCAACAAAUAGCAACACUUAUUCGAUUGCCACAAGCUCAUAGUCAACGAAUUUUUGUUGUGGCGAUUUGUGGCUAAGUGUUAAAUAGCCACGAAAAUUAGUCGAUAGCCACCAUAUUUUUCGUGGCUAAAUACAUAAUUUCUUGUAGUGAAAUUUCCGUACUCACCGUCAAAUCACAUGAUUAAUUUUAUAAAUUUUUAUAUUUAGCCAUUUAAAAAUAGUGUUGUUUACAAAUUACAAUGCACAUAUUUUAUUUUUGGGUGUAUACUUACUUAAAUUUGAUUUUAUAAUCUGUAAAAAUAAUUGGUGUACUAACUACAUUAUUUCUAACCAACGAUAUAGUUAUGCUUUGUAAUAUUUCAUCUUCGUUUAUUAAUUAAAAUUAAAUUAAUAUUAUUUUACAAUGUUAAUAACAAUUACGAAUUUAACUAAUCAUAAAAAAGAUUGGAAAGAUUAUAUAAGAUUUUAUUAUUAGAAGAUAUUAUUAGUAAGUUGAUUAGAAAAAAUCAACAUUAUUGCUAUUAAUAAAAAAGGUAAAAUUAAAAUAUUUUUAAUUCACAUAUCAUCAUACUUUAGAAAAUGUUUAUUUAUUUACUGUUUGUAUUUUAAUAGAAUAGACUAUGAUAUGAUCCAUGUCAAAUGUGAAUUACGUUUCUAGGUUAAGUUUCUUUUUAUAUAUAAAACAAAAAAAAUCGACAUGUUAACAUAUAAAAAUAUUUUGUGUCAUUUGGGUCAAAAUGUGAUAAUUAUGGGUCUCGUGAACAUAUGUCAUCACCGUAUUCACAUCACCACACUGAAAUUAAUAUACAAUUAUAUAAAAAACAUGUUAUCACCAUAUUCAUUCUCAACAAGAAAAAUAUGAUAUGAUCUUUUAAAAACAUGACAUAGCAUCAACUUAACAGUGAUACGGUUUUAUAAAGAUUUAGAUUUUAGAUUUUUUUUUUAAUAUGGUAAUAACUAGUAAAUUAUAUAUCACUAUUAAAGUAAAUUUACAUAUAAAUAUUUAAUUUUGACAAGAUUUUUGAAAUAUAGGAAUAAUUUAUAAUUUAUAUAUCACCAUUAGAUAAAAUAUAUAUAGCACAUUAAUGACAAACUAAGCUAAAUAUAAUUACAAAUAUAAUUUUAAAUCUAUGGAAGUUUAACAAAAUCAAAUUGAAAUAGUUAAACAAAGCACAAGAAACAAGACUACAUAAUAUUUUGCUGGAUGAAGUUAAAAUAUAAAAAUAAUAAUGUCUAAAUACAAACUAAAUUUUCCUUUUAAAAUAAAUGAUAUUAUAUUUAAAAUUAUUAUUCUGCGGAUGGCUUAAGAAAACUCUUAAUAUCUAAUAAAUUAUUAUAUAUGAUGGUAUAUUUUCCAUAUUUGUUAAGGCGUCUGCCUAAAAUGAUAGAAAAACAUUGAGAGUAUUAUGACGGGAUGAGGCAGCUCACUUGGUAAGGACUUUGUGGGCCAAUUGUCAUGCUCACGGGUUCGACGCCACCCGGAGGCGAACUGUCCAUUCUGUCACCAAAUGCGGUACUGGGUGUUGGGCCUUGUCCCCAGCCCAGGUAAAGCCCUCCCGGAUGAAGUGGACCGCUGCCUAAACGGACCCAGGGGAAUGAUCCACGUAAGUGGAGAACCCCUGGAUUAUCAAAAAAAAAAAAUAUUGAGAGUAUUAUUCAUAUACGUGUACCUAAUUUAUACCUAGUUAAGAAUCUAAAAGUUAAAGUUAUAUAAUAAAAAUAGGAUUACACGUAUAAAAGUUAUCUAAUAAAAAAAUUCACAUCAUAAUAUAAUAGUUGAGAAGAUAGCAUAUUUCCCUAUGAACUAGUUGUUCCCGGUUUUUUCACACACAAACUUUGAAGUCAUGCCAGAAACCACAUGAAGAACAUGAAAAUAGCUUAUUCUCCUAUAAACUAGUUGUUCCUGGCUUUUCACACACAAAUUUUUAAGUCAUGCCAAAAACCACAUGAACAACUCUAUUUUAUGAAUUACAUACACAAACUAUUGAUUUUAAACUAAUUCCCCUAAAACCGUAAACGUGAUAUUUAAACGUUAACUUGGUUUAUGACAGAUAGAGAGAGUUUAAUUUGAGUUGAUAAAAAAAUACUACGUCGUUUUAUUUUUAUUUUUUUUAUUUUUUUGUCAAUUGUUCAUUUUCUUCAUAGAUCUUUUUAUUUUUCAUCAUCAAUUGGAGAUACUGCACUGAUUUUAUAGUUCUUAGUGGCAAUACAUGGAGAUUGGUAAGCUAGUAUUUGAUGCUCUUCUUUCUUUAUGCGUCAUGUAAAACGUUUUAUUCUUCUACAGAAUAAUAAAUUUUAUCUUCAAUUGAAGAUGAAAAAUAAAACGAUUUCCGAAGAAGAAUAGCAGUUGACUAAAAAGAAGAAAAAGAAUAAAAUGGCACAGUAUUUUUUAUCAAUGUCAAUUAGAGGAAUUAUGUAUGGUAUGUAUAGCGACUACAACAAAUCAUGUUAUCUCCUGGUGCAGGAGUAUAUGGAAUGGGCAGCGACGUGACAAAUAGAUCGCACCCACUGAUCUAUUAAGUGACAUAAGGCGAUGGAUCACAAUAGAUGACAGCCGAACACAAGAUCAUUUAAGACCGAGAACAAAAAUAGAUAAAGUUAGUGAAUUAGUCUAUUCUGCAAAAGAGUUAGGAAGCAUCGUGUUAUUACUUUUCUAUUAUCAUGUUCAAUUUAAAAAUGUAUUUGUUGUAUGUUUCUAUUCUUGUAUUAUGUUAAACCUCUUUUGAUAUUAAUAAAGAUAAAAUGUUAUAAAACAAAAUUCAACAGACUCUCCACCUGUCAUAAAUCAAGUUAUUUUUUAAAUAACAUUGUUUAAGGUUUUAGGGGAAUUAGUUUGUUCAUGUGGUUUUUGGCAUGGCUUAAAAGUUUGUGUGUGAAAAAAUCAGGAACAACUAGUUCAUAGGAGAAUAAACCAUUUUCCCAUUGUUCAUGUAAUUUUUGGCAUGGCUUAAAAAUUCGUGUAUGAAAAAACCGGGAACAAUUAGUUCAUAGGGGAACAUGUCAUUUUCCCUAUAAUAGUUAGUGUUAAACAUGAAAAGUUCUCUAAUGAUUUUCAAAAUUUGCAUAUCAAACUGUCGGUAGAAAGCAUUUUACCUUCGAGGUAGGUCUUUAACAAUUGGCAAGUCACAUAUACAACGAUUCCGACUCGUUUUGGACCUUUACCAAUUACCCCCUGCUGCUGAAAUUAGUUAAAAGUUAAAACGAAAUGCUUUCAUGAUAGUAAGAAGUAAACGACGUCGUUUAGCCUGAGAUCCUCCGAUCGACAAGAUUUUCAAAAUUGAGCAUUCGUCACCGCUGCACUGUCGCGGAGGUUGGGAAACUGCAUUAGGUUCCUGGUGAUAUUCUCUUUAGUAUCAACUCGAGGUUUCGUUCUAUCUUCUUUUUUGAAUUAUACACAGUUUCCCCCAAAGACUUACCAGACCCAAUGGACUAAUCUGUGUUGCUGCGACCCCAAUGUUAAAUUUCGCCGUGGCCGGGAAUCGAACCCAAGUGGCGGUACUCACAGCUGUGAGCCUUUUACCACCAGAGCUAGAUGCCCCGGUUUUUCGUUCUAUCUUCUCUCUAGCUCUGAUUGAGAAUCUAUCAUCUGUGUUCCUCCGUUUGAUUUUUGGUUCAUUUUAGAGUGUGAAUACGGGACCUUUUUCUCCCAAAUUGAUGAUGAAGGUGGUUGAAUCUCUUACAUUUUGAUCUUUCGUUGUAUUCUAACAAGUCUCGUUCUCUUUUUGUAUUCUUCUUGCAUUGCUUGCAAACCUCUCUACUACUAGUUACGUCUCGUUCUUGAGCCCUUGAAUUUGGUUUUGAGAUUCUCUUCUCUUAGAAAUAUAGUUGAUAGCUAUUUGUUAUCCAGAUUAUACUAUCUCUAAUGAUGUAAUUUGUAUGAGAUGAUUCCUAAUCAAGAACCUUAUGGAAUCAUCUGAAUGCAUGUGAGUUUUGGUGUAUAAGUAACCAAUUCUCCAGAGCGUAACUAACUUUCUUAAGGUAACUACUCUAUUAGGGGUUUUUGAUCAGUCAUGGUAGAAUGAGAUUUUCUUAUCUGUUGCAUUAGGAACACUUUGAAAAGUUAGUUUUAAAUUGUUUAUCUCUUUUUAAAGAUCCUUACUUAUGUUAGUGUGACAGAUUGUGGAAGUGAUGAUCCUAAGUUCAAACUUCAAAAAGAAGAUGGAGAAGCAGUUUGUGGGCAGUUUCAGAAGAGCAUAGUCGUCACAUGAAUUUUACAUUGGCCGAAGCUAAAAGGGUUGCUUCACAGUACCAAAAAGGAGGCUGAGAAGUGUAACGCUGCAACAGUAAUUUGCGAGUCAGCUAGGGAGAGAGAGAGAGCUCAAGAAUUGUUUCUCAAAGAGAAGAAGGUCACUUCUUUGUGGGAGCGGAGGGCUUGGCAAUUAGGUUGGAAAGGUGAGUAAGCAUUUCACUGUUUUGUGACUUCUUCUCAGUGUCCCCUGAAGGGUUUCUCGUUGGAAGCAAACUAGAUUUUCUCUUCCGCAUAUAGCUCAUGAGAACAUGAGGAUCGCUUAAUUCACAAGGCAAAGUUUUAUAUGUAGCUCUUUUUUGUUAUGCUCUCGAAUCCAAGUAUAGAUAAUGAAAGUGACUUAUUUUGACUUUUCUUCAAAGUUCAGAUAUAUUUUUGUCUAGUAGUCACAUUGGAAAAGAAGUCACCGACUUCUGUAUUUUAUAUUCAUGUUCAUCAGCAAACCUAACCAUCAAAUUCUUACUAGCCAGAGAUAAAUAUAUGAUUUAAGAUCUAUCUAAACUAGCGUUUUGUGUUUGUUGAGAUUUACAUCUGAUUGAGACAGCAAGACUGAUUUGAUUUUAUGAGGAUUUGUAUAACUGUUAUAUGAACAUGGCCUAUGCAUAAGUAGGUCAAGAGUUACUUACUUGACUCUAUUUUCUUUUCUUUUUUUUUUUGUAAAGACUAGCAAAUACAUUUUCAGAUGUGGAGAAACAUGAGAAUGUGGGAAGGGGGACAAGUGCAGAGAAGAGACAAAACUGGAGAAGUCAAAAACGCAAUAAGGUUGACAUAAUGCAGCAUAUGAUAGCUCCAGGUAUCACGCCGUAUCAGCUUUCAAUAUUCAUUCAAGCACAAAAACAGCUGCUUUUUUUCUAUAUAAUUCGAUUUGUUUAUACUAGUGUCAGCCAUUAAAAUAGUGUCUCUCUCUAUGCAUUAUUCUAAUGCUCACAUGGACAGAUUCCAUAAAGUUUUUUCUUUUUAUAAACGCUUUGGAUCUACCAUUAAAGAACAGAUCUCGGUUCAGUGACUUCUGCAAACCGUCCAAAACCCAUGUGGGUUGUCUAGACUCUAUAGCUUGUGGCUAUUUGUUUUAUAUUCAACUUAUGAUGUGUGUUAUGUUUCUUGUGUUCUUCCUCUGAAGCUUCCUUUCGUGGACUUCUGUUGUUUUUUUUUCUAAUUUUUGUAUAUCUCUUGACACAGAGAUUGUAAUUUCUUUUUUUCUUAAAUGGAAAGUUCCAUGAACAAGCGUGGAUACGAAUGCAGUCAAGAGGAUGCAGACAACUUGGCAGAAUCGAAGAGACAAAAAGUGCCUGCUUUGGCAAGGUAACUUCCUUAAAUACUUUUUCUGUCAUUUUUCAGUUCAAAGUAACUCAAUGGUUAUACCUCACAAACAACUAUUGAAGAAAAACUUGCUUUGUUGUUAGAUCAUAGGGGAGAAUGUAAACUCUCUUGCAUUUAAAACUAAGAUUCUUAAACUCUUCUUGAGUGUAGAUGUAACCUUUGUUUGGGCUAAUUUGUUAAGCUCUCAAAAUUGUUUAGUUUAGUUUCCAAAGCUCUUUAUUCGCUUGCAAGCUUAUUGGUUUGCUUACCUACCCGUCAUAUAAAAUGAACUGUUUACAGUGUUAUUGUGGAAGCUGUCAAGGUAGAUAGUCUGCAGAGGCUUUGCUCGUCUUUGGAGCCAUUGUUUCGCAGAAUCGUGAGCUUUUAUCCUCUGCUUUUAGAGUAAAAAAAUUAUGCUUGUGUAGUUGUAAACUUAUCUAUGGUGUGGACAAAUAAACAGGUUAGCGAAGAGGUUGAACGAGCCUUAUCAAAGUUGGGAAAUUCAAAAUUAACGUCCAGGUACUUUCUCCAGUUAUACUUUUUCCUUUUGGAAUGGUUAUGUGAUCUUUGUAGCGUUUGAGUUUCUGGUUUAUAAAAUUUCCAGGUCACCAGAACCUAAGAGGAUCCAAGGCCGCGAUGGAAGAAACCUUCAACUUCACUUUAAGACGCGAAUGCCUCCUCACUUAUUCACAGGUGGGAAAGUGGAGGGAGAGCGAGGCUCGGCCAUUCAUGUGGUUCUUAUCGAUGCAAACACUGGAAAUGUAGUCCAAACAGGAGAAGAGUCGGCUUCGAAGCUCAAUGUGGUAGUGUUGGAGGGAGACUUCAAUGAUGAGGAUGAUGAAGAUUGGACCAGAGAGCACUUCGAGAGCUUUGAAGUGAAAGAGCGAGAAGGGAAACGCCCAAUCUUGACCGGUGACACGCAGGUAGUGCUUAAGGAAGGUGUGGGAACUUUAGGAGACCUUACUUUUACCGACAACUCGAGUUGGAUCAGGAGCCGAAAGUUUAGGCUUGGUGUUAAGGCCGCUCCAGGGUAUGGUGAUGGCUUUCACAUCCGUGAAGCCAAAACAGAACCUUUUGCUGUCAAAGAUCAUAGAGGAGAAUGUGAGUUUUUUUUAACCUUUUGAUUAUAUUGACAAGUAGUGUGUUCGUUACUAAUAACUUAGCUCUUUUCUUCAUCUCUUUUCAGUAUACAAGAAACAUUAUCCACCGGCUUUACACGAUGAAGUCUGGAGACUGGAUAGAAUAGCAAAAGACGGAGUGCUACACAAGAAGCUACUUAAAGCUAACAUUGUGACAGUGGAAGACUUCCUUCGACUCCUAGUUAAGGAUCCACAAAAGCUGAGAAAUGUAAGUAUCUUCUUCUGUUUAUGUGAUAGAAAAAAAAAACAAUAUAGAGAAAAAUCUAUACAUGUUACAUGUUCUUUGAUUUUGUUUCUCAUAUUGUAGUUGCUAGGGAGUGGAAUGUCGAAUAGAAUGUGGGAGAACACUAUGGAGCAUGCAAAGACAUGCGUGUUGGGUGGGAAGCUUUAUGUGUUUUACACGGAUCAGACCCACGCUACAGGAGUUGUCUUCAAUCAUAUCUAUGAGUUCCGUGGCCUUAUUGCAAACGGACAGUUCUUAUCUCUGGAGUCUCUUAACCAUGACCAAAAGGUAAAGACAUACAGACAAUUCUUUCUCUCAAGAUUUGAAAACUGCUCCUAUAUAUGGUUGUUAAGCUGAUCACUGGUUAUGUCAAUCAGAUCUCUGCAGACAUUCUGGUGAAGAUAGCUUAUGAAAACUGGCAUAAAGCUGUUGAAUACGACGGUAAGCUGUUGAAUUGCUUACCAGUCGCCGAGAAGGAGAUAAAAGGCUUACCAGAACCAAAAAUGGUAACAGCACCAACAGCUCAGAACCAUCAGCAGCUGCAUAACCAGAACAAUAGACAAACCGUGCAAUGUCAUCAGAAUGCUAUUACCUAUUCUCCCCUUCCUCAGCCGGUUGAAUAUCCUCAGUUUGUGCAGCAACAUUGCAGUCAAUUAUUACCUUCACUCCCUAGCAACGUACAAGACUAUAACAAUGGAGAAGAUUGGUGUCGACCAAGAGCUGGACAAGGUCUCGAAGACAUUUUCAGUGAAGAGAUCAGACUAAGGAGUUCUGAGAUGCUUGAGACUGACGAUAUGCAGAGACUGUUGAAGACUUUUGGGAUCGGUAUGAACACUAUGGGAACAACACAAGGCGGGUUUGGUCAGACGGAUGAGUCUUGCUACGGUUAUAAUAUGCCGUACCAAGCUCAGAUCGAUAACACGUACAGGAGAGAGCGUAAUAGAGGAUCGGGAAAAGCUGUUGUGGGGUGGCUUAAGCUUAAAGCUGCUUUGAGAUGGGGUAUCUUCAUACGCAAGAAAGCUGCAGAGAGGAGGCCUCAGAUUGUGGAGAUCGAAUGAAAAAAAGAGAAGAGAGAAGUCUUUUAGGCUUUUCUUUGAUGACAUUUCGUUUUCAUGAAAAGCUUUGGAUACGGCUUCUGAAAACACAAGAGUUCAUCUUUUGGAUGAACAAUUUAAGAGUAGAGAGAAGUGUACUUUGUUUCGUAUUGUAAUGCUUUAUUUGUUUGCUCUCUUACAUUUCAUGUUAAUUUUUGUUUUUUAAAAUCGUAUUUUAUGUUAAAUUUAUUAACAAUUUAUCCUCAUUUUAUAACCUUUUUGAUUAUUAAUUAGAACUGAACAUGAUUAAUUUAUAAAACCAACUAACCAAUCAAUUAUAUUAUUAUUAGAUAGUCUAUUAAUAUAAUUUUCAGCUUCGAUGUCAGACCAACCCUUUUAAAAACCAUCCAAACAAUAUAUUUUGUAUUUCUCAAUUAUUUGGAGAAAUAAUCAAACAGUACACAAGUUUUUGUCUCAAAAAUAAUACACAAAAAAAAAAAAUUACAAAUUAAUAUUCACAGAAAGAUAUAAAACAUAUAUUUAAGACCAUUUACAUUGCAUUUUGCUAUUUUCAUCUAUAAUAGAUAAACACAAUAAUAGAGGUGGAGUUAUUUCAAUAUAUUCUUUUUAAGGCUCUAAAUGGUAACAACAGAUUGAGCGGUAAGGGACAAACAGUGCAACUGCAGCAGUUCUAACGGUUAUAAAAAACGUGUAUAUAUAUAUAUCGUAUAUGUAAAAAAUUUUGUUACUGUUAACUGCGGUGCGGUGCAGAAUAAAACAUUCGAAGCCCACAUGUCAUUCAUCUAUAUUUACAGUAGGGCUGGGCAAAAAACCUAGAUCCGAAAAAUCGAACCGAGCCCGAUCCAAAAAAGUAGUAUCGAACCGGAACCGAAAUUGAUUAAAUAUGUGAAUGAGUUCAAAAUUCUGGUAUUUAGAGAACCGAAACCGAACCCGAUCCGAACCAAAGUAUUUCGGGUACCCGAUUAUAUCCGAAAUUGAUUUAUAUACCUAUAUAUAUUAAUUAUUUUUAGAUUUAAUAUAUAUUAAGAACAUCAAAAUAUAUAAGAUACUUUAAGUUGUCCAAAUUACUUAUAAAUAUAUACAAAUAGUCAAAAGUACAUGUCUAAAAUAGCUAAACUAUACUCAAAACACCAACAAUACUUAAAAUAUCUAUUGAUUCUCAAUCCAAAUUUCAAAUCAAACCAAUUUAUAUGUUAAUUUUAGGUACUUUGACAUAUGCUAUUCAAAUUUAUAUGCAAUAUAUUGUUUUGUUUAUAGAUUUUGAAAAAUUUAAAGUAUAUAAUAAAUUUUAAAAAUUUUAAAAUAAUUUAAAUGGGUUAUCCGAACCCGAACUGAACCCCCAAAAAUCUGAACCAAAAUUUAGAAAUACCCGAAUGGGGCUGAAAUCUUUGAACUCGAAAAUCCGAAACCCGAAUAGACCCGAACCGAACCUGAAUGGGUACCCGAACGCCCAUCCCUAAUUUACAUUAAGAAAAUAAGAAGAUGAUUUUUUCCUUAAAUUUAUUUGAAAACAGUAUUUCUUUUUUUUAUUUUAGAAGAAGGAAGUUGAAACUUGUAUGUAACAAAUCAUCUCCUAGUGAUUAAUAUCGUAGAUUUUUAACCAAGAAAGACCGAUGUCAGACCGGACGAGGAUUAGAAAUGACUAAACCGGACUUGGUACAACACUUGAAUCUCCAUUAAAUUGGGGAAAUUGCAGAAGAAGUCACCAAAAAUGGCGGAAAAUGUUGGAAGCGGCGAGAGCGAGUUCGGCAGUGUCACUUCCUCUCAGAUAUCUUUCCUUAAUAACUGCCCCUUCGCCGAUCCUCUCGCCGGAGUGGAAGAAGACACUGACUCUGACGGCACGGAGGUUCUCGGGACCCCGAUGUUGCAGCCGGUUACCCGAACUCCGAUCCUCUCGCUUUCGACUCCGAUCAGCCUCGAUUCCAUCAACGAUGAGGACGUGUUCCGUACUCCUCCCGAGAACGCGUCUCUCUCCUCCUCCGCAGCCGAAUCCGAACCCAGAGGUAGGGCUUCGGAGCUCAAACCUCGGCGACGAGGAGGAGGUUCGAAAUCGAAAUCGAAAUCUCCGUCGCGUGUUUCUGCUUCAGCGUCUCUCACGGCGGAGACUGUCAGGGUUUUCGAGAUGAAUCGUGUUUCCGAUCGCAAAGAAUCUGUCACGGAGGUGACGCCUCUUUCUCCUCCGUCAUCUCUCGCGGCCGGCGAUGUUAGGGUUCCGGGAAAGCAUUCCGAUCUCGAUUCUCCUUCUCCUGAGUCUGCAACCGAAGGAAUCAAGGUCACUGAAAGUGGUGGUGGUGAUGAUUAUGAAAUUGAGAUUCCCUUCAAAGAAGUUAUCGAAGCUCUUCUUCGUAACAAUGGAGAGAAUCUCGACGAUAGAGAUGAAAGAGUUAGCUACGUUGACAUCCUCAAACGAUAUGGCCUCAAGUUCCCCUAAAUAGAUACCAAUUCAACUUCUUUCCUUUUCUUGUUUAUAACAAUUACAUCCCGUUAAAAACAAAAGUUUGAGAGCUUUACGGUUUUGGUUGCUUGAGCGACAAGUAAUCAUAAGCUACGUUACAUUUCUUUUUCUACAAGGCUAAAUCCCUACAAAGAUUAAAACUGGUUCGCCGUUUCCAUUGAAAUGAUUGUAGUUGGUUCAAAUCGAGCUCUACUUUUUCCUGAAUCUUAAGCAACAAUUGUGCUUAGUUUUGGUAAUGCUUGGCUCGUCGUCUGCUUGUUUAGUUGGGGGAUUGUUGAGAGCUAGUUUCUCCAUUGCGUUUAUGAACUUUCGCAGGUGCUUUAUGUACUCAGGGUAUGAUUCCAAGUUGCAAUGCCCUCCUCCUUUAACCCACAAUGGAUCGUAUUUGUCUUUUGAAAUCUCCCACAAUUUCUUCCCAUGCGACAUGUUCACGACCUCAUCUUUUGUUCCCUGCAGUUUCAUACACCAAGGUUUAAUGAUCUCUCUGGAAAAAAAUUAAUAGAUGUUAUGUGUAAUCAAUCUUACAUGUAUGACAAGAACAGGGCAUGUCACAUGGCGUAUCCUUUCAAUGUUCUGCAAAAUUACAGUUUGAGAGACAAAAGAACCAAAACUAACCAGAGAAAGAGAGAGAAACAGGAGAGAGCUUCUUUUACUUUGUAUAUGUCGAACCAGAAUGUCAUUUUGACAGGAUACAAAACUCUAAUGCCAGAGAGAAUUGCGCUAUGUAGAACAACCCCUCUUAGUCUCUUCAAUCUAGACGCUAAGUACAACGUCGGUCCACUUCCAACGGACUGACCGUACAAUACCAUCUCCUCUUGCUUGAUUCCGUACUCGCUCCUCAAGCAAUUGUACACAGCCUCAAUAUCGUGGUACGUGUUUACCUCAGACGGCUUUUUCAUUUAAAAAGCAAUCAAAGGUGCAAAUCAAUAACAAAAUGUUCUUGAAUAAAUAUAUUUCUUACCUUGCCUGUUGAAGCUCCAUAGCCUGAAUAGUCAUAGCUGAUUCAUUUAUAUAUAAAGGCGUUAAGGUUCGUCCAUCAACCAAAAAAAAAGGUUUAGGAUUCUUUUUUUUUUGUAUAUUUAAACCUCAUAACGUUGACACGGAGAUGAGCUCGGAGCUCGAUGAAGAGCUCGACCAUUUGGCCGAGAUCCGCAGCAUUGCCAUGGGAAUAAAUAAGAGUGAAUCUUGCAAAUGGGUCUUUCCAAAACGUAGCCACAACUUUGUUGCCUGAUUUAGUGGUAAUUUGAUGGACGUCGACCAUGCUUUUUUCCGGCGUGACUCCGGUGAACAUGAGCUUUCCUGUCUCCUCGUCUUUACUUACGCCGUACGUAGCCGGUGACGGUGGAAAGAAAGCUAAUUUUGCAGCUACAUUUGACGUCACAUUACCCAUAGCAAAUAAUAAUUUUGCUAAGGCAAAAAAAAAAAGAAGAAAAAAACCUUUUCUAAGAGCUAAGAAAAAAAAGAGGUUAAAAUAUUUGUUUUUUGGUGGGUUUAUGUUUAGAGGAGAGGAAGGCGGCAAAGAAAAUGGAAGUGAUGGAGGAGAAUAUUUCAUCCGAUCUUGUGGGGGAGAAGAAGCUGAGCAAGUUACAAACCUUAUUCGUUUUUUUAUGUGUUUAUUCUAUUGUUAUGAGCAUUGAUUAUUAUUGAGUUCAAGUCAUCUUUUCUUCCCGAAAUGGGACAUUUUAUAGUUUUUUUUUGGACUAAAUGUUAAGAGACGUUUUAUAGAUACGUACAAUAUAUGUUUUCUAAAUAUAUAUAUAUAUAUAGACUAGACUACGGUUUACUGUUGUGUUGUGUGUAUACUCCAUAAAUACAGUCAGCCUUCGAAACUUUUAAUUCAUUCUAACAAGAUAUGUAUUUAGAUACAGAAUCUUGACAAGAAUGCAUAGGAAUAUCAGAUACAUGUUAAGAAUCAACAAAUAUCGUAGGUUACCUCGACUUUGUUAGUUCAACAAGCUGAGCCGUCGCCAACAAGGAAACGUUCACUAUAUAACUAGGACAAGGUCGACGAAUGACAAACGCGGUCGAGAGUUUUCAAUUUUUGCUUCCACAUCGAUGGUCAUCCGGAGGAGUAUCAAAGCUCGUGGUGACUCAUUUAAAUUAAAAGCUUCUCAGAGCUUAGAACUGAAUGCUAGUGUUUCAUGAUCUUCAAGAAAAAUCUAAGAAUUUCAGAAACCAUUCUCAGUUAUAUUGGAUAUUAUAUAUCUUAUAAAAACAGAAAAUUAUACAGAAAUAACAUUUUUUGCCUGUGUGAUUUACGAAAUAUAUUGAAAAUCUUUGGAUUUUUUUUAGAAGUUCAAUAAAAACAAUAAUGUUAGAUGUAUUUUUAGCCUAUUUAAUCAUAAUAUCUCUUGUUAGGAUAAAAUAACGACUAGUAGUUCUUUGUGGUACUACAAUAACAAAAAAUAAAAAGAUCAAAAGUAAUAUUUUUGACCAAAGAAUAUUUUGUUAAUAUUUAUAAUAGGAGUAAAUGUUUUUUUUUUUGAACUUAAGGAGUAAAUGUUUGGAGUAUGAAACCUAGUUCUAACUUCCUAGUUAAGUGACCGUAGUAAAAGUCGAAUGGAUGUCUAGCAGCAUUUCUUAGGAUUUUAAGCUUGUUUAUAUACGAGAUAGCCGAUAAGAUUUGAAGUAGAUUUGGUCAUAUCUCAAAGUGUACAGAAAUAUUCUUUUUUACUUAAAAGUUUUCUUUGUUAACUAGAGACAAUUAUAUGUGGUGUGUAAGCUAAGAUGUUACUAUGGUGUAUAAUAUAAGAUAUCAAAUAUCCUUAGACCUUGUAGUAUAAAUAAGGAGGCUUGGACUUGGAGUGUGUUGUGAUUCAAGCCAAAUGAGUAGAGUGAAUUAACUCCUAACGAGUCUCUUCAAUCAUUUGUAAUAGUUGAACAAAAAAAAAGAAUCAUUUGUAAUAUUUUAAAAUGUUUUUAAUAAAAUAAAAAUCCUCCUUUGUUAUAAAUCAUGUGUAUAUUUUUAAACACCUUAUCAAUAUACUUUGAUCCUAAAUACUUCCUUUGGGUGGUUAUACCUAUUAUGUGUUUAUAAAUUUGGUAUUAGAGCCAUAGAAACUAUAAGCCCGACCUGCGCGUGGUGUUAUAGUGUGUGUUUUUAGUUUACAAUUCUUUCUAAAAAAUUGCUUUAUGUGCCUUUGUGUUCCUUUUUCAUUUUGAUAAUCAGUAAAAAGAGAGAUAUCUCGAAACCAUUAUCUUGAGUUCAAACCAGAGACAAGCCAAAAGCCAAACCAAAGUAAAGAAGAUAAAUAAAAAUACAAGGUGCGAUGUGUUUACAAGGAAAGACGAAAAAUAAGAUAAAAGAAAUAAAAACCUAUUAGGAUUGUCUUUGUUCAGACGUUCAUUCCACAAUCAAAAUUGCAAAGCAGGUAUAAGACUUUAGCAUUACCAAAACGAUCAUCUCAAACUCUCUUUCUACCACAAACCACAUAUGAAAGCCUUUUUCUUUACCUCACAAUAUAACUUUUAUUAGCUCAGCUCAGUCGUUUCUGGAGCUUCUCCCACAAUCUCGGCAGGGACUGGACUCUCACCACGCUCACUAGUGGAGCUACUGCUAUUAAUCACUUCGCUUUCCAUUGGAUUCAGAGAGACUGUGUUAGCAGGAGGAACAAGUGAUUGCUCUCCUGAGUGCUUCGGCUUGUUCAGGGCUCGACAAUGAGGACAGUAGUAAGUAGUGUACUCGAAGUCCUCUUUCCGGCAAAGUCCUACGUGAUGUUAGAGAAAGAGAGACAUUGUUACACUAUGUCAUUGAUGUAAACAAAAGACAAAGGUAAUGGGCUUCGCUCACCGUUAUGCAUAUGGCAGUUUCCGCAGAUGAGUGCAUAUGACUGAGUUGGAUCUUCACCCACGAGGAGAGCGGCUAUACGUGAGAUCCAGCUGCCAUCAUGAGCAGCAUAUCCCUGAGGGUUAAAAUGCUCAAAAGCCAUCUGCUGGUUUUGCUCUGUGGUGGCUUCGCUUGUUCCAGAAUGGUUAGACUCAUUAUCUGAAUGGUGGGUUGAUGAAGUGGUCCCAGCAACGCUGCGUUUUGCAUUUGGCUGUUUUCGAUUCCUGAGACCUUGCGAGUGUUUGAUCUCCAUGUCAUUGCUCUUGCCUGUGGCGGGGUCAAGUUGGGAUUCAUCUCCUACAUACACUUUCAAGCCUGAAUCAGCACCCAGCUUGGAUGCUAGAAUAGUUGCAGCAGCCGCUCUUGCAGCUGGGUCAGGGUCAAACCUCUGAUACAAAAAAUACCUCAAGUUAAAUACAAGUUCCAGUAGCAAUAAGAACACCAAAUUAACAAGCACCAAGGCAUAUAUGAGCUCUUUCAAGGUCCUGAACAUAUUGCAAUAAGAAGUGAUUCAAGAACUCACAAGUGUGGGUCUCCAACUAACUCAAACUUGGGACACAUAAUCACAGUUGGAAUUUCAAAUAUAACAGUUGUGUUGGGGUUCCUAAUAGCCCUCUAUCCAAAACCAUAAUCAAACAUUCUUUGGCUGACAGAUAGAGAAACUACUAUGAGAGCUAAUAAAGUCAGUAUAGCGUGAAAACUAGGGGAAAAAGCAGUAGAAGGGGUGGUUGAUCUCUGUUAAAAGAAAGGCAGCUAAACUAGAAAGAAGAGACUCUCAACAAGGUACUCAUUCUCUAGAGCUGUACUGCUCCAAUCCAAAUUCACUAAACCAUGCUCUUUGUCAAACUUGAAUUUAAAGACAACAUGAAACAUAUGAAUGAAAAAUUAUCGACAAAGCUAGAGGGGAUAAUAAACAUGUUGGCCUCAUUACGUGUUAUAUGAUAAAUGUGUAACGCUUGUAACCUACAAGAGAUGUCUAAAGUAAUGCACUCACACAAGCAAAAAAGACUUGUGUCAUAGUAAAUCUUACACGAAGAAUAUCGAGCGUGGUGAAGUAAUUGGUUCUCUCUUUCAACUCAUCGAUCUUCCCCAGCAUUUCACCUUCAAGCUUCUCCAAUGUGUUCUGAUCUCUGCGGUCACCUACACCAAAACCAUUACACACAAACGCGAUCAACACAACAACAAACCCAAGACCAAAGUUUCAACCUUUCACACGAAAACAAGCAUAUAAAAGAAAAAAGAAAAAAACACAAAGACUCACACAUCCUGGUGAAGCUAACGAGAGAAGAAUAGGUAAGGAAAGCAAGAGCGGGCAAAAGAAACAUAGGCAAGAUCCUGAAACUCCUCAGUUUCCAAUCCAAAUCUUCAUCUCUAGUCGACAUAAUCGCAUAGCUCACAGCAAUCACCUGAACACACACAAAAACUGUUUCAUUGAUCACAACAAAAGAUGUCGACUUUUUGUUCCACUGACCUCAAAGAAGACGGAGAAAGCGAUUAGAUUCCUAAUGAGCUUCCUCCUGGUGACCGAUCUUCGCUUCAUCCUGGAUCUGAUCGUGGCUUCCUCCUUCGAUAUGCCUUUCAGCCUCUUCUCGAAGUCGUCUCCCUUAACCCUAAAUAUCCAGUUCCAGAUUCGCGAGAACAGACCCUUGCCCUUCGUCGUCGUCUUCUUCUUCUCCCCUCCGCCGACAGUCUCCGAGGGUACGACGGCGGAAUCAUUCUGAUCUCCGGUAUCAGCCACCGUGCCUUCGUGAUCCUUCUCUACCGACGACGACAUCUACCGACGACUUGAAAAUCAAAAUAGGGGAUUCGAUUCGAUUCGACUCUCGCAAAACCGCAAUUGUUCUCCCAAUCGAUUACUCUGUGGAAAUCUCUAGAGGAGAGGAGGAUGCUUCGUUCUCUGCCAAAGGGUUUCUUCUUCCCCUUCUUUGAAGCAACCCAAACAAGAACUUAAUAGUAUUCAUUCAUUAACUACACCUUUAUCGUUAACCUAUGUAUGAUAUAUAAAAUUAAACAGACAUUUUUUUUAGAGAAAAAAACAAAAAUAGCACUAAAUUAAGUUUUUGUUCUCAAACUAGUUCUUAAGGUCAAAUGUCACAAAAAUAGCACUUAAUAUUUUAUCAAAAGUCACAAACUUAGAGUUUAGAGUUAAAGGGUGGAGUUUAGGAUUUAGGGUUUAGGGUUUAGAGUUUAGGGUUUAGGAUUUAGAGUUUAGGGUUUAGGAUUUAGGAUUUAGGGUUUAGAGUUGAGAAAUGAGGUUUUGGGGAUAAGAUUUCAAAUUUUGAAAAAUAAAAAAAUUAAAAUUUUCAAAUGAUAAACUUAGAAAGGUGCUAUUUUUGUCAUUUUAGUUUUUGAGUGCUAUUUUUAUGAUAUAAACUUAGAAAUGUGCUAUUUUGGAGAUUUGCCCUUUUUUUUAUAUAGUUAAAUAAUUUUAGUGUAUUAAAAUUAUCAAAAUGACAAUAUUUUAGAUACAAAAUUUUAAAAUCUGAAUGAAUCUUUGAAAACAUCUAUAUUAAAAUUCGAAUAAUUUUUUUUACAACUUUAUAAUAC
rnacentral:lncRNA from 1 species